rnacentral:lncRNA from 1 species
UGUAAAAAUGUGGUUUUUCGUUAAAGUGAACAGUACCGGGUGCUUUUCGUUAAAGUUCCCUAUUAUUAUAUCGUUUCAAAGAAAAAAAAAAGAAUUGUCCCACGUGUUUAAAACACUAACCGUCGUGAAGUCUUCGCAUCCCUUUCCCAAUAGGCUAUGAAAUCACGGCCGAGAUCCCCAACAAACCUGAAUUAUUUGUAAGCCUGAAAUAUCCCAGCAUUAGGUCUUGCAUGUCGAGUCAUAUAAGCCAAUAUGAAUCCAUCAACAAAUGCCCCAUGACAAAUUGAGAAAUGCGGUUUUGUUGACGAAAAUUGAGAAAUACGGCUUUGUUGACGAACUUAAGGAAAUUAGUGGUUUUUCAAAAAAUUUAAGAAGAUUUUGCGUAGAACAAGAAUUUAUCCAAGACAAUUUUGUGUGUUGAGUUGAAAGUUCCUUGUACGUUGCAAAGUAUAAUUUUUCAGUAAGUUGUAUGCCUGUUUGAGCCCGAUUUUACACUAUCAACCCUAGUGAUCAAGGCCGUUAAAUGAACAGAAUUUAAACCGUUAGAUAAUAAAGUGGUUGAAAUAAUUUUUAAUUAUUAUUGAAAAAUAAUAUUGUCAUAAUCAUAAUAUUAUCUCUUAAUAAUAUAUUAAAUUAUUUUAAACCUAAUAUUUGUCUACAUCCCAAUUGAAGAAUGUAAAACCAUUUUGUGAAUGACAAUGAAUUAUGCCGAGAAUAAUUGAAAGAAUAGUUGACUUGGCAAUCAAGUUAAUGAAAUCUCUAGGACUCUCGGUGCCUUAAGGAAAUAAACAUAUUGGAGUCCUAAUUACAUGCAAUCAAUUAAGGGCCUUUAUUAAGUAAAUACAAGGAAUAAGAGUCAUGAUGGGACUAUAAUUGAUGAGAUAUGAUUUGGGUUGAUAUCCUUUCCGAUAAUAGUUGAAUUGAUUGAAACCCUAGCUAUAUAACCUAGGAGCUGUCCCUGCUUCCAUACCAAUAGAAACUCACAAAAACUAUAAGCAUAUUUCGAUAGUAGAGUUCAUUGAGAGGUACUGGAAGUAGAAGACUACUUCUACUUUGUUCGCAAGGAUCAAUGGCUUCACCUUCAUAACCAUGUCUUCCGAAUUCUACAGAUAAGUUCAAUAUAAUUAGUCGAUCUCUAUUUCAUAUUGAUUUGAUUUAUUCGUGAUCCUAAUGUCUUGUUGUUGUGAUUUCAAAAUAUGUCUUACAUGUGGUAUUAGAGCCGCACAACAAGCUUAGGGUCCGAUAUAAAGGUAUAAGUAAAUUUGUUUAUUGAAGAUGAUUCACAUACUAAAGAAAAUUUGCUUAUCGUUUUGGUUGGAUGCCUUCUACUGUUCCAUCUCAUGAAAAUUGGUUUUGAUGCUUCCGCAAUUUUGUGUUGGUGUGCAAUGAUUUUUCAUGGUUAAUAAUAUAUAUAAAAUUGAUAUUAAUUAUAUGAGAUAAAUUAUUUUUUACUUAUAUUUUGGUAAAAAAUAAUUUUUUUAAUUUGGGUUUUUGGUUAUAUAAUUUUCGAGCACUACUUUACAACCUAAUAUUUGAAGCUCGAUUUUUUCCUUAUGGUUUUGGCUCUCUCGACACUUUCCGACGAGAAUAACUUCUUGUUAAGAGACAACUUGGGUAAGAUUUAAUUUGAAUUACAAUUUGUAUCAAUUUUCUUUUGUAUAAAUUACAUGAAUUAUAAUUGUUUUCGAAUACAAAUUUUCCUACGAAUUAAUAUGGAUUUUGGCAUUAGUUUCUAGGAUUUCAUGCUUCUGCUUACGUACUCUUAUUCUUAAUUAAUAUCAGUAAUCCUAAUAAUAUUCUAUUGAAGGGAAGAAUUGCAUUAAACAUGUUGCAAUUUUCUAAUUAUGUUAGCAAUCUCCUAAUCAAUUUAAUUUAAUGUUGACUAAUUUAUUUUGGUGUUGUAUGUAGAUUUCCUUAUGGAAUUGAUUUUAAAAUCAAUUGGUAAUUAUAAUCUAAAUUGGAGGAGAUUCUAAAUUUAAAAUAUAUCCAUUAAUUGUUUUAUUGUGAGAUUAAAAGUAUUUUCAUAAUUAUUGAUAUUGCCCAUAUAAAGAGAAAUUAUUUUAAUACGUUUUCUUAAAAGGGAAAUUAGUAGUCUCCUUGAAUUUGGGUUGUGCAUCACAAUACAACUAUUAUGGGAAUUUAAGCUAGAUUAAUAUUGCAAUUAAUUUACCCGUUUUGUAUUUGAUUUGAAUUAACUCAUUUCAUUUACUAAUAAAAUCUAUUAUAAAGAAUCUUUUAGAAUUAAGGAGUUACGUAUUUUGGAUUUCAUGUUUCCAUAUUUUAAAUUUGGAUAUGUAUCAUGCACUCACAAGGCUUGUGAUUUCUUUUGGAUUUUAUGACUAAUGGUUGAGAUCGAUUAAUAAUGUUGAGAUAUUGUUCCUUAUAUAAGCCUAAUUUUGAUACAUAUAGAUUGGUUUAUUUUGUCCAAACCAACUAUUUUGUGAGUCAACAAAUUUGUUUGAGAAAUUUUAAUGUUUUGGGCAUAUUAAAGGUUAUUUAUCUAAUGAAAUGAACCUUUAAUUUAUUUAAGAAAUUUUAGUGUUUUGAGCAUAUUAAAGAUUGUAAAUUGGUUUUAUUUAAAUUAUGAAUAAAUCUGAAAUUUGGUAGAGCUUGGGAAAUACUGAUGGAGUUUUGCAUACCUUGCAACGUGUCCUAUUUGAUUACGAUUUUGAUAGAUUUUCCUAACUCCAAACUUUGUGAAAAUUUGUCAUGUUAUAUUAUAUAAUGGAUUGUAUACACAGAAAAAUUUUCAUCCUUUUUGUACAAGAAAUGCAUUUAUGGUAAAUUGUUUUUAAGUGUGAUACUAUGUUACUGGAAUUUUGCAGCAUAAUAUGUUUGUGAUAUUAUUUUGAUAUACCUACGCAACUCCUAAAUUCAUGAAAUUUUAGUAUGAUAUGCAUUGAGAUGUUUGUUUUAAAUAUGAAAAUUUUUCACGAGCAUUGGUUUGAAAAUGAAUUAUUGGUGAAUUUUUUAAUCUCGAGGCUGUACUGCAGAAUUUAUGGAGUUUCUGCAGCACAUUCCAUUCGAUUUUAUUUUUAGCCCACUUGUAAAAUCGUAAAAAUUAUGGAAUUUUAGAGGACAGUAAAUUUAUAUGUCUACUUCAUUUCUGAAAAUUUUCAUGCACAUUAGAGGAAGAUUGAAGUUUUGGUGAAUUAUUUAGUCUCGGGUAUGUUUUGCAGAAUUUCUGUUGUUUUAGCAGCACAACUUAUUUCGAAUUUGUUUUUAGUACACUUGUAAAAUCUCAAAAAUGAUAAAAUUUUGGGAAAUAAAAUAUUGUUAUGUUUACCUUAUGUCUGAAAAUUUUGAUGCAUAUCGGAUGAACAAUGAAUAUUUGGUGAAUUUGUAAUCUCAGGUAUGUACUGAACAUUUUCUGCUGUUUCUGCAGCACCUCUCUUUUCGAAUUCAUUUUUGGCUCGCUUAUAAGAUUUUAAAAAUCAUAAAACUUUGCAAAAUAGUAGUCAUAUAUGUCUAGUUCAUACUUGAAAAUUUUCAAGACAAUCUAAAGAGAAUUGGGUUUUUAGUGAAUUUGCAAACUAAAGUAGUACUGUUGAGUUUUGGUACUUCAAAACUAGUUUUGUUAUGUGAUAUUAUUUCACUGAUUUGUGCAUAUCUAUUGGUUAUUUUAUGCAAAUUCUUAAUACUAAUGACUUUUAUAGACAACACUGAUUAAAUUUUUAUUUAAAGAUGUAUUGGUUUAUUUUGCUUAGACGAAUGUUUUGUUUGGUCAUCAAUUUUGAUUAUGAUGAUAAUUGUCUUUUGAGAGAAAAUUGGAAAAUGGCAUAAGUUUACUAAUUGAUCAUUUUGGUCCAUAUCGAAUAACUGAGUAACCAUGUUUCCUCUUUCCAGAACUCUAUUGUUCAAUGUCAAUAACGACAUAUUUUUGUGUUUGAUUGAAUCUUUUGAGAAUCAUUGAAUAUCCAAAUACUGUUCUAAAUGAUUAUUUUGAAAAAUCAGAAUUCUAAUUUAUAUGGUGAAUACUUUUGUCCCAAUGGGAAUUUUAGAAAAUCACUCACCAAUUAUAAAUUAGUAUUAGAGCAAAUCAUAAAGUACUUCACAUAUUUUCAUCUGGCCAAAGCUGUUGAAGCUAUAUGUAUUUUGUGUAUUUUAUGUUUUGGCUAGCUAUGCAUGUACUUUCUUUGCAUGAUUAGUUUCUACCCAAAGGUGUAACAAUCAUGCAAUUGGCAAUUCGUUUGAUCCUCCACAACUCGACUGCUUCCAUGAUGAAUCUUGCAGAAUCGAGAAUGAGUAGGUAAAUUUGCCAAAUCUUUUGCCUUAAUUUUCUUUGAGUUCUAAAUUAGAUUAAAAUUAUUGUUGAAAAAUUGAUAUUAUUGAGAUAUCUAAGUGUUUAUUUUAAACGACUUUGUUUUAGAAUUAAAACAUAAAUUUUGAAUUUGGAUUCUCUUAUUAGGUUUCAUUUUAAUGUAUGACAUAAUCUUUAACGCAUAUGUGAGUCUUCUCUCAUACACUAAAAUAAAAUUUGUAGUCAAUGCAUAAGAUUUUAUUUAUUUAUGGAACUUUUUAAUUCUAACCUACUUAAAUAUAUAUAUAUAUAUAUAUAUAUAUGUAUGUAUGUAUUUGAUCUUUAUUGAUUCAACUAGCCUAUAUUUUGUUAUAUGAAAACCAUUUUCUCUAGUGUUUAAUCUUGCAGUUUUGAGUGUUUGCCCAAGUGGGAGAAAUAAUGUAUUAUGGGGUUCACACUCAUAAUUUUUUGCAUGCUUUUAAUGGUCAUAGUUUUGGUAGAUAAAACGUACAUUAUCAUACUUGUUUAUAUUUUAUCUGUUAUAUAUGCAAUUAAUCUUGUAGGAAAUUCAAGAAGGGUUAAUGAGUAUAUUCUGCUCAAAAGUGUUUUGCUUAUUAAUUCUUGCUGUUCAAGGAAUUGGACUCGUGAUUUAUAUGUUAUUGAUGGAUAAUUAAUCUGCUCAAAAAUGUUUUCUUAUUCAGUACAACUAUAAAUCAAUGUAUAGUGAAGCAUGGAAUUGACAAGAUGGCAUAUACUUCAUCUGCUCAAAAGUGUUGAAGCUAUAUACGUUUACCCUUGUAUUUUAUGUUUUAGCUAUGUAAACCUAAUAUAAUUAGUUUCUGUUAUAUGCUUUUGAUGCAAUAGAAAACAUUUAGUUAAAGUUUUCUAUUUCUGUCAGAUGUUAGAUGAACAAAACUGACCAAAUGAUUUUGUAUAGUUUUUCAGUCACAAGAGUCACCUCCCUACAGAUAUCUAGAAUAAAGAUGUUGAGCUCACAAAUUUUAUGUUUUAGAUCUCAUGACUAAUAUUUUGCUAAUGGGAGUAUUUGAAAGGUAUAUGUUUCAUUUUGUAGACAUUGACAAAGUUUUUGUUUUUUACUCUCUUAAUCAGUGGGAGUAAUAAUAAUUUAUAUAAUUUUGUCUCUUUUAAUCAGUGGGAGUAAGUGAUUACCUUUUGUGUUAAAAAAUUUGAAGUGUUAGUUGCUGAUACUUUAAGAGUAAUUUUGUUUAAAUUUUGUUCAUAAGUUUUAAUAAGAGGUCCUGAUUUUGUAAACAGUAUGUCGUAUUUUACUUGUUCUCUUAUUAUAUUCUAAAUUAACAGAAAAGUUGGAUUUAGUUACCAACCUUGUUGAGUUCUUUUGUGAACUACUUUUGUACUAAAAUAUAUUUCCAUAUUUUCAGUUCGACUAUUGUGAGCUAAUGUUUUGACUAUUAGCUCUUGAUAUCAUGACUUUGUUAGUAACAUAGUGCUUUGAGUUAAGUGUGAAUGUAAUCAUGGAGUGCAAGGAACUGUCCAAUGUGUGCCUUGUUUUCCUUGGUUCUGCAUUUAGUCUCAAAGUGACAAGUUACUUGAAAUGUAUGAUUGCAUACUUUAGUGGACUCAAGUGAUCACCAUAUAUAUUUAUCUCGUUGAGGUAUUCUCAUUGGCAUUCAAGUGGGAGAAUGCAAAACCAUUUUGUGAAUGGCAAUGAAUUAUGCCGAGAAUAAUAGAGGGAAUAGUUGACUUGGCAAUCAAGUUAAUGAAAUCUCUAGGACUCUCGGUGCCUUAAGGAAAUAAACAUAUUGGAGUCCUAAUUACAUGCAAUCAAUUAAGGGCCUUUAUUAAGUAAAUACAAGGAAUAAAAGUCAUGAUGGGACUAUAAUUGAUGAGAUAUGAUUUGGGUUGAUAUCCUUUCCGAUAAUAGGGAAGAAUUGAUUGAAACCCUAGCUAUAUAACCUAGGAGCUGUCCCUGCUUCCAUACCGAUAGAAACUCAUGAAAACUAUAAGCCUAUUUCAAUAGUAGAGUUCAUUGAGAGGUACUGGAAGUAGAAGACUACUUCUACUUUGUUCGCAAGGAUCAAUGGCUUCACCUUCAUAACCAUGUCUUCCGAAUUCUACAGAUAAGUUCAAUAUAAUUAGUCGAUCUCUAUUUCAUAUUGAUUUGAUUUAUUCGUGAUCCUAAUGUCUUGUUGUUGUGAUUUCAGAAUAUGUCUUACAAAGAACGUAUGGAAUAUUGGGAUACACGUGACAUCAAAUAGUGAAGCAUGCAGAUGAUUGUCAUACAACUGCAAAUGGACUAAUGCAUGCACGAAUAGAUCCUAUAGAAGCCUAGAUAGGCUUGGCUUUUAGUAGUGAUGUGAUAAGCCUAGGAUUUGAUGGUGGAGAGAGAAGCCUAGGUAAGCUAGGUCUUUGGUCAUGAUGGGAUAAGCCUAGAUAGUUUUUAUAUUUUGUUUGAAAAGUCAGCUAGCCUAUGCCACAGAUCAGAUUUCAUUCUGCGAGGUAGAGUUACAGUCGGACUCUGCAACAUUAUAUGACCGUGCAAGCCAAGUACUUCAGUCCUAUAAAUAUAGAUGCAAUGGCAACGAGAUGAGUCCUCCAAUUCAACACACAACUGCCCUGCGUAAAUUCUCUCAACAACCUUGAGAUUUUUUCUUUUCUUUUUUGCCGACACAUCUUCAGUUAGCAUAAGCAGCAUUGUGAAGGCAACCGAUGAUAUCUUCAGUUGGCAUAAAUAACAUUGUCGCCGUAGAAUCAGCCAAUCUCACAGCAUCUUCAGUCGGCAUAGACAACACUGCGUCGAGGGGUGACUGGUUAUCUAUCCAAGUCUCAGUUGAGAAGGAUUUCCAAAUCCUUGUUGGUUGAGGUCAUCUCAUCAGCCUUCUCGGCGAAGUGAGGUGUUACAGUUUAUUGGGCUCGGCACAUAGCACGCCGAGUUAUUUUAUGAUUGGAUACUCUUAAGUGGGAUUUAGAGUUCGGCACUUCGACGGUUGAACCACGUUUACUGUUAAGACUUAUAUCCGCUUUGAGUAUUUGUACCCUUACACUUUAGUGUCGAUUCGGCGUGAGUUUACUCUGACGAAUACCAUCACAGUGACCGAAUCCGACGGCGACGAUUUGUGAACUUUGUAAGAAUAGUAGCCUUGUCAUCAUGUUUGAAAACCCAGGAGGCCGAGACGCGUUCCUUCUUUGGCCGCAAUCGCAAGACGUAGAAGUCAGCCGCGUACCCAACGCAACAUCAUCAUAUUUUACUCCUCGGUCGAGCUCGGCCGACGAGUUGGCAUGCCCCGCAUUCAACCAAAGGACAUAGUUAGCUCAUAAAUUACUUGGUCUGCGCGACACGUAGACUUGGUAGUUUUUAAGGUCAACAAUGCCAUAAAUAAUAUUUUCAAAUAGGAUAAUGUUAGAAAUACCAAAUUUUAAACCAAAAUAAACACGUUAAUCGACACUUAAUUAUUAAUUCGAUCAUCUACAAUCACAUCAUUUAUUUACAAAUUUAAUUUAAAAUUUAUUUUCUCCCUAACAUUACCCUCUCAAAUAAUUCCACUUAUUGCAUCGUUUUCACAUACUUAUCAUUUUACCAGCCAAAGACCACGUGAAUGUGAAUGUAGUCCUAAUCUCAUAAAAAUAGCUGCUAACGUGAAUGUAAUAAUUAUGUCUUGCUUUUUCAAAACUAGAAAGUCUAUAGGCCAAACCCCAUCUCCAUAGGUUUGUCUACCACUUUGUGACCAUAUCACAUGGUCAUCUCAAUUUUUUGGCUAAAUUUUUUUCUUGAUAAUUGUAAUGAGACAUUACUUUUAAAUCGAUCUAUGUGAUGAAAAAGUGUUAAUUUUAAUCCUGUGAUGAAGUUCGUUAUCAAUCGUAAUCCAAAUUAAAAUUUCUGUCAAAAUCUCAUCCACAUGCAGGGAUAAAAAAGUCAUUCCAUUCUUAUUUCUUUUCUUUUUGGUAAUUCCACUUUUUUUUUUUUAUAAUCAACAAAAAUAGAAGGAAAAAAAAAAAAUCCUCCCCAAUCCCUACCUUUGUCAGCCAUAGCAACCACCGACCACCUUCCCCCGCUCUCUCUCUCACAAAACCUUAGCCAUCCCGUCCACCACUGUUCUUCUUAAAAUGAAACUAAAUUCAAUGUUUGCAUAAUAACUUAUAUACUAACCUAAAUGCGGCGAGGUACGUUGUGAUUUUUUAAAUCUUGAAUUUGGACUAUUGGCUCUCUUAAAAUGAGAAAGUCUGAUAAUAUGAACUUUGUAAUUUUAUUGUUUAUUUAUUCUUUUAUUGUAGUUCUAAAAGUUUUAAAAAUAAAAAUAAAAAUUAUGUCUAUUGGUGCUUUAUGCUUGGUUGAUGGAAUCAAUAAAAAUGAAAAUAACAAUUUUGCCCCUAUAAAUGACAGAAGAAUGAGGAAAAAUCCAAUUUGGAUUAUGAUUGAUAACGAAUUUCACCAUAGGAUUACAAUUAAAUGCUUUUUCACCACAGAUGUCUAUUUAAAAGUAAGGUAUCACCACAAGGAUCACGAAAAAAAUUUGGCCCAAAAUUUUUUUCUGACUGAGGAUCUUCUCUCUGGAUUCUCUUUGUGAGGAUUUUGAGAAGUUUCAAAUCAUGUUCGUUCAUUGUACAUUAUACAGUCAGUUUUUAUCAUGUACUAUAUAUGUUUAAUUUUAAAUAAAAAUAUUUAAGAUAAUUUCUAAUUGCACAAUGUACGAUAAACGGAUAUAAUUUAAAGAUUCUCAAGAUCAUCACCCAAAAAAUCCGAAGAGAAUCUUCAUUCAUUUUUAUCAAAAUCCUCCAAACUGUUCACGUGGACUUCAAAUUGAACCUGGAUCCACUCCGGACCCAAAAAAUAUGAGCCCAAGGAUCAAAUGAUUUGGGCCGUUGAAAUUUGAUCCAACGGCUACAAUUAUUAUAACUUUUAGAGGAGCUCUUGUUUGUAGCCGUUGUAUCAAAUUUCAACGGCCUGAAUUAUUUGAUCCUUAAGCUAAGAUUUUUUUAGUCCGGAGGAGAUCCAGGUCCUUCAAAUUAUGAUAAUCCAAAAACCUACCAGCACUUUGUCCUGCUGCCACCUAAGUCACCAAUAGAAACUAAUCGUUAUCCCAUCCCCAAGCCGAUCCUCAUCCCAUCGUUUCUAAGAAUAAGGAUUCUCUCUGAAUUCUCUUUGUGAGAAUCUCGAAAAUCUUUAAAUCGUGUUCGUUCAUCAUAUAUCGUGUGACCAGUAUUUGUCAGGUACGGUUCAUGUUUAAUUUUAAAUAAAAAUAUUUAAAAUGAUUUCUGACCGCACGAUGUACGAUAAAAAAAUACGAUUUGAGGAUCUCAGGAUCCUCACAAAGAGAAUCCGGAAAUGAUCCUCACUCCUUUUCUAAUUGCCAUCCUAAUUCUGCUUGUGUUAACGUAAUUCGAAACGGAGUCCCACAUAACUUGUCUGUCUCACAGCCAAAAAUUCUACAAAUAAUGACAAUUAUCUUCAAUCGAACGUGUAAUAACGGGGUUCUUCUUUCAUUCAACGACAUAAAUCAAACGGGCCGAUAGUACAAGUUCAAACAGAUACCGCAAAGAAAGUUAGGGUUUCAUCAGAAAACUAAUUGAUAAUAUAGAAAGUAGUCCAAUCUAUCCUUGCAAGAUUUUUUCUUUCACCGAGAGACUUUUUUACCUUCACAUCUUCACAAAACAAGCUGUUCAUACUUGAUAUUCUUUCAAACUAACUUGCUUUCAAUGUAAUUGGGUUGAGGGUGAAGACUAGGUAUAUGAGAUAUCCGACGUAUUAAUCCAUAAAACCUAGCAAAGAAACGAAAUUUUAGACAAUGUGCAAAGCUACCAGAAUGCUGAGACAUGCAAAACAUUAUGCCCGGAGAAGCAAAACACAGUCGAAAUUAUGCCGAUACAUGUAACAGAUUGAUAUUUACGAACCUUUUUUUGGACAAUUUACUAUUUAAUUAUGAAUUUCUACUAGAGAGAGGAAGAAAGAAUUAUUUAGGUUUUUUAACUAAAAUAAUUCAUGAAAUUUGCAUAACUUUUCAAAUUGGUCCAUGAAAUUUGAAAUAGAUAGAAUUGGUUCCUGAGCUUGUCCACAAUCAAUCAUUUUGGUCAUUCUGUGAAAAAAUCUCCAUAAAAUAAGAAUAAAAUGACAAAAAAACCUUCAAUUUUGGUCAAAUCAUUUAGGCUUAUUGUUUUUAAAUUGAGGGUAAUUUUGUUAUUUUGAUCAUUAUUUAACAUAAUUUUUCACACAAAGACUAAAAUGAUUGAUGGUAGACAAUCUCAAUGAUUACUUCUAUUGAUUUCAAAUCUCCCAGACCAAAGUGAGGAGUUAUAAAAAUUUCAGGGACUAUUUUGACUAAAAAACCAAUUAUUUAUUAAUGCCCUCCGUUUAUGUAGCUAGUCAAUGAGAGAUUUUUCAAUAUGACCGAAACACGGAUGGUACACCACGUGUCACUAUACAAAUGGUGAAAUAUGUAUAUUAAAAAGUUAAUAACUUAAAAAAUACAAAUUUCCACUAUUUAUAAAAAAAAUAUGUAAUGUAUUGUUCCGAUUACAAUGAAAAAUUUCCCCUAAUCAAGGUCGCCGGUGAAAUAAAGAGAGAGACGGAAACAGCUGACACGAAAGUGAGAAGAAAGGAUUUAUUGCUUAAUUGUUGUGUACGAACCAGGAUCCUAACCGGAUCCAUUCCCCAGGGAUCCUGGAGAUUCCGCAAUUGUGUUCAUUCAACGUAUAUGGUGCGGUCAGUUUUUGUUAGACACUAUUUAUAUUUGAAUUCUAAAUUUUAAAUUUUAAAUGAUUUCUGAUCGCAUAAUAUACAAUAAACGGACACGAUUGCAGGAUCCCUAGGAAUGGAUCGGGCGAGGAUCCUGGUUCGUUGUGUAACGGCUACCUUUUUUAUUCUUUUUCUUUCUUUUGACUCUGUACAGUAUUAGGGGGGUGUAUUCAAUCGAGAAUUUGAGAGACUUUAAUGAAUUUAUAAAUCCAUGGAUUUUUAUAGAGUUUAAUUGAUUUGUGGAGAUUCCAUAUAAAAUUUUGAUUCAAUUCCUUCGAAAUCUCGUGGGGAAAGGUGAGAUUUAUGGAUGCUUAAAAUACAUUACAAAAUCUCUCUAAUUCUCUUUAAUUCCUCAACUUUCUCAAAUUCUUUAAAAUCAAUUUCUAAUUAAAUACACUUAGAAUGUUAUAAACUUCUUUAAAAUCCUAAUUGAAUACACCUGGAUUUCUAAGGAUUUUAAUCAACUAUCUUAAAAUUCUAAUUGAAUACACCUUGAAUUUAAGAGAAUCACUUACAAUUCUGAUUGAAUACCCCUAGAUUCAUUAAAAGAAUUAAAAUCCCUCAAAAUCCCAAUUGAAUACACCUGACUUAGUGUAUAGUCAAUGGAAUUCCUAUAUCAUAUUAGAUGUUUUGGACUAUAUAUACAAGAGUUUUCUUCAACCAGAAAAGGAAGAUUGAAGGAAGUUUUUGUUGCAUAGUUCGGAGUCUGGAUUGAUCUCUGUGCUCCGUUUUCCAUUUCUCUUUUCUUUACUGUACGGGCUUCCCUCAGCCCGCUCCCUCCUCCCUCGUCAGAAAUGGAAACCGGGCCACUACCCUCCCGCUCUCGCUCGUUAGAAAUGGAAAACGAGCCACUCCACUCCUCCUCGUCAGACACUAAAACAGAGCCAUUCCCCUUGGAAAUCGAGCCACCACCCUCCGAGCUACUUCCCUCCCCCUCGUCAGAAAUGGGGACCGAGCCACUCCCCUCCCCCUCGUCAGGAAGGAAACCAUCUAGGUUGACGUGCUGUGGUAAGCAGACCUACAUAUCCUUUCGAGUACUCACUACUUGUUGGGAAAUGAUUAGGGGACACUUUCGUUUCCCUUCUGCACACUUCCGUUUAUUUAUGUUCUUUAAUUCUCUUUUUAUUUAUUUAAUUUAAAAGCAAGAAGUAAACAUAGAAUUGCAAUCACGACACGUAUAGCAGAUUGUUUUAGGGGUAGCUAUUUCAUGUUAUGGCUCUCCAGAUUUGCCUUCAUCUGUGUAAGUAUUUUCCGAUUAAAAAAAAUCAUGUUUGAUUGUUACUUGUGUAAUAUAUGUGAACACUGUUCUAAACAUUGGCUCUGGUCGGUGGAGUGCCACCUAAAUUUAGUCGAAAUUGUCAAGGAAAGUCGGAAAGCUUAUUAGGCGGCUGCUGGGUGGAUUUAGGCGGAAUUAAGCAGGGCUAGGCGGGGAUAAGUCGCUUUGUGGAGAACAGAAUCUGGAAAACUUUUGUUGCUGAGCGCUGGAAACUGCGAAGAAGAUGAAGCUUUGUUUAUACCUGCACGUCGUCGUUUUGUUUUGAUGUUUUUUAUCUUUUCAAUAGGGGUGGAUGCAGGUUGGAUUGGGUUGAUUACUGAAACCAAACCGACCUAGUCGGUUGAGUUAAAAUUGAAAACCGAAACCGAUCAAGCCGGAUGUAAACCGAUCAUGUCGGUUAACCGACGAUGGAGGGUUGGUUUAGGUCAGUUCUCGGUUUGUGGAUGGCGCUGGAGUGGGAGAUAGAGAGGUGUCAUCUGGAGAGAUUCACGAUGGUGAUGGAGGAAGGAAGAAUGGAGGACGCGGUGGCUGGGGGGCUGCUGUGCUAGGUUUGAAAACUAAGUCUGAAAGUGAGAGAAAAGAGAGAUUGUUCGAAAGCAAACUCAUUUAAUAAAAAUGGAGGAGAAACCAGGAAGAGGAUCCUUUCCGGAGGAUCUAGAGCCAUUCAUCGUAUAUCGUGCUGUCAGUUUUUGUUAGGUAUUAUUUGUGUUUAAUUUUAAAUAAAAAACUCAAAUAAUUUCUGACCACACGAUGCACAAUAAAUGGUUAAGAUGUGAAUAUUUGUAAAAUCACCACAAUUUAAAUCCAGUUGGGAUCCAAAUUCGAAAAACCACUCAAACCCUCUAGAACUCACGGGUUGUUUUGUUCAUUGGAUUCCUUUUUUUAUUAUUAAUUGAACACACCCAUUUAUUGUGAAGUUGUUGAAAAUGAACUUCUCAUGGUCUGCGAAACUUGUUAUUUGGCCUCCAUGAACACUCCCAUUACCAAAUUCCUCGAUUGUUCAUGACUUCAAGAUGCUAACAGAGGAUGAACAUACUUGUCAUCUCUUCUUUCUGCUCUUUCUUUGCCCUUGAUCUUUUGGCGAUUGGUUAGAACUUAGAGGGCACUUUGGCCUUGUUUGUAUCUUUAUCUUCUGGAUUUGAGAAAGAUUUUCUUCUCAUCUUCAAUGUCUUUGAUCUCCUUUUGAUUUGGCAAAUUCUUUGGAUUUUCUGGAGUGCCCCAUUUUUCAAGAAAUUUGCUUUUUUUUUUGUUUGUUUGUUUUUGAUGUGCUAACAAGAAUGUCACUUUGUGCUCUCUCUUUGCAGUCUUUUUUAAGUGUGGCAUAGGAUGAUGAAUCCUCAUGUGCUCCUCACUGUUAACUUUUGUAUUAAAAAAAAAAUAUAAUAACUUUGACUGUAUAUAGCUAGUAAAAGAACAUUAACCAUAGUUAUUUGGAACCAUGAUCUAAAAUAUUCAUAAUAUCCCGAUAUUUUCAUCGAAAUUUCCGUGUUUUUGGACUACCGAUAUUUUUUUGGACUAUCGAUAUUUCCGAUAUCAUCGAUAUUUUAGACCUUGCUAAGUCACUCAUGUAUCUUACUAUGCAAUGUAUAAAGUGUAAAAUAUUAUACUAAUUCAUUAUAUAUAAAUGAUUUUGGUGUGUUUAAACUUCUUUCAUUAAUUACUACAUACUUUCUACACUCACAAUGUUUGCCAACUAGUUAUAUAAUCAACUUAAAUCAGUUAUAUCUAUCAUGUCCUUCCAAUUUUUAUGAUAAACUAAUAGACAAUUGACUAAAUAAACAUCCUACAAAGUUUCAAUAAAAAAUUCCAAGUUUUUCUUACAAUUUCCGUGGUUUUUAUUCAAUUUUUAUCGAUAUCGAUAAUAUCCUGAUAUUUCCAUCGAAAUUUCCAUAUUUUUGGAUUACCGAUAUUUCCGAUAUCAUCGAUAUUUAAUACCUUGUAACUAACAAAUGCAGGGGUUUGGUCUUUUGACAAUGUCAACACCACCUGUCCUUGCUGUAGUAACAGGCCGUUGCAGCUCAUUUGUGCCCCAGUGCAUUGGCUUAGUCCAUAAAAAUCUCUUUUACACAGCAUUGCUUCUAUUAGCUAUUGGAGUGUCGACUCACUCGUCCUCCUUGCCUCGGUUCAAAGAGGACCAGUUCCAGUUCACAACAAAAAAGCAUUACAAGUCAUGUUCAUGGCAGCAGUUCUCGUAUGUGACACUAGCCUUCGUCGUCCCUGCUGUUACCGUUUAUGCAGUUGGUUAUUCGAAGUCUUGGUUGAUUAAGUUUGGGACAGGAGCAUUAACUACCGUGGUAUCUACACUUAUUUUCUCAAUCGGUUUAUAUUCAUAUAAAUCCCCUAGUGGACGUUGGAGCUAUCUUACUGGAAUUUUUGUUAGCAUACAGACUAUGAUCUUGUAUGUAAGUUUCAAUCAACAAUCUAUGAAUACUGAAGAAAAGAAAAUGAGAUUUCUAGAGAGAGAGAGAGAGAGACAAGCUUGAAGAAGAAGAAAGGACUCUACUCUAUUUGAUUCAUACGCACACUAAGCACAUGUAGCAAGAGCUGAUAUUACUUAAUCUAAGAUUACAUCUUAGCUGCACACUUGGACUAUGAUCCAAGGGCUGAUAUUUAAAGCUGAAUUCUUAUUACAUUUCAGCAUAUACACUUAUAAACUAACACUCCCUUCUAAGCGAUGUGCUGAAAUCACUCCCAAAGCUGUCCUCAGUAAUUCAAACCGAUCCCUUGCCAAAGCUUUAGUGAAGAUGUCUGCAACCUGUUCUUCAGUCUUGCAGUAUACCAGGUCAAUUUCACCAUCUUGAAGUGCAUCUCGGAUAAAAUGAAAUUUCCGAUUAAUGUGCCUGGUUUUGUGAUGAUGAACUGGAUUCUUUGAUAUGGCAAUUGCUGAAGUAUUAUCACACAACAACUUAGUUGGUUCUGCUUGUUCUUCCCCGAAAUCAGAGAGUACAAAUCUUAGCCAAAUGGCAUGUGCAGUAGCUUCUGCUGCACUAAUGGAUUCUGCCUCUGCAGUUGAAAGAGCAACACUGCUUUGUUUGAUUGAGGCCCAAGAAAACACACCAGAACCAAGAUUAAAUGCAUAGCCAGAUGUACUCCUCAUGUCAUCUUCACUUCCACUCCAAUCACUAUCACAAUAACCAACUAACACUGCUCCUUUGCCCUUCUCAUAAACAACUCCAUAGUUCACAGUGCCUUGUAUGUAUCUCAGAACUCUCUUAGCUGUCCCCAUAUGCUUCUUGGUAGGAUUGUGCAUAAACCUAGCCAAUAGACUUGCUGCAAACAUGAUAUCUGGCCUUGUUGCUGUCAAAUAUAGCAAACUUCCAAUCUGCAAGGCAACCGAGCUAGGCCCAGCGCGAGCUAGCCCGAGCCACUACCUCAGCAGCACAAGCCCAAGCAGCUGCGGUAGGAGAAGCAGCCUAGCGCUCGCAGGCCCAGCGCCCACGCGCACCAUACGCAGGGCAAUCCACGCCAAUUGCCCGUCCCACUCCAGCAGUCCAAUCCGAGGCCCAACCCACUCUCGUGGCCCACCAAGCAAUCCCAAUUGGUCCAAGAUCGAUUCAACUAUCCCGGCUUCAGAUUUCUAGAUCGACGAUUAAACCGAGGUAUUUUCACCCAAUUUCUCCGUAAAUUUAACAUCCCAACUCAUAUCUCGCGGUCGGAGUCCAUUACACUUCCACUACUCAAGGAGAUGUAUUCCGUCUAAGCUCUUCCAACUCGAAUGGCUAACAACAAUUAUCUCGACAAGUAAUAGAGUUGACAAGCGCCCUCACACAACAGAUAACCUUGAUGAAUCAGCUCUUGCAGCGCACCGAGAUGCAAGAGGUUUUCAUGUCGCACAGUAGACAACCUUGAUGAAUCAUCUCUUCUUCAUACCCUUUCUUUGCCCUUGUUCUUUUAGUGAGCGGUUAGAACUUGGAGGGCACUUUGGCCUUAUCUUGUAUCUUUUUCUUCUUGACAUGAGAAAGAUUUUCUUCUCCUCUUCAAUGUCUUUGAUCUUCCCUUUUGGAUUUGACAAAUUCUUUGGAUUUUCUGGACUGGCCCUAUUUUUCAAGAAGUUUGCCAUUUUUUUCUUUUUGAUGUGCUAACAAGAGUGUUACUUUGCUCUCGUUGCAGUCUUUUUUAAGGUGUUGCAUAGGAUGAAUCCUCAUGGAGCUAGUAGAAGAAUAUUAACCAUAAUUAUUUGGAACUAACAAAUGCAGGGGUUUGAUCUUUUGACAAUGUCAACACCACCAGUCCUUGCUGUAUUAACAGGGAGUUGCAGCUCAUUUGUGCCCCAGUGCAUUGGCCCAGUCCAUAAAAUUCUCUUUUACACAGCAUUGCUUCUAUUAGCUAUUGGAGAGUCGACUCACUUGUCCUCCUGGCCUCAGUUCGGCGAGGACCAGUUCAAAACAGAAGAGGUUUUCAUGUCCAAGACAGAAAAGGUUUACAAACGUUCAUGUCAGCUUUUCUCAUUGGCGACACUACUGUUGGUCGUCCCUGUUUGUGCUGUUAUAGCAGUUGGUUUAUUGAAGUCUUGGUUGAUUAAGUUUGGGAUAGGAGCAAUAUCUACAGUGGUAUCUACACUUAUCUUCUCAAGCGGUUUAUAUUCAUAUAAACGCCCCAGUGGAGAGUCUAGCCAUCUUAAUGGAGUUUUUACUAUCAUACUGGGCAGCGGUAUUCCAGCAGUUAUGUUUUUCAUAGUCUCAUGUAUGGCCGUUGUCCCAUCAGGUGUUAUUGCUUCUAUUGGAAAUACUUUCUUCAUGGAACAAGCAACCGACAUGAACCAUUACAUUGGGAGGCCCAGAGUUCCUACUAUUAUCCUUCCUGCGUAACAACUGUUGGUGAAAUUAUUUGUAAAGCUACGAAAACAAGAUUCUAAAGUUAUCUUUGCCUUCCCUGGGAUUAUAGUAUCACAGCUGCAAAGGUGGAGACCCGAAGGUUAGACGUGGUGAAGAGCCACGGUUUCAUUGACAAACCUGAGGAAACAAUUCCCAUGACCAUGUUCUGGCUGCUUCCACAGUUUCUUCUUCUCGGUUUGGCUCAAGAGAUUGGCAAACAAAGCAUUGCGAAUCUAUGUUAUGCUCCGCUGUGGUGGUUUUUUAGGAGCCGAUCAUUCUGCAAAUACAUGCAAACCGUGGCUGACGCUGUCAGUGGAGUCGGAUAUAUAGGCGGGAUGUCUGCAGCUAAUCUGGUAUCCUUCUUUUUAGUCCUUCUUUGGAUUCUUCUGCAGCGGCGUUUUUUAUUUUCCUGAAAUUUGACAUGCUUGUAAGUCCCACUUCUCUUCUUAGAAUGAAUUUCCUUGUUCUUAGCCAUAAAAGCCUCAAACUAGUUGUUGCAAAUGCGAGGAAGAUCAAGUGUUGUUAGCUUUGUACCAAGUGGAAUUCUCGUGCUAAAUGAGACAUUUCUCUUUUAGUUCCCUGCGUCUCGAAUUCAAACUCUCUAUUUCUUGACAACGGCCCAUAACAUUUUUCGGGACUAGGAUUGAACUAAGCAAAUUUCCCAACUAAGCCAGUGUCAUAUUUUACAAAUUUGGAUUGGCUUUUAUAAUAAUUUUGAUCGUUGCUAAGCAAGCUUUUUUAAUUAGGAAAAUUAAUGAAAAAGAUUUGAAAACUUUGAAUUUUAAUGAUAAGGACAAAAUAAAGGGUAAAGUAAAUAGUAACAUGAUUAAGUUUUUAGUAUAAAAAUAUGAUUUUUCGUUAAAAUGAACAGUACCGAGAGCUUUUCGUUAAAGUUCCCUUUUUAAUUUCCAUUUUCCGAAACAUAUAGUUUACCUCAGCGAGGCACACAUGGUCUCUCACAAGUCACAAAACGCCCUACCUAAAGCUUCAUCAUGCCUGUUCCUAACGUAGCGCAAAACAUGUACUUGCUCAUAGAGGGAUGCAGCUAAUUGUUGAAAAUACUGGCAAAGCUGACAUCACCACUUCCGUCGACGGCACCACCGGAAAGGUGCUCUGAACAGCUAGAAGCCUAGAACACACGCAUGGGGAUGGUCUCGAGCAUCUUUUCAAUAAAAUCUUGUUUCCUCACCGCAUCUAGCCUCCGAGUAUCCACCUGUGAAGCAACAACUCUACAUUGUACAGAAAGUACAAUCGAUGCUGCCUACUGUGUGGGGUUCUUGAUUUUGAUUUGAAGAUGUAUAUUUCUGAUCUUGAUCCCGGUUUUGACAUGUUCAAGAAACAAUGUUUCUGGCAAACUACAUAUUAACCGGGCACCUGCAUUUUAAGAAGGAAAAUGUUAUUCUUACCAUAAAAAAAAACUUGCAGCAAGAAGUUUUCAUAAAUUUAUUUACUCAUAAUGUUUUGCUGGUAUAUCAUAAAGUUACUUGAGACUUGAGAGGUUUCAUAAAAAAACCAAUGCAUUCGGGAUUCAUAUACAUUGCAGGCGCUUGUAGCCUUCACGAAAAUCCCUAACCCUCGCAUGACACAAGUUUUGGUCCUCUGGUGUGAGAAGCCAAUGUGGUAAAGUCUUUCAAUAUGUUACAACUACCAUGUAAAUAAAUUUGACAAUGACCCACAAAACAAAUUAACAAAACGAAUCUAGGAGCCUUAUCAGUGAGGAUGAAGUUUUAUACGUUUAUUAUGUGGGAUAACAAACUUGUGCCGUGUGUAAUAUCAACUACGUGCCAAACAGAUCCAGGUUAUAUAAACCGUACAAUGGAGACUAAUCAGUGACAAGUUAUUUCUAGGAUUGUAUUCUGGGACAUGAACUUACCCGAUGAGACUGGAAAGCAACAUCAAUGAUUACCAUAAUAUUAUCCAGAAGCAAAUAGAAAAUAGCAUGCCUGAGGGCAUGGAAUAUAAGAGGGAUUUAAGUUUCAACCGCUGCUCACAAAAUUAUAAGAGGCAUUUAAGUUCCAACACCGGAAUGCGAUGAUAAAAGUAACAAUCAACCAUUAGAAAAUAUUCCACGGAGAAUUCAGAAACAAAUCACCUAAAAUAUGGGUUCAACUAAGAAGCAGAUAACAUUGUCCGAAAAUGUGCUUACUUACCAUCAUCGCAAAUUGGUUAGGGAUGUACAUGUCUGCAACAAGUGCUCCUUGCAUCUGCAGAAUUAAACUCCAAGCAAUGAAAUGAAUGCAAUGACGAUAACUAAUAAGCAAGCGGAAACAGAGCAAAUUUCAUGAUUUAGAGUGGCAUGGUGGAAAAAUCUGAAAGUGGUUACAAUGGAAACUGAAGCCAUCCGAGAUUAAGCUAUCUGAAAGCCUCCAAUCUUCCAAAGAGCUAUAGCUACAUAGAGAAGCAAACUGCUCAUAGUUGACAUUCCUUCAUACUAACUUCCCUUGUCAUGGAAUCCCAUUAGGAAAAGGUUUGAGUUUGCUUUGUUAGAAUUGGCCAAUUGGCUUAUCGGUGAAGACCAGGUGAAUGAGACAUCCGAAAUAUUCUUAAAACGAAGCAAAGAAACGAAAUUUGUGACAAUGUGCAAAGAUACCAACAUGCCGAGAAACGCAAAACAUAGUAGCAACGAAGUGUUAUCACACAGAUUACAAAGCCUCUCCUUUGGAGUCACAAAACCGAAAUUGCACCCGAAGAUUGAGAGCUUUCCCACACCUCAAUGCCCUCAACAUCUUCCCUAAUAACAAACAGCCUAUCGCCGCCACCUUCGAUUUUCUUUAUAAUCCCUCUCUCAGAAUCCUCAACUUUAUCAACAAAAUUCCUCCUAUACCACCCCUCACAAACCCCAUUUUCUAUUUCCACCCUGCGUUCUGCCUCUGCCACCUUCGACCAAACCUCCAACCCACCUUCCCUCCCCACAAACACUUGCUUUCUGUAACACCUCACCACACUAUUGUUAUUUCCACCCGUCCCAUCUCCGCCGGUGUACCUCAAGCUUGGGUUCUUGUCUUGUAAAUAUACCCACGGAUCAUCCCCUAAUUUACGCAAGUCUGCCACUGCCAAGUCGCCGGACUUUGAACACAACUUGAACAGGGUCGACUCCUCAACGUCGGCAUCCACGUCGGCGAACGAAUCCCCGAACCGACUGCUCCGGCCCGAACCCGGUUCGUUCGCCUCCCAAACCACCUCAUUCGACCUCGGGUCCCACAAUCGGAUGUAACCCGAGUAACCAAAGGCGCCGCACGUGACGGAGCUCCCGACGAUCAGUCCCGUCUCCGGAAGCCACCUCAGCUUUCCCACGGCCAGGUUCUUUGCGGAGCUCCCCGGUUGCCGGCUCAGCUCUGAUACGAUUUUGAGAGUCGAUUUGUCGAUCAAGAAGAUGCAAUUCUCUCUGUGGGAGCAAUCAAACGACGCGAAGACCGAGCUUGGCGAGUCGGCAAUGGCGGUGACUCGCGCCUUGAAGAUUCUGGGAUCUUCCGGGUCGGUCCAGUGGAUCGACCCGAGGUUUCGCACGCCUGAGAAAUCGUAGAAGUGAAGUCCUGCGCUGGAUUCGGAUCCUAUAGCGGCAAUAUCAGGAUACACACGGCAAAUCGAGGUUAUGUCCUCCAAAUGCGUACGUAGGGUUCCGGCGUAGCUGAGUUUCCAAUCGUAGCUGGAUAUCUGGCCGCCAUGGGCGAUCCAGACGGAGCCGUCGUCGCCUGCGGUAAUCGCCGAAGGACAGCCAUCGUAGGCGGGUUGGACGGUGGUGACAAUUGAUGCGUCGAUUCCAGAAAGAGGAGGAGGCGACAUCGCCGACUUAAGCUGCGACUCGAUGCCGUAGUAGAGGGCUUCAUCGGCGAGCUCCUGCUUGGAGAAUAGGCGAGCCGCGGAAGGGAGGCCUUUCGAUCGGAGAAGAGAGAGGAUGACGGAGAAGAUCUCCGGGUCCCGGUCAAUGAAAACCGGGUUCGGGUCGUCGGUGGAGCGGUUUGAUAGGGCGGCUAAGAGAGAGUCGGGUCCGCCGGCCUGGAUCGUUUCUAACGUCGUUUCGAAGUACUUGCCGCCGACGUUGAGCUUGAUGCGGUCGUCGGGAUGAGGCCUAGGGGCAGUGUGGGAAUUUCCUUUCUCCAUUACGAGGCCGCGUGAGGUUGAAGAUGUUUCACGGUCUUCAACUUCACGGGGACUUUCUGGAAAUCUGAGAGGCGGGCGUUCGGGAAAACGACGGAGAAUUUUACGCUUGCCUUGACACUAAUACCCUUGUUAUUGUGUGGAAUUACUCAACUUUUGGUGGGUGUUAUCGCCUAAAAAAAUCCAACGAAAGCCCUUUUUGGUCAUUCUGAAAUGGAGAAAACUAACCUUUUUUUGUCUGUGCUUGGAUGCUCAGACCACGAAUUAUGAUUGGGCUACAUUGUGGAUCUGAAUGUUUUUGGUACAAGCCCAUAUUAGAGCCCACCUUCUGAGCCACACAUCAUUACUAUUUUCGGAAGUGCACUAGCAAAAGUCCGUCAUUUCCUCUUAGUUCCCAGCUUAAAACGGUAAGGCAUCUCUGCCUGAUUACCAGCUGUAUCAGGAUCAUAACAAGACAAGUCUGUAAACUUCCUAUAAUACUCAUGUGCUGACAUAUUCUUUUGCUUCAAUCGAGUGAACUCCUGCUUCUUGCGAUUAAUGUACUCCGGAGGGACAAAUCUUUUCUUAAAAUGUUCCUUGAAUACUUCCCAAUCAGCUGCCAUCUCAGGGGACAUAAACUGAGUUUGAUUUUUCCACCAACCUGCAGGCUCUCGCCCCAAAAACCAAGUAGUGGUCUCAACCCAUCUAUUAGCAGGAAAAUUUCCUUGACUCUGCAUCACCUGAAAAGUCAUCUCAAUAUGAUCUAGCCACUUUUUUGCCCCUUCGUGACCUUCAUUACCCAUGAAACGAUCCAAUUUCAAAUUAUACAUAGUCUCUAGGGGUGUCAUCUGAGGAGGAGGAGGGGGCGGAUUGCAUUCUGAAAGGCCUGGGCCAUCGCUUCCCCUAACUUAGUUAUAUCAGGGAAAUUAGGUUCAAAAGCACGGCGUGACUCCCUACGAGGCGGCAUAAUUCUGACAGAAAACAUCAAAAGAUCAUUAGAGCAUUAACAAUUAUACAGGACUGCAACCUGGCUCUGAUACCAAAUUGACACACCCCGACCCAGAAAUCAGGGCGUGUUGGCCGUCACAUGAGUGUGACGUAACCAAAAGUGCGAUAUGGAAGCAAAGGAUAUAAUAAAUACGAAGGAAUAAAAACCAACUACUAACAGUAUAAACCAACUAGCGUGCUAGAGUGAGUUAUAUAGUAAAACACACAAUUCAGAGCGUAGGUACUAGGUGCAGUCAAGUACACUAUAAUUAAAUUACAACACCCGCAGGUGAGUCCUACAUGCAGGGUGUCUGUCAGAAAGCCGAAGAGAACCUCGUGAGCCACCAACUGCUAGCUAGAACCUAGAGGGGCGCAAAAACAAAAUUGAGUGGGUCAGUAAAACCAAAGCUUUCCAAAACAUUUCAUUUAAAACGUUUCUAACCCCUCACUGUAAAACCUGUAUACUUUCCCAGAAAAAUAGUAUAUAAACAUAUAUAUAUAAUCAAAAGCUCAACUCACAAUCCUUCACCACUUUUCAGAAAGAAGAUGCCAUGCCAUGCCAAAAAAUAUAAUAUGAAUGCAUCAAUAUAAAUCAGGUGAAAUAAUAAAUCAACCGGAGACCCUACAAUGGUCAUGUACGGCUGAUUCUAUAGCUCAAUAUCCCAUCCAGCCGGAGUCACCCACUGUGACCUGUACGGCACUACGCUGCACAUAAGUCGGAACUACUUAUAGUAGUCUGUACGACUAUGAUGGUGAAAUAAUACGCUCUAGUGCUUCUCUCAUCAAUCAUCUGCGCGCGUAAUCUAAGGUCACCUACUAGUCGGAACCACCUCUAGUGGUCUGUACGACUAGCAUGUCGAAACCCUCUCAGGGUCUGUACGACAUGCACCUACUUGGAUCCAAGAUGAGCGUCCGGUGCGGUGAAUAAUAUAAGCACUAACACCAAGGGUGCAAACUAUGAGCUCUCAACACAAUUCACAUUAUCGAUGAUUCACAUGAUUAACAUAAAACUCACAUGAUAAUCACCUGUGCGUCCACAACACCAAUUUACACAUAUAUAUGCAUCAAUAACAAUUCAUAUUAUUCAUAAUAUGCAUGCAUGGCAAUUGAAAACAUACUUUCAUAUAAAUUCAAUUUCUGGGAAAAUUAAUAGUAUAUAGGUAUAUACGAAAACAAAAUUGCCCACUCACUGGUAAGUCGAUGGGUCGUAGCCCCCAUGACGUCCCUGGAUGCGCUCGUCCUCGGGAUAGGUGUCACUUAUAUACGAAACAACUAUAAAAACAUUAAUUAAUGCACAUAACCGACAAUUCAAAAUAACUUCUCAUACGGUGCUCAAUUUGGGUAUAUGAAUAUACCACAUCGACCUACUAGACGUCACGGACGUCGAGAAAUUUUUAGAAAUUUUUUUUGAAGUGGCACGAGCCCCCACGCGCCAGGGCAACACGGGUACACGCGCCCCCCCCCCCCCACGCAUGUCUUCUUCCUUGGUUCACCGGACUGUGUUUUCCGGUGGCCGAAAAACUGGGGAUUUUUCAAUCCCUUUGUUUUCCCUCAUUUCUCAACCAUUUUCUUUGUAUUUUAUAUCAAAAUGAAGCCCCAAGCAUGUAGUUUCACGCUAUACUACUUUAAAGCUCUAAAAACUACGAAAUCUCACCAUAGAAAUUCCAAGAAAACCGGCCAAAUUCAAAUCCAGUGAUCCCGACGUCCAAAACCUUCAAACGAAGCACUCCGAGCUUCCUUGGGACCUCACUAAGCUCACUAUAAGCUUGGAUUGUCCUAAAAAUCAACCAACACAAAGUUCAUGAAUAGUGCCAAACUCGGACCUCGAGUUUUCAACGUGAAAACGAAGGGUUUCUUACCUAAAAUGGGCGUGGUUGAGUUCGUAGAGUCCUCACGAGCACGAUGGUGCCUUCAAAAUCCUUCGUCUUCUGGGGCAGCACCGCGUAGUGAAGCUCCAACUGAUCAACCUCCGAUACCUCCUCCUUCCGUGGCCCCGCCGACUGCUGAAGCUCCGCCAACUACUGAAGCACCACCUGACCAAUGAAUGCUAUUAGUUUACACAUCAUUGUAAAAAAAUGUUUAUUUCUAUUUUUUAUUUUUUUAUUUUUUUUAUUUUUUUGUUUUUUGUUUUUUUUUUGUUUUUUUUUUGUUUUUUUUUAAUCAAUGUAAAAUAUGUAAAUCAAUGUCAAAAAGACUUUGGUUAACCUUCCCCAACACUUAAACUAAAUAACACAAACUCACAGAAAUCAACCAAAUAACACAACUAACUAAACAAAACAAAAUGAAAGCAGUAAAGAUAAGGGUGUAAGAAUUCAAAUCUGAUUUGGUUAGCGAUUCCAAAGUCUCCCUUCGUUGAAUGCUUGGGUUACCUCCCAAGAAGCGCUUGAUUUAACGUCCUUAGCCGGACGAAUCUUUCCUUUAAACUCCCCUCGGCUCCAAAGCAUGGAAUUUAUCUUUUAAUGGGAGGUGAUACUUGAAAUGAUUCGGCAAUGGUUUAAAUUCAAGAGUGGGUGCCUGAAUCAUCAAAAUCAGAAACAUGUUAGUAUAAAUUAAAAUUAAAAUUGGAGAAGAUGGCUUACUUUCUUUUUCCGACACAAACUCAAUGACAAACACCACAUAUGUGAACAUUUCCGGGACUUUGAACUUGGCCAGGUUUACUAUGAUGGUUGUGGCUUGUCCCGUGUCAUCAAACUCAACUGCUUUGGGCUUGAUUGUCUCAUGCACAGCCUCUUGGAUGUAUUCUUGAUAUGCUUCAACCACUUCAUUUUCUUGAAUCCCUUUUCUUGGUGUGCAAGGUUCUUUGAACGUUUCAAUACCCUCGGGAACUUGUUUUGGUGCACCAAGAAUUGGGAUAUCACUUUGCACCUUUGGAAGAGCUUCCACAAUGUCUUUUUCACUCUCUUUGAUAUUUGGAAUCAAAAACCUGCAAGGACAAAGGACAUUCGGUGGAAUAAUGUUAGAAUGAAGUGAAUUUAGAACUUCCUCACCUGAGUUGGAUGACAUAGGGAUUUGAGGAGCUUGCAGCAAGAAUUCUUCUAAACUGCCCAGGUCGUCCUCCUCCUCUUCUGCUUGCAGCAGCAAUUCAUCCAUGUUCGGGCUGUGUUUGGAUGGUUCUGGGACAGCUUCAUCCUUCAUGUCACCUUCCAAGGUGAUGGCUUCAUCGAUUUCACUUUCUGCCUUUGAAUUUGCAAUGUUUGAGUUGGAAAGUUCACUUAGAUCUCGAAUCUGUGCCAUGAAUUCCACAAUCUGCCCAACUUGCAUAUCCAAUUCGUCCAAUCUUUUGACUCGGUCUUGCAUCUCCUGGUUUUGAUUUUCUACUCCCUGAUUCAAAGAGGUGAGUAACUUAUUAAGUGUAUCAUUAUCCAAGGACGUACCUGAAUUGAAUUGGGUUGAUUGUUGUGGUGGCUGUGACGGUUCAUAUGGCCACUGAUAGAACUCUUCUGAUGGCGGCAAUUGUUCUUCUUUUCGUAAACCCUGCGCCACAGAAAUUAGUCCUUCAAGAAUUUCAUUAUAAUUCAUGGGCAUACUUUGAUUUGAUUGGAAUUGUUGUGGGGGAUGUUGUGGUGGCUGCAUAGGUCUUGAAUAGAACUCCUCAUAUGGCUGCCAAUAUCCAUCUUGUUGGAAUUGUUGAGGUUCCCCCCACAUAUAAUUUGAAUGAUCUCUCCAAGCCGAAUUGUAAGCGUUGGAAAACAUGUUGUUGCUUGGUUGAUCAUAGCCUUGAUAACCCCAAGCAUCUUCGUUCACAUUGAAUUGAGGAUGUUGAUGAGUUUGAUAUCCGUGCCCAUAGGACAUGCCAAAUGUAGGGACACUUUGCAUUAUGGUCCUUCCGGCAAUCUAUGACAAUUGAGAAGUAAGAUUCGCCAAUUGAGCUUGAAUGUUAGCAAAAUCCAUGUCUUACUUCUCUAGUAUCUGAAAUCAAAGAAACAAAACUAAAUCAAAUAUCAAGAGUAACACAAAACAAAGAAAACAAAACUAAGUCAGAAACUAAAACAAAAACAAACUAAACAAAAAGAAAAGAACCAAGGGAUUAGCAAAUUUGCUAAUCCCCGGCAACGGCGCCAAAAUUUGAUGCGAGAAUUACUUGACACACAAAUUAAACCCUCUUUUUGACAAUUGUAGUAUAGAUGUAAGUAGGGUAUCGUUCUAGGCCGGGGAUUAGGAGGGAUUGCUAAUCUAUUGUAAAUUAAUUUAAAAAUAUUAAAUAAGACUCAAGGACACAAAACUAGGCUAAAAACUCUAAUAACUCGAAAACACACUUAAAAUGACUCAAAAUAAUGAAAACAAUUAAAUUAAACACUAGGAACUGAAAUGGACGGAAAUUAAAUUAAAAGACUAACAAUAAAGAAAACUAACUAAAUAAUAUAAUUUAAUAAUGGAUGGGUGUUUGGUUUUGAUGAAAAGUAAAUUAAACUUAAUUAAAUUACAGAAUUGACAAAAACAUAAAAUUAAGGUAAAAUGAUAAAUGACGGACUAGCUAGAGGGUUCUUCUCCACACAUGUUAUACUUGCAUACAAAAUGAUUUCCAGUUGCUUUUCGAUAAGCUAUGAAUACUCAACGCCCCAAAUUAACCGUGAAUUGCACUAAUUAACCCUCAGUUUUUCCACAAGUUAUUGGGUUGGAUGAUUGCAUACGACAACCCAAAACAUUCCCUACAAGUUCCCUACAUGAGUUGCAUAAUAGAGAUACAAGCAAGAAUCAUUAAGUUUUAUGAAAAACAUAAGCAUUGACGGGACACUCGUUACUAUGAUUUGCAUGAAACUUAUGCCAAGAAUUUACUUAACGUGAUUGUGACUAGCAACCUUUACUACUUGUGAAUAUAAGUUCAUAACGAUUAGGUGAAAUUCACUUAUAUUCUAACAUCAAAUUCAUGCAUGUAAAUUAAGCAUGCACUCUCAACCAACAUACACAAAUCAGUUUUUAUACGAACGGAUAAGUAAAUUGAAUUCACAACUUAUAAAAUCACAACCGAAGGUAAUCAAUUCAUAUUACAAAUAUAUUCAUGGCUUUGAAUUAACCUCUAGCCAAAAUAAAUUUAGUUACACAUUAUUAUCAAAUUAAACCAAAAGUAAAACAUAAGUUUGGAAAGAUUUAACCGAAAGAUUGAGUGAAGCUUCUGCUUCUGUGCUAUUUCUGCGCCUAGCAAGUCGACUUGCCCUCCUUCCAAUUCUCCGUGUCUUACGCUGCUCUCACGCUGCCAAAGGCAGCGUUCCGUCCCCCCCUUCCAAUUCUCCUUCUGCGUUCCUUUUUAUAUAUCCCCUUCACGUCUGACCUCUCUCUCGUUUCUGCCUUUUCCUGGACUCUAGCUGUCCUCACGCUGCUAAAGGCAGCUUUCUGCUCUCCCUGUCUACCCGUAUGCCUUCUUCUUCCUGCACGUUCCCUCUGACCAGCUGCAAAGCAGCUUUCACACUGAUUUCCACUCCUCCUUUUCUUUUCUAUAUUUUUUUCUGCCCCUCUGUCUUCCAGCUCACGCUGUCUCUCUCUACAUAGCUGCCAACGCAGCCUUUUCUUUCAUUUUUCGCACUGCCCACGUCUCCUGCUCUCUGCUGCAAAGGCAGCUCCUUUCUCCUCCUUGACACGCUGCACAGCAGCUUUGUUUAUUCCUGCCCAAGGCCCCCUCGAGCUGCCGAGAACAACUUCUUCUUGUAUUUUCUUAUUUUCUGUUUCGGUGCACCGCCAAAGCCCCCCCAGCUGCUCAGCAGCUCAUUCCCUUUUAUUCCUCGGAGACCUUUAUUUCUGUUGCAAAGCAGCGUUUGUUUCCCGUGCUCCCCUUCGUUCUUUCCUUUGUUUUUCUUUUAUUCCUUUCCUUUUUUUAUUCCUUUCCAUCCGUUCUUUUCUUUUCUUCUACAAAACAAAACCAUCAUGAUGAUGUUUCAAACAUCAUCAUGACUUAUCAUUAUUAUAUAUAUUUUUUUUAAUUUAAUUUAAAAGCUGAUCUACACAGACAGUUUUGACGAAUUUAUUACAUAAAAUUUCACUUGUUCUAUUUUUAUUUUCUUUGCAUAACAAAUCCUAUAAACACAAAAAUAACGUAAAUAGCUCAAAAAUAUAAGGAACUAACUAAGAAAAGACGAGUGAAUUUGAAGUAAAAAUAUAUAUAAAUAUGAUCCGAUCACGUGACUCCCUACGAGGCGGUAUAAUUCUGACAGAAAACAUCAAAAGAUCAUUAGAGCAUUAACAAUUAUACAGGACUGCAACCUGGCUCUGAUACCAAAUUGACACACCCCGACCCAGAAAUCAGGGCGUGUUGGCCGUCACAUGAGUGUGACGUAACCAAAAGUGCGAUAUGGAAGCAAAGGAUAUAAUAAAUACGAAGGAAUAAAAACCAACUACUAACAGUAUAAACCAACUAGCGUGCUAGAGUGAGUUAUAUAGUAAAACACACAAUUCAGAGCGUAGGUACUAGGUGCAGUCAAGUACACUAUAAUUAAAUUACAACACCCGCAGGUGAGUCCUACAUGCAGGGUGUCUGUCAGAAAGCCGAAGAGAACCUCGUGAGCCACCAACUGCUAGCUAGAACCUAGAGGGGCGCAAAAACAAAAUUGAGUGGGUCAGUAAAACCAAAGCUUUCCAAAACAUUUCAUUUAAAACGUUUCUAACCCCUCACUGUAAAACCUGUAUACUUUCCCAGAAAAAUAGUAUAUAAACAUAUAUAUAUAAUCAAAAGCUCAACUCACAAUCCUUCACCACUUUUCAGAAAGAAGAUGCCAUGCCAUGCCAAAAUAUAAUAUGAAUGCAUCAAUAUAAAUCAGGUGAAAUAAUAAAUCAACCGGAGACCCUACAAUGGUCAUGUACGGCUGAUUCUAUAGCUCAAUAUCCCAUCCAGCCGGAGUCACCCACUGUGACCUGUACGGCACUACGCUGCACAUAAGUCGGAACUACUUAUAGUAGUCUGUACGACUAUGAUGGUGAAAUAAUACGCUCUAGUGCUUCUCUCAUCAAUCAUCUGCGCGCGUAAUCUAAGGUCACCUACUAGUCGGAACCACCUCUAGUGGUCUGUACGACUAGCAUGUCGAAACCCUCUCAGGGUCUGUACGACAUGCACCUACUUGGAUCCAAGAUGAGCGUCCGGUGCGGUGAAUAAUAUAAGCACUAACACCAAGGGUGCAAACUAUGAGCUCUCAACACAAUUCACAUUAUCGAUGAUUCACAUGAUUAACAUAAAACUCACAUGAUAAUCACCUGUGCGUCCACAACACCAAUUUACACAUAUAUAUGCAUCAAUAAACAAUUCAUAUUAUUCAUAAUAUGCAUGCAUGGCAAUUGAAAACAUACUUUCAUAUAAAUUCAAUUUCUGGGAAAAUUAAUAGUAUAUAGGUAUAUACGAAAACAAAAUUGCCCACUCACUGGUAAGUCGAUGGGUCGUAGCCCCCAUGACGUCCCUGGAUGCGCUCGUCCUCGGGAUAGGUGUCACUUAUAUACGAAACAACUAUAAAAACAUUAAUUAAUGCACAUAACCGACAAUUCAAAAUAACUUCUCAUACGGUGCUCAAUUUGGGUAUAUGAAUAUACCACAUCGACCUACUAGACGUCACGGACGUCGAGAAAUUUUUAGAAAUUUUUUUUGAAGUGGCACGAGCCCCCACGCGCCAGGGCAACACGGGUACACGCGCCCCCCCCCCCCACGCAUGUCUUCUUCCUUGGUUCACCGGACUGUGUUUUCCGGUGGCCGAAAAACUGGGGAUUUUUCAAUCCCUUUGUUUUCCCUCAUUUCUCAACCAUUUUCUUUGUAUUUUAUAUCAAAAUGAAGCCCCAAGCAUGUAGUUUCACGCUAUACUACUUUAAAGCUCUAAAAACUACGAAAUCUCACCAUAGAAAUUCCAAGAAAACCGGCCAAAUUCAAAUCCAGUGAUCCCGACGUCCAAAACCUUCAAACGAAGCACUCCGAGCUUCCUUGGGACCUCACUAAGCUCACUAUAAGCUUGGAUUGUCCUAAAAAUCAACCAACACAAAGUUCAUGAAUAGUGCCAAACUCGGACCUCGAGUUUUCAACGUGAAAACGAAGGGUUUCUUACCUAAAAUGGGCGUGGUUGAGUUCGUAGAGUCCUCACGAGCACGAUGGUGCCUUCAAAAUCCUCGAUCCACGAAGUUUCAGGGUUUUAUGGCAUUGGUCCGUACGUUUCAAGAGGGAGAGAGUGAGAGUCGUGAGGGAAGGGAGAGAGAGAGGGUACGGGAAAGAGAGAGGGAGAGGUUUAACAUGUGUGGUCCAUCCCAACAUUCACCAUCCAACUUCAAUCCCUAGCCACACAAUUUACAAACCAAUUUUUAAUCCAACCUAAUAAUUUUAUAAAAACUUAUGAAAUAAAUGUAUUUAGUCCAAAAGAUAUGUCACACAUACACAUACCUUAAUACCCGUUAAGGGUAAUUUCGUCAUUUUACGUCCCCGAUAUAUAAAAUCCCGGAACGGGCUGUGACAUUGAAAGUUUAGUAAAUUAUUUUGGUAUUUCUUUAUUUUAGGUGUUUAAAGAAAUGUGUAAGAGUAAAUUGGGUGGUUAGAGACAUGCGUUUAGGCAUACUCAAAACCACUCUUUCCAAAAACGCCACCAACUCCAAUCCUGCUAUCCCCCAUUCAUUUGAUGCUUAUGAAUACGAGCUUAAACACACUCCACAACCAAUGGCUCAGAUGAUUAUCAUGUAAUCAUAUGGUACUAAUUAGUUCAUAAUCAAAUACUCAAAUUCUUUUGAACUCUUUAAUUUUCCUCUGACUUUACUAAAAUUGAAAAGAAUGUGAACUUGCCUUUUGAAAUCCCUAAUCAAAUACUUCAAAAUCAAGAAUCUAUCAACUAGAGCACUAGUUGAUCUGAUUCCUUCCUUACUUCCCUUAUUUCUAAGUUCUCCAAUUCAUUCUUUCUCUCAUUUUUGUUAGUAAACAUGUAUGUCCCAAAUUCAAACAUAAAUAAAAUUGAUUUAGCCUAAGUGCAACAAUCGAAAUCACAAUCCUUACAACAUCGGCCGUGAUAAGUAGUGAUUAAGUUUUAAUCAUAUAUAUAACUUGCUUCCUAAGCAAUCAAAAAAUAACCACGAGACCAAAUUAGGGUUCGAUAAGUACUUCCUUCCAGCUUAAUUGACCUGAUGAACAGCCUGACCUGCAUAUUUAUAUCCUACUAGUUAAUUCCUAUAUAUAUACUCUCUUGUGAAUGGAAAUUGGCCAAUGAGAGAACUGCUUCAACUGGGGGUAAUGAAUGGUAAUUAAACAAUUAAGUCACCAUAUAAAUCAGCAAGUUCCGAAACUCACAGAAACUUCACUGUUAGAGAACCUCUGCCAGAUGCUGCCUCUUCUGCAGUAGUGCCCCUGCUACAACAACUUCAACUGAACUGUAGUACUUUUUGGAACGUGGCUCAAUUAGUUUAGCAGUAAAUACUUCUUCCUCCCUAAAUACGAUGAGUUACUACUCCUCUAUUAUUAUCUAGGUCAAAUAAUUGAAGUAUAUGAAUUAUGACGAGGUCCCCAUGAAUUUGAAUGGCUUUAUCACUUCGUUAGAAUUAUGCAUAUAUGAUGCAGCUAGCCAAGGGUCUCCCCACUACUAGUUUCUAAUUACGUGAAAGACCUGUAGUUAAUUAAUUUUAAAAAAAAUAUCAACAGCAAGAACUCAUAAGAAGCUUCACUUGCAGAUAUGGAUAUGGAAAUGCAUGUGAAAUUUAAGACUUGCAUUAGUGAUGAAAUGCGGGCAAGGCCCCAGCAGCCAUGGCAUGCAGGCCAGAUCAUUGGAGGUCCAAAAACAUAUAAAAGCUAGCUAGCUAGCAGUACCACUGCAUACACCCUGUCAAACUGCGUGCUAUCUAAGCGGGUAUGUGUUGAGAGAAUGACUUCACAUGUAUAUAUAUCAUCACCAUUACAUUUUGUGUUAAUGUAGAAAAUAAUUUGUAAAUUUAUGUUCACAUGACGUUAUAUCAUUGACAUGAAAAAACACAAUAUUAAAUUAUAUCCAUACCAUAUAAGUUAUUCUCAAGCCAAAUCCACAUUAGUAACAAAGUACCUUGACGUAGUAGGGGCUCUUUGAACUUUAUAACACAUGUUUGCAUUUGUAACAUCUCAAAUUGCAAAAAAAACACCCUAGCAUGAAGAAAAGAAUACAAAAAAGUCCGCCAAAAUUACGCCAAAGUCCCUUCUAACCUAUCAUUUUAUUCAAUGCUAAAAAAACAAAGAACCUCUUCCAUUUCAUCCAAGCUAACCUUCUCUCAAUCCAGUUGACAAAAUGGGAUAAAGUGGGAUAUAGAUGAUGAGUACAGAGGGUAGAGUGAGUGAGAAAUUAUAAUAGAACAUAAGAAGUAAAGGGAGAUUUCGUUUACAGUAUUAUGGGGCACAUCUAAAAUAAGCCUUCUCAAAGUGAUCUCCAUGAUAUACAAGGCAUAUUCAAUCAGCUACUGUUUACCCAAAAUAUCAGGUUAUGUUAUAAAUAGCUAAAAAUGAAAAAGGGAACAUUUGCUAGAAAUUGAAGUGGAACAAGAUUGAUAUUAUCACCUUCACUUUUGAUCUUAUGUGUUGUUAAGAAGAUCUAAACAUAUCUCUAUAUAUAGAUGUUUUCAUCCGACACUACUUUACAUGCAUGAAGAAACUUUACAUACCAAGAUAGUAAAAAUCAUACUCAUACCAUUUAAGUCUACAAUCUUAGCCUACAAACUUGACUUCAAUUCUUCCAUCUUUAAUCCAAUUAUGUGUCCAUUCAUUCACAUUUUUACAACAGGCUAAAUUCAACACACAAAUUAUGAGCUUAGCACUCUGCUCCAAAUUAAUUUGAAACUGCCUUAUAUAUAUGGUCAGAAUGUUUCUCUCAAACUUUGAUGGAGAGAAGAACCUGGCCUCCUUCAGUACAUUUCUGGAAUGAUGUUAGUUAAAUUGCUCUUCCACCAAACAUAACCGGGUACCGUAAAAUCUCAAGAAUAAACCUUUUAGUUUUCCAGGUGUUCAUUAUUUUGUCUCUAUGUUUUGAAGAAGUGUUUUUAAUGAGACAUCAGUGCAUUAAAUAUCACAUUCAUACCAGUCAGGCAGUCACCUAAUAAUGUUAAUUAACUGGGUCCUGUCCUGGCCAUGGUAUAUCAAGAAUUUUUUUUCUUUGUGUCGGGAAAACGAAUAAGUACACAAAGUGUAACUAUACAAUUGGUGAAUUUCUUUCUUCAAACAAUUAUUGUAUUCUUUUUCUUUAAAUCGGUACCAAACUAUUGUUUAAUUACACUUAUAUGAGAGUACGGUACCAUAUUCUAGGAACAUUGAAAAAUGUCUCUCCACUUCAUUAUGAGUACUAGUGUAUUGAAAAUAAUAAUGUGCAUUAACAUAGUAAUACACUUCUUAUGAGAAUUGACACAACCAGUUCAUUAUUAUUAGAAGAAAAAAAAAGUUUAACAUAUUGGAAUACAGCAGAGAAAUGAUCACCUUGUGAUGGAGGUGAUUAAAAAUAAAAAUUAACUUGAUCCCAUGCUUAAUUAAUAACUGGGUGCCCUGCCCUGCUUGGCCUAGUUAUUGUAAUCAAAGGAAUAUUUUUUUCUUUAGCUGGUUCGGGAAAAUCGACUAUACCGUACGGUCCAAAAGUGUACGUUGUACUACACAAUGUUUGUGCAAAGUUUCUUUCUUCAAAUGUCCUGCACGUAAUAUCUUUUAUUGCAAACGCAUUAUUACUUAAUCUUAGGUGCUAAUACCGGACCAUAUUGCCUAGGGCACAUUGAAUAAGGAAACUACUCCCACCAUCGCAACAGGUAUAGAUGAGGAGAUGCCAAUGGGCACUAGGGCAACUUUGUAAAAAAUAUGUUGGACAUUAACUAUUAUAAUACACUUUCUUAUUUGAGAAUUGACACAACCAGUUUAAUCUAAAUUAUUGAGAAGAAGAAAAAAUUGUUUAACAUUUGGAAUAAGGCAGAGAAAUUGAUCAACCUGUGGAAUUGGAUGGUGAUUAAAAAUAGUGUCGAAAAAUUUACAACUUUGACUCCCAUGCUUAAUUAAUAAGCCCUUUGCUUUUCCUUUUCCUUUUCCUUGUUGGAUGAUGACACUCUGCCAUCUGUCCCUGCAAGUAUGCUAUAUUUGUCCUUCCUAGUUAAAUUUGUGCACUCAAUUCCCAAAGUCCCAGCCAACACCCUCUGAAUAUAAUUUGCAACUUCAUAAGCAGAUUUCCCACCUUUGCAAAAGAUAAGCUUCUUCGUACGGUAGCGUUCAGGAACGUAAUUUCGUAAGUUGGCACGGAUUCAUGAAUACGAAAUACGGGUCCAACAAUUUGUGCCCCCUAACCGUUGUACCAUGAAACACACUUUGUUUUGUGUUGAUUGCAACAGGCACAAUCCUAUCAGUGAGCUCAGCAAAUAGGGCAGUACCCACAGAAACGGCUCUCCUGUGUAGUUAUUAGCACAAAAGUUAAAUUUCGAAGCAAAUAAAUGAAAUACCUCUCCUAUACUAAUAAAAGACCACCGGCCUAUGCGGAGAAAUUUUUCUGUCUUGACGUCCAAAUUACGGAGUUGGUGUGAGAUUGUUGGUGGGGAUACAACCCAACAGGUUUAGAAUUGUACAUUUUGUUGCAAAUGAAUAGAAAUCCUUGCUCUUUCUUUGCUCGCUUAUGCCUUACUUACUACAUAAUUAAUCCCUAGAGACUUAAUUUUGUAUCUCGCACCUGUUAGGUGUUCUCUGGCGAGGAGUACAUAUUUUUAAAAAGUGAAGGGCAACAUUGGGUAGGUCCCACAAUCUGCCCUCAUGAGAAUAUAAAUAGAAUUUUCUUGUCUUGGCCAGUGAAAAAAAUGAAAAUUGGCUUCCUGAAUUUAACGUUAACACAGAAAAAAAUGGGAGUUUUCAUCUUUUAGUUUUUGAUUCAACUGUAAAUUCAAAACUGGUUAGGAGUUGGUCAAAUUGUGGCUUUACAGAGUGUGGUUCUUAUAAGGAGGGUCAUCUGAAAGUAACCUAACUCCAAUAUACUAAAUAAAUUUUCAACCCAUGAACCGGAAGUCAACUUGCCUUAAUAGUAUUCGGACGACAAACAUUUUUAGUAUCGGCAAUUCCAUUACAUUCGUAAAAUACAGAACAACAUUGUUUUCCGAUUGUCAACAACUCAUUUCACUUGAAUAUUGUAUUUCAUCAACGAGUAUUAAUUAAUCUUUACUAAAAAAAGGGUAUUCUUAAUUUGUUAACUUUUCCCUUUGUUCUUGUUUUUUCGGAGCAGUUUGUAGUUUGAGAGUGCUAUUGUAUGGGCCAUCACCUAGUAGUAACGUUUAAUGAUUAAUAUUGUGAUACAGAGAUACAUGAAGCGGGACUGAGAUGGAAUUCUCUUAUUGCGUAGAUUUUGUUGCAUGUGUGUAUAUCAACAUUAAACAAACUAUCUGAAUCCUCUUUCCACCAGUCUUCAUAACUCAUUAAAUUGCCACAAAAAAAAUCUGUCAAUUUCUGUUCUCUCAAGACAUAAACUUGAGAGCAAUCAUACCCACAUAUAAUUGAUUCCAUAAACGGUUGACGGAUUUAUGUUGUUGAGAUUAGCUGGGAAGCCUUUGGCCAAAAAAAUAAAAAAAAUAAAGACACUCAACAUUUAAAUAUUAAAAGCUGCUGGCAUGCUGGCAAAACUAAAUUGUUUAGAUACAUGAAAACGUGUAACCAUUUUUAUUUUUUUAAAAGGAAAUAGUUGCAUGCAUGCUUCUUUUUUAAACAUGAAGCGGGACUGAUGGAAUUCUCUUAUUGCGUAAGUUUCCAUGUGGUAUAUCAACAUUAAACAAACUAUCAUCCUCUUUCACUCAGUCUGUCAAUAACUCAUUAAAUUGCCAAAAAGAAAAAAAAUCUGUCAUUUCUCUCUCUCAAGAAACAGAUAACUUGAGAGCAAUCAUACCCAUAUAAUUGAUUCCAUAAACGGUUGCGGAUUUUGUUGUUGAGAUUAGCUGGGAAGCCUUUGGCCACAAAAAUAAAAAAAAUAAAACACUUCAACAUUUAAUAUUAAACGGCUGCUGGCUGCUGGCAAACUAAAUUGUUUAGAUACAUGAAAACGUGUAACCACUUUUAUUUUUUUUAAAAGGAAAAUAGUUGCAUGCAUGCAUUCAUUUUUUUUAAAGUUUGUAGACGAAGAUUAUGUGAAAAUUUCUACAGCUAAUACGAAUCUUGAUUGAAACAAAUCUUUGAAAUUUUAAUUAAUCGUAUAUUUACCGUGUGUGUAUCUUUUUUUAUAAAUAUUAAGCUAUAAGCCUAUAACUAAAUAAUAAUAUCCUUUAUAGUGUAUACAGGAUACGCAAAGCAUCUAAGUCAAAUCCUUUCAAAUCAAGUAAAAAUUUUGAGAGAGCAUGGGUCGUGCUUUUGGUUACCUUAGGUCACCAACAUCCCUGACUACAUGAAAGUAUAAGAAUCAAAACUUACUUAGACAGGAAGAGAAUAAUUAACGCUAACUAGUAGUAUCCUUAUAAGUUAAACCAAAAAAAUGAUGGAGUUUGAACUCGAAAUGUUGUAGUUUGAAAGAAGAAAUGCUCUAUGUAACACUUGCAACUACAGGCGAGACAACUAAAAACAAAAGAAAAAAGAUCAUGCAUAACUAUAGUUAAUUUCAAGAUGGGUAAUGCUAAAGAGACUAAAUUUGUAAAUUAAAUGUUUUAAACCAAAUGAAAUGGAAAUCGAUGAUUGGAUUAUUAUUUAAGCGUUGAUUACCGUACCUACUUUUUAUUGGUAACACAUUAUUUAGUUUCCAAAUUCAGUCUACCAAGCAUAAUUCUUUCACAAUUGUCGACAAUCCACUGCCACAUUUAAUUAGGGUUAAGCAGACCAUCUUCUUCCUAAAAUAUUAAUUAAGGGACUUAAAUCUUCGAAAUAUUAUCCUAUAUUGUAAUGUAUUGUAAUUUAGGAUAAUGGAUAAUUGAUAUUGGGGUCACUGAUCAUGUGACUAGUGACUCUAGAGUGUUUGAUGAGUUAUGUGAUUAUGUUCGUGAUCCGUAUAUUACUAGUGCAAAUGGAGCACCUUCCCCUGUAAAGGGUGAAGGCACUAUCUCUCUUACUCCGACCUUAUCACUGGUCCAUGCGUUACUUGUUCCUGAUGUUAAAUGCAAUCUUUCGUAAGUAGGAAAACUACUUGAUACCUUAUAUUGUUCUGCUCACUUUUACCCUACGUAUUGUUAUUUUCAAUACAUUUAAACUCAGAAAAUAAUUGGUCGUGAUAAAAGAAUAGGGGGUUUGUACAUCUUAACUAUGGAGGAUAUUGUUGUUUCCAGUUCAAAUAAUCAUCAAGUUUUAAGUGCUAAAGUGGACGACAAACAUCAAAUUCGGUUGUGGCAUCGACGAUUGAGACAUCCAUCAUUCAGUUAUAUGAAGCAUCUAUUUCCUUCUUUGUUUCGCACUUGUAGUGAUUCAGAGUUCAAGUAUGAAACAUGUGUCAUGGCUAAGAGCCAUCGUGCUUCCUUUGACAUAAGUGAUUCUAAAGCUACUUUGCCAUUUGAUUUAAUACAUUCUGAUGUGUGGGGUCCAGCUAAGGUUACUUGUAAUGGAUUCCGUUAGUUUGUUACUUUUAUUGAUCAUUGUACUCGAUUAACUUGGGUGUUCUUGAUGAAGAAUAAGAGUGAUGUUCCUUUACUUCUUCAAGAAUUUUGUGCAAUGGUGUCUACUCAAUUUCAGACCAAAGUUAAGGUCUUCAGGUCUGAUAACGGAGGAUAAUAUGUAAAUCACACUUUGGCAUGAUUUUUUCAUUAAUGGGGUAUUAUUCAUCAGACGAUUACUCCGUUUACACCCCAACAAAAUGGUGUGUUCGAACAAAAGAAUCGUCAAAUAAUGGAGGUUGCUCAUUCCUUGAUGUUGGAUAAAUGUGUUCCUAAUCGUUUGUGGGGUUAUGUUGUUUUGGCUGUUGUGUAUUUGAUAAAUCGUGUUCUAAGUAGGGUUCUUGUUUUGGCUGUUAUGCAUCAAGUUUCUCUUGUUUCUGUAUCAAAACUUCCUCCGAAGAUGUUUGGGUGUAUUGCGUAUGUGCAUGUCUACUCUUAUCAACGGAGUAAACUUGAUGCAUGUGCUCUUCGAUGUGUAUUUAUUGGGUAUGCUAACAAUCAGAAUGGCUAUAAGUGUUAUCAUCCUCCGACUCAAAAAACUUAUAUUACCAUGGAUGUCACCUUCCACGAGGAAGUUUCAUAUUUUGUGAAGCCCUCUUCUGACUCUUCACUUCAGGAUGAGAGGGGGAGUGAAGUGCAGAUUCGAAGAGAUGGUAUGGAUGAUGUGUUAUAGGCAGAGUUAGGGACCUAACCUAUUAUGUUGCAUGAUACUGAUCAGUCGGCUAUAGAUAGUGAUUGGUCACCUGUCAUUCUCGAAACUAUUUCUACUGACGACAGAUCAGAUGUGCCCAACGAGUUGCAUGUUAGUCUGUCUAACGAAUUACCUUCUGAUGACCAUGUCUAACGAGUUGCCUAAUGAUGGUUCAUCCAGUGAUGAUUCUUCUCACAGUUUGGUACAAGAUGGUGACAUACAUAAGGUAAAUUCUGACAAUUCUUCUACUUAUCAGUUGCCUCCACGAGCUAAUCGUGGAAAACCUAAAGUACUAUAAGCCUGAUAUGCAUGCAAAAGCCAAAUAUCCUAUCAAUAAUUAUGUGUCUACUCAUUGUUUGUCCAAACCAUAUGCAUCUUACAUAUGUCAGCUAUCUAGUGUAUCAAUUCCAACAAAAUUGCACGAUACUUUGUCUGACCCUAAGUGGGUUAAUGCCAUGAGAGUUGAGAUGGAAGUCUUGGAAAAGAAUUCUACUUGGGAUUUGGUUCCUUACUAAACGGGAAGAAAGCUAUUAGGUGUAGAUGGGUGUUCAUUAUUAAGCAUAAAACAGAUGGCUCUAUUGAUCGGUAUAAAGCCAGAUUAAUUGCUAAUGGUUAUACUCAAACCUAUGGGGUAGACUAUCAGGAGACUUUUAAUACUGUACGUGUUCUUCUGUCCUUAGCAGCAAACCAGGAUUGGCAUCUGCUACAUUUUGAUGUUAAGAAUGCUUUCCUUUAUGGUGAUCAUAAGGAGGAAGUUUAUAUGGAUCUCCCACCUGGUAUCAGAACAUUUCCUGGAAAAUGUGUUGUAUGCAGGUUGCAAAAGGCUUUGUAUGGUUUGAAACAAUCUCCUAGAGCAUGGUUUGGGAGGUUUACAAGUUCAAUGAAGAAGUUUGGGUAUGUCCAGAGUCAUUCAUAUCAUACUUUGCUUCUAAAGCAACAAAAUGGUAAGCUAAUUGCAUUGAUUAUUUAUGUUGAUGACAUUAUAGUGAUUGGUGAUGAUCAGAAAGAGAUACAAGGCCUUCAAAAGUACCUAGCUACUGAAUUUGAGAUGAAAAAAUUGAGUGAAUUGAAGUAUUUUCUUGGAAUCGAGGUUGCACGAUCCAAGCAUGGUAUUUUUCUGUCUCAACAGAAGUAUGUUCUUGAUUUGUUAGCUAAAAUAUGUAUGUUAGAUUGCAAACCUAUUGAUACUCCGAUUGAGCAGAAUCAUCGUCUGGGCUUAUUUUUGGAUCAAGUUCCUACUCAUAAGGAACGGUAUCAGAGGCUUAUGGGGAGAUUAAUUUAUUUGUCUCACACUCGCCCUGAUAUUGCUUAUGCAGUUAGUGUGGUAAGUCAGUUUAUGCACUCACUUAGUAAAGCUCAUAUGGAUGCAGUAAUCCGUAUUUUGAGGUACUUGAAGAUGGAUUCUGGCAGAUGAUUGGUUUUCUCCAAGAAUGGUCAUUUGAAUGUCGAAGGGUAUACAGAUGCAGAUUGGGCAGGUUCUAUCACUGAUCAGCGAUCUACAUCUAGAUACUUUACGGUUGUGGAUGGUGAUAUAGUUACUUGGAGAAGCAAGAAACAAAAAGUGGUGGCUAGGUCAAGUGCUGAAGUUGAGUUUCGUGGUAUGUCUCACGGUGUAUGUGAAUUGUUGUGGUUGAAAAAAUUGUUGAGAGAUCUUGGAUUUAAACCCAAGGGUGCUAUAAAACUCCAUUGUGAUAACAAGGCUGCUAUUGAAAUUGGAUGCUGGAAUUAUUAUGUUUCCGUUUGUGGGAUUUGAAGAUCAACUCGCUGAUGUACUUACUAAGGUUGUGUCUAAUAGUGUGUUUUCCAAGUCGCUUGACAAGUUGGGCAUGCGUGACAUCUUUGCUCGAACUUGAAGGGGAGUGUUGCGAGUUAUAUAUUAGUUAAAGUGUAAAUAGUAGUUUGUUGUCCCACAUUGAUGAAGUGCAUAUGUAAUACCAAUUGUAACUCUUAUAUAUACUCCACUUUGGAGAUUAAUGUGUGUGUGUGUGUGUGUGUGUGUGUGUGUGUGUGUGUGUAUAAGAAAUUCCCAAAUAUUGUCAUAUAUAUUUUUGGUAUUUACCAUGUUUAGUUUGAUAGUAAUGAAAUUAGUUAGUGAGCGGCUGAGUUGUUAGAUGAUUUGUUUGAGAGAGAGCUUAGUUUGUUAAGGAUGAUAUCUCAUUUGAGUGGUCAUUGUUGUAAUUAAAAGGAUGAUCUCCCAGCUAGUAAAUCUCGUGCAACCCCUUGCUUGUAGAAGCUUAACAUGUGGCUUGUUUAUAUUUCAGGCACCAAUUCUAUUCCACGGGAAUCUAAAAUGCAAAGUAUUUGUUAGUGUCAAAUAUCGGAUAGAGCCCAACUUAGGUCAACACAAGCGUUACUUUCAUUCUCAGAGUCAUGGAAUGCCUCGAGAGAAAGUAUUGAGAAUAGGCGUGCCACAAUUGUAGGUUGAUAAUAGAUAGUGAUUGCAUAGUGAUUUGUAGGUUUUUGGUUAGCUCUGACUUCUAAACCAAAAUGAUUAUGCACCGAAUGAGAUAUUGAUUCGGUUAGGUUCUUUUGAAUGCAUAUGAGACCGAGGACUUGAAAACCAGUGUGUUAUAUAUGUUUUGCCUAAGAAUGUAAGUAGAAUAGAAGUGAAGAGAAGGAGUGGGUUAGGAUGCAUGAUCCUGAUGUUAGAGUUAUGUCCUAAAAGCUAAUUAUGUAAUAUUGGUUAUUAUGUAACAACUCAAUUUUAAUUAUAAUUAAUAAAAGGACAAGUUUUAUUCAUUCAUGAGUUUGGCUUUGGCUUUAUAUUAUAGAGAUAAUAUAAAGCCAAUUAGGUAAUAUUAGAUAUCAUGUAACAACUCUAUUUUAGUUAAUUAAUAAAAGGACAAGUUUUAUUCAUUCAUGAGUUUAGUUUUAUCUUAUGUUGGGAAGGAGCAAUCCAAGCUGAAGUGAGCUCGCCUAAGCUAGGCUUCCUUGUUGGUGGGCCGGUGUCGCACGCUUUUGGUGAAAUAAAAAUUAGAUACCCUACUAUAACAAGCCUAAUUUUUAUUUAUGGUCGAAAUAAUUAUAUGUCAAGGUCGUCAACAAUAGCAGAGUAUAAGGCUUUGGACAUAACAACUGCAUGAAUGGCAUGGAUAAGGCAGCUAAUGUUCAUGUUCCAUUGUGACACACCCUGAUCCUAGAAUCAAGGCGUGCUGGCCAUCACGUGAGUGUGACGUAACCAAAAGUGCAGUGCGGAAGCAAGGGAUAUGAGAGAUAUGAAGGAAUAAAAACCAACUACUAGUAGUAAUAUCCAACUAGCAUGCUAGAGUGAAUAUAAGUGUGCAGUACACCAGUUCAGAGCAUAAAGAAAACUAGGUGCAGUCAAGUAAGACUAUAAUUAAAGUACAACACCCGCAGGUGAGUCCUACAUGCAGGAAGUCUGUCAGAACGCCGAAGAAAAACCUCGUGAGUCGCCAACUGCUAACUAGAACCUGGAGGGGCGCAAAAACAAAAUUGAGUGGGUUAGUAAAACCAAAGUUUCCAAAACAUUUCAUUAAAAACAUUUCUAACCCCUCACUGUAAAACCUGUAUACUUUCCCAGAGAAUAACGUAAUAGCAUAUAAAACCUCAUACGUCACAAGUCACCAUUCUAUCACAAAUCCAGGAAUAUGCCAUGCCAUAAAUGUCAAUAACAAAACAUAGAUGCAUCAAAAUAACAGGUGACAUGAUGAAUUAACCGGAGACCCUGCAGUUGGUCCUGUACGGUUAAUUCCAUAGUUCAAUAUCCAACCCAGCCGGAGUCACCAUGAUGACCUGUACGACACUACUCUGCACAUAAAUCGGAACUACCUGAAGUAGUCUGUACGACAAGAAUGGUGUAAUGAUACGCUCUAGUGCUUCUCUCAUCAAUCAUUUGCGCGCGUGAUCUAAGGUCACCUACUAGUCGGAACCACCUCUAGUGGUAUGUUCGACUAGCAUGUCAGAGUUCCAUCUUUCUUUCUCAUAAAUAAUACCGGAGCUCCCCAAGGUGACGUACUAGGUUGAAUGAAACCUUUAUCAAGUAAUUCUUGUAACUGAAUUUUCAACUCUCUCAGUUCAGCUGGAGCCAUUCUGUAUGGAGUUAAAGAUAUAGGAUCUGUACCAGGAAGCAAAUCAAUAGAAAAUUCCACAUCUCUGUCUGGCGGCAAUCCCGGCAAUUCAUUUGGAAAUACAUCAUGAUAGUGCCUGACUACUCCAACUUCCUCUACACUGCUAGGAACAACAUCAUUUAAUACCACAUGGGCUAAGUAUCCUUGACAACCCUUCGAUAAUAACUUCUUUGCUCUCAUGGCAAAAAUAACUCCAUGUCUCACCCCGCUUCUUUCACCCACAAAAGUAACCUCUGGUAAUCCAGGACGAUAAAAGGUAACAGAUUUCCCGUAACAAUCAAUAUGGGCACGAUUAUAAUGCAACCAAUAUGCUCCUAGAAUCACAUCAAAAUCCACAAUAUCUAACGGGAUAAGAUUGGCUGGCAUAACUACACCCUCUACCAUCACUGGACAUCCAAGAUAAACACUAUCAACAUAACAUUUAUCCCCUCUAGGCAUGGCAAACUCUAAAUCAAAUCCUAGAGGCGAAGGGUGAGGUUGAGUCAUUUGAGCAAACGUAUGAGAAAUCACAGAAUGUGUACCACAAUCAAUCAAAACUCUAGCAAAAUGACCAAGAAUAUUUAACGUACCCAUGAUCAAAUCUGGAUGGUUCUGAUCAUCUUGCAGUGAUAUGUGAUUAACACGUCCCUGAGCUUGCUGUCGUCCACCACGACCUCUGUUGCCUUGGUUACCUCGCCCCUGUGAAGUACGUCCCUGCCAUGACUGAUUAGACUGCCUCGAUGAUCCUGCACCACUAGCAGCAACCUCUCCCUGACAGGGUUGACCUCCCUGAUGCCACUGAGAUCCACUGGCAGACAUGGAAGAAUAAGAAGGAUAACCCACAGGGUCUUAGGAAUACCAGUCUGAGAAUAAGGAUCCUGGGAAUACUGAUACUGUCCGGAAGCAUAGGGAGCAGCAUCACCCUGAUAGUGGUAAGCACCACCACGACCCGUCUGACCAUAAUUGCCUGAUCCAAAGUUCUGCUAAAUCGGCGCUAGAGGUGGCAUACCAGACUGCUGAGAUUUCUGCUGACUCUGGGGACACUGAGUAGCCCUAUGUCCCAUUUGUCCACAAAUGUAGCAAGCACCACCACUACCGCUUCUCCUACACUCUCCAUGAUGUCUGAAGUUACAACGGCGGCACAACGGAGCACCAGAACCACCAGCACCACCAAAAUCUCUCUGUCUCUGAAAUCUAGGCCCGCCAGCAAAUCUUCCACCUCUCAUCGGGCCAGUGACACUAAAUCCUCCACUGGAAGAACUCGAACUUGCUCCACUUUUCUUGAAAUUCUGCGUCUUACGGGGUCCCUAAGUGGAGAUACCUUUGCCCUUAUCAUCCUUCUUCUGACUAUCAUUCUUGUCCUCAUCAUCCUCACUGUCACUAGGAAGAUUAUCGGAAUCCUCCAUCCGAACCAAAAUCUCGAAAAACUCAUGAUAAUCGUUGCAAGGAAGCGCACUAGCAAAAGUUCGCCAUUUCCUCUUAGUUCCCAGCUUAAAACGACGAAGCAUCUAUACUUGAUUACCAGCUAUAUCAGGAUCAUAACGAGACAAGUCUGUAAACUUUCUGUAAUACUCAUGUGCUGACAUAUUCUUUUGCUUCAAUCGAGUGAACUCAUGCUUCUUGCGAUCAAUGUACUCCGGAGAGAUAAAUCUUUUCUUAAAAUGUUCCUUGAAUACUUCCCAAUCAGCUGCCAUCUCAGGGGACAUAAACUGAGUUUGAUUUUUCCACCAACCUGCAGGCUCUCAUCCCAAAAACCAAGUAGUGGUCUCAACCCAUCUAUUAGCAGGAAAAUUUCCUUGACUCUGCAUCACUUGAAAAGUCAUCUCAAUAUGGUCUAGCCACUUCUCUGCCCCUUCAUGACCUUCAUUACCCAUGAAACGAUCCAAUUUUAGAUUAUACAUAGUCUCCAGGGGUGUCCUCUGAGAAGGAGGAGGAGGGCGGAUUGCAUUCUGAAAGGCCUGGGCCAUCACUUCCCCUAACUGAGUUAUAUCAGGGAAAUUAGGUUCAGAAGCACGGCGUGACUCCCUACGAGGCGGCAUAAUUCUGACAGAAAACAUCAAAAGAUCAUUAGAGCAUUAACAAUUAUACAGGACUGCAACCUAGGCUCUGAUACCAAACUGACACACCCCGAUCCUAGAAUCAAGGCGUGUUGGCUAUCACGUGAGUGUGACGUAACCAAAAGUGCGGUGCGGAAGCAAGGGAUAUGAGAGAUACGAAGGAAUAAAAACCAACUACUAGUAGUAAUAUCCAACUAGCAUGCUAGAGUGAAUAUAAGUGUGCAGUACACCAGUUCAGAGCAUAAAGAAAACUAGGUGCAGUCAAGUAGGACUAUAAUUAAAGUACAACACCCGCAGGUGAGUCCUACAUGCAGGAAGUCUGUCAGAACGCCGAAGAAAAACCUCGUGAGUCGCCAACUGCUAACUAGAACCUGGAGAGGCGCAAAAACAAAAUUGAGUGGGUUAGUAAAACCAAAGUUUCCAAAACAUUUCAUUAAAAACAUUUCUAACCCCUCACUGUAAAACCUGUAUACUUUCCCAGAGAAUAACGUAAUAGCAUAUAAAACCUCAUACGUCACAAGUCACCAUUCUAUCACAAAUCCAGGAAUAUGCCAUGCCAUAAAUGUCAAUAACAAAACAUAGAUGCAUCAAAAUAACAUGUGACAUGAUGAAUUAACCGGAGACCCUGCAGUUGGUCCUGUACGGUUAAUUCCAUAGUUCAAUAUUCAACCCAGCCGGAGUCACCACGGUGACUUGUACGGCACUACUCUGCACAUAAGUCGGAACUACCUGAAGUAAUCUGUACGACAAGAAUGGUGUAAUGAUACGCUCUAGUGCUUCUCUCAUCAAUCAUCUGCGCGCGUGAUCUAAGGUCACCUACUAGUCCGAACCACCUCUAGUGGUCUGUUCGACUAGCAUGUCGGAACCCUCUCAUGGUCUGUACAACAUGCACCUACUUGGAUCCAAGGUGAGCGUGCGGUGCGGUGAAUAAUAUAAGCAUUAACACCAGGGGUGCAGGUUAUGAGCUCUCAACACAAUUCGCAUUAUCAAUGAUUCACAUAAGUAACAUAAAAUUCACCUGAUACUCACCUGUGCGUCCGCAGCACCAAUUCACAUAUAUAUAUACAUUCAUAUCCAUUCAUAUAAUUCAUAAUAUGCAUGCAUGGCAAUUGAAAACAUACUUUCAUAUAAAUUCAAUUUCUGGGAAAAUUAAUAGUAUAAAGGUAUAUACUGAAAACAAAACUGCCCACUCACUGGUAAGUCGAUGGGUCGUAACCCCCGUGACGUCCCUGGAUGCGCUCGUCCUCGGGAUAGGUGUCACCUAUAUGCGAAACAACUAUAAAAACGUUAAUUAAUGCACAUAACCAACAAUUCGAAAUAACUUCUUAUACGGUGCUCAAUUUGGGUAUAUGAAUAUACCACAUCGACCUACUCGACGUCACGGACGUCGAGAAAUUUUUAAAAAAAUUUUUUGAAGCGGCACGUGCCCCCACGCGCGUCUUCUUCCUCGAGCUCGCCAGACUGGUUUUUCUGGUGGCCGGAAUCUGGGAAAUUUUCAAACGCUUUGUUCUCCUUCGUUUCUCAACCAUUUUCUUCGUAUUUUAUAUCAAUUUGAAGCCUCAACAUGUAGAAUCACGAUAGACUAGUUUCAAGAUCUAAAAUCCACUAGAUUUUACCUGAGGAAGCUCGAUAAUCCGGCCAAAUUUGAAAAGCUCCGUUCUCAGUCCUCCGACGUCCAAAUUCUACCAACGAAGUACCCCGAAGCUCGUGAGGAUCUCCUUAAGCUCACUGUGAGCUUGAAAUUCCCUGAAAUGCAAGAUUUUACGUGUGCAUGAACAGUGCACAUUUUCGGGGUUAGGGUUUCACAACGAUUCUGAGGAUUUCUGAGGUUUUAAAAUCAAAUAUCACAUAUACGAACUCACAAGCUUACUAGGAGUUCAAAUCUUACCUUAGAACCUUCGAUCCGUGAAGAAAUGGGAGGUUCCUAGCUUGUCUGUACGUACACAGUGCACGUGAAGCAGAAAAAUCGAGAAGAGAGAAAGAGACACGGGGAAAGGAGAAAGAAGGAUGGACUGUGUGUGUGUGUGGUCCAACAUACCCCAUCACCAUCCAUUUUCUUUUUUUUUUCCUAACUCCCUAACCACACAAAACAUACAACCCAAUUUAAUCUACUUAAAUAUUUUUCCUAAAGUUUAGGAAUGAAUUUAGUCCAAUAAUAUGCCACACACACAUACCUUAAUAUCCGUCAAGGGUAAUUCCGUCAUUUCACGUCCCCGAUAUAUAAAAUCCCGGAACGGGCUGUGACACAUUGGAUGCUCCUCCCAUGAUUUACAGUGGCAACAUGUCUGCCAUAGCCAUUACAUAGCAAAACACAUUGAGAUAAACUUGUUGUGAAGGAUAAGGUCAUAAAAAAUGAUUUGCGAAAGUGCUAUUCAGAAACUCAUUUUUAUCUCCCACACCUUUGUUAAUCUUUGGCUAUUGAUCUUCUUCAACUCAUUUGAUCCGACAGCUGAAAACUGAGAGGAGUAUGAGAAGUAAAAAUGGGUGUGUGAAUAACACUACCUAUGAUUAUUGGUGCAACAUUGCAAUAAUCUCAUGGUUCACACAAGCAUGAUUGAGGGGGGACGUAGAGUAUAGAGCUCCGAAGCUUUAAGUUGUUGUAAAUCAGUUAGUGAUCAGUAAUUUGUUAAAGUGAGAGAGAGCUUAGUUUGUUAAGUUUGUUAGUAAGCAAAGAGAUGUAAGGCACGUAAUCUUGCAGAAUGCAAUCAACAGUUUCCCUUUUCUCUGCAGGUCACAUCUCUAAUUUCAUGCAGAAUUAAUAUGUUGCUUCAAAAGAUUUUAUUAUUGAGACUUCAAAGGCACAUGUCCCUGCCGCUUCCCUCACCUAAUUAGUCGAUCCGUUAAUGGCCGGUCACUUUUGAAUUAGACGUUUCGACGUGAACAGAUUUCAAUUCAUCUCAUUUAGCAAUUUCUUUUAGUUGAAUAGAUAAAGUAAGAAUAAAAAUCAAGAAAUUGCAGUCUUUAAUUAAUUUUCAUUUUUUUAUAUCUGCAUCUACCAAAUUAAUGGACGAUUGGAUGUCAAAAAUCAACCGAAUUGUGCCUCAAGUUGAUAACAACGGGAGCUUCAAUGUGAUUAGUAAUCUUGACUCUUAAGGGUGUCGUACAUUAAUCAAGUAUAAAUUUGCAUUUGUGGUUAACUUCAAGAAAACAAGAAAUGUUCGUAUUUUUAUUUCUAUAUAUAUAUAUAUACUAAUGACUCGUUUAUUAAUCUAUAAUCAGAUUGAGAAAAAAUUAAUUGAAGAGGAAACAAAAUUAUAUUCUAGUUAAAAUUGUUUAUUAAACUUGGCAGAGGUAGACUCGUCAUUUGGCUCACCUGCAAAAAUGAAUUUUUUUUAAAGGGCUUUUCCCACACUCGCUAAGCCGGAAAAUUUUCAAGUUUGAUCCUUUGCCAUGGAUGGAAAAAGAAAUCCUGAUAUAGAUAGUGUUUAGUGAGUGAUAGCUGUUGUCGUUGAAGGAUUUCUCUUUGAAUCCGAUUUGUCACUGGUGAAGAAUCUUUGAUAGUGGCAUCCCAAUAAGCAUCCGAUGAGGUGGGGUAGCCCUGGUCAGUUGUAUUGAAGAUAGCAUUUCACCAGCUUACAUUGGAACUCUAGAUUUGGAGUAGAAAUGAUUUUGGUUCCAUAUUAGUUGUUUAUUAGUUCACUUGAAUCAGAAUUAAAACAAACUUGAUUACUAAACUGUCCUUGUUUAAAAUAAAUUAUUUUUCAUGCUAAUUAAUGAAAUUUAAUUUAACAUAAUAAAUUAUAUCUAUAUAAAAAUGGUCAUUUUGGUUCUAGUCCUAAUCAACCUAGUUGUUAGAAUGAAAUCUUAUUUGUUUAAAUAGUUUGAUCAAGGUCCCUAGUAUCAUUUAAGAGAUUUAACUGAUACAUUUAUGCAUUCAAUAUCCCACAAAUUAUAAAAUUUAAACAAAUCCAAAUAUUAUUGUAACAAAUAUAACAGUUACUUAAAAAUCAAUAAUAGAGUAAUUUGUUUUUCACAUAGUUCUAGCAAAAGAAUGUACCCAUGUAAUUUUCACAUCCUAGCUCGACUUCGCCGUAGCAUGAUAUUGUCCGCUCUGGGCUUACCAUUCCCUCACGGAUUUGUUCUUGAGUUUCGGCACGAGAACUUCCAAGGGGGUCACCCAUCCUAGGACUGCUUUCGCCCAAACUCGCUUAACUUCAGAGUUCUUAUGGGAUCCGGAGCCAAUGAGCUCCCAAAAGACAUCGUGCUAUAAGGAGGGGCGCAUGUACAUAUAAGGCAUAUCACCCCCUCUCUGUUGGUCGAUGUGGGAUCUUACAAUCCACCCCACUUAAGGGGAACCCAGCGUCCUCACUGACACAUCCGUAUCGAACAGCAGUGUGGCUCUGAUACCAAUUGUCACAUCUCAGCUCGACUCCGCCGUAGCACGAUUUUGUCCGCUUUAGGCUUACCAUUCCCUCACGGAUUUGUUCUUGGGUUUCAGCACGAGAACUUCCCAAGGGGGUCACCCAUAGGACCGCUCUCGUCCAAACUCACUUAACUUCGGAGUUCUUAUGGGAUCCAAAGCCAGUGAGUUCCCAAAAAGCCUCGUGCUAUAGGGAGGGGAGCAUGUGCAUAUAAGGCACAUCACAUCACCUCUCUCCGUUGGUCGAUGUGGGAUUUUACAAUCCACCCCACUUAAAGGGAACCUAGCAUCCUCGCCGGCACAUCCGCACUGAAUGGCAGAGUGGCUCUGAUACCAUAUUGUCAUAUCCUAGCUCGACUUCGUCGUAGCACGAUAUUGUCCGUUCUAGGCUUACCAUUCCCUCACAGUUUUGUUUUUGAGUUUCGGCACGAGAAGUUCCGAGGUAAAAUUUUGGAAUAUGACGCCAAAGGUAUACGUCCUCGAAACGUACAAUACUACUAACCAACUCUACGACACAAACUAAAAGGUCUCAUGCUAUAGGGAGGGGAGUAUGUACAUAUAAGGCACAUCACCCCAUCUCCGUUUGUCGAUGUGAGAUCUUACAUAAUUAUUAAUAUAGUGCAAGAAAUAACUAUUGAUAUAUUUUAAAACAUAAAAUAAACACAUAUAAUGAGCAUGGGUACGAUCAUAAAAAAAUAUUGGUACAAAUUCAAUUAAAAAUAUGGGUACAUAUUAAAAUUCAAAACUAUUAUGACAACCCACCCCUAAUUUUACGAUUAUUAAUUUUAAAAGAGUGAUUUGACGAAAAUGCCAUAGAGGUGAGAUUAUUGACUUUCGUUGACCAUCUUUUUGUGAUGUGUUCGAACUUCUAUUUUAUCGUAUUCUCGAAGGACUCAACAGUAUGAACGCAUAGGCGUAUACGGAAUUGAAUUCGAAGCUACGAUGAAGAUUUUACGGAACUACGAAUCCGAAUACUUUUAUCAAAAUUACUAUCUGGUAUUUUAUUUAUUUAUUCAAAAGUUUAUAUUAUUAUAUUCUUAUUUUAAUAUUUUAUAAAGGAUAUUUUAUUAUUUAAUUAUCUUAUUGGUCAUGGGACCCACACAUCUCAAACCCUUCACUUCUUUCAUACCCUGUGUCCCUCUUCCCUCUCUUUCUCUUUCUCGCAUGUUUCCCUCUCUGUUACUCCCUUUCCUUCUCCUAGAAAUCACACGCUGCCACCAACUCAGUUUCCAUUCCGGUGAGAUCCUUUGUCACGGAGCUACAACCGCCGACAGCCACGACUUGUCACUAAUCUCAAACUUUCUAAAACUCUCUAAUCUUAAACUCUCUCUGCACUCCCUUGUGCACAGUAACGCCGAACCACCUAACCUCUCGAACUUCGGCGAGUUCUCGCAAUUCCCAGUGAAGGUGAGCCUCAAAAAUCCCCAAAACUUCUUAAAUCUCGUUUUGGUUUAAGAUUGGGGAAAUUUGAGGUGUUUUAUCAACAUUUUGAUGCAGAAAUGGCACGAGGGAUUUUUCCUCAGUUUCCAGCAAGAGAUCCGACAACUUCAAGUUGUUUUCCGGCCAGCUUCGGGCACGGUCGAGGAAUCCAAUGGUAUAUUUCGAUUCCUUGUUCUCCGAGCUUCAAUUUGAUAUAUAGGAAGACUUGGUUUAGUUAAGUAUUUGGGUUGGUCGGAGUCUCAGCCGUCUUUUUCCAAGUUUUGGAGGUUGCAGAGGCAACCGGCCGGAGAAGAAGAAAGGGAAAAAAAGGGCUUUAAGCCCAAAACCCAGCCCAUAUUCUUUUGGUCCAAACCUUUGGGCCAAUGCCCCAGUCGGCCCAUUUAUUCUUUGGAAUAUUCUUAGAAUAUUCCUUGUGUUGACUUUUUUGGAAAUUCCUCGGAAACCCUCCUAGGCUAAUUUUGACGCCUUGAUUCCAAAUUCGCACUAUGUUUUCCCAAAUUUAAUUAUUUUAGUGGAGUUUUACUAAUGGGUCCUAAUAUUAUGCUUAGGUGAGAUUAUUAUCAAUGACUUCGGUUAUUCUAGUUCGAACGGGUUCGACUCGACAGCGUGAUCUGUGAGUGAAUCUUUUAUAUAUAUAUUGGUUAGUUUCCAUAUGUACAUUCCUUAAUGAAUUUCCUACGUGAUUACCAUAAUUAAAUUAACGUUCGUAAGAAAUGCCUUAUUGUUGGGAAAAGAUGAAAUAAUCCUACGAGAUGCACAAGUGAGCUUACAAUAAGGGCAUGCCUUAAUUAUAUUUAUGGCCAUGAAUAUUAUGAUAUUGACUAGAAUUGUUGAAUGGCUGUGGCAUGAUCAUAUUUAUGUUAUAUGUUCAUCGUUUGCUGCACCGGUGUUAGUACUCGCCCAUGCCAGAACCAGUCUUUCACGUGUAUGUGCACAUUACACUGUAUGCUCACUUUGGAUCCAUGGUAGGUGCCAAUCCUGUCCUAGAUUGCUAUAGGCAAUUAGGACUCGUAUGUGCUGCGCAUAGCGCCAAUCUUCAUGUGAUUGUAGUACUAGAGCGCAUAUCAUUGUUACACCCAGUCCUGUUUAUGUCAGAAUACCUCUGCAUGAACUCGUGUGUCAGCAUGCGUCGAUGAGCACUCGUUAUGGUAGGUUUGCUUAUGUGAGAUUAUAUGAUUUCGGUCGUCAUACACUUAUUUAUGAAUUAUUGUGUCGUAUUGAAUUAUUGAGAUUUUGCAGGCUAUUGUAGAUAUUUUCUUACUAUACAUAGUACGUAUAUUUUGGAAACUAUACUUGUUUUACGGCGAUGAGUUAUUACGUUUUCGAAAAGGUUUUUAUAAAGCUUUGUUUUUAGGCCCACUCACCCUUGUUUUUCGCCCCUCCAGGUUCUAAUAGUAGAGCUUUCAUACCAACGAGGAUUAUUGGCAAAUCUUGGUAUUGGUGAUUACCCUCGAUGGUAUAAUUGUCAAUCCACUCUACUGUACUUUACUUAUGCUCUGACAUCACGUGUGAAAUGGGUUCAUUCCCGCUCACCAGCGCACUCUUAUAUUUAGGCACUUUUAGGUUUAAAUUUAUUCACAUUUUUCCACAUCACUACACUUUAUGGCUUCGUCACCCUCCGGGUGUCACCCAGCACUGCUCAAUUUGAAGUCUAGGUGGACAUUCCGGAUCAGCGUGUGUCAACUAUGGGUACAAAUUAAAUUGACAAUAUGGAUGCAUAUUCAAGUUCAAAAUUAUGGGUACAAAUUAAAACUAAAAAGAAUAUUGGUAUAAAUUAAAAAAAAAAAAAAGGAUACAAAUUACAAAUAGAAAUAUAUGAAAAAAAAAUACGAAAAAGAUUAUAUUUGAAAUUGAUUAAUAAUUUUCCAUUUUUAAAUUGACAUAUAAUGACUUGUAAAUAAUUUAAUAUUCAAAUAAUGACAUGAAGAAAAGUUAAGGGACCUUGAUCAAAAAUGAAAAAGGAACAAGGUUUCAAUUAAUGAGAAUGAGAAUAAGGGAUGAGAACUUAAUUUAUUCAUAUAAAAAUAAUUAAAGAAGGUUUUCUUUUAAUAAAAAGGAUGGUUAAUUAUAAAAUCAAAAUAAAAAAAACUGACAUCUUCAACCUCUUCUUCUCGAUCGGCACUUAGUACUACGGUUUAAUGGUAUUCCUCUUCUGAAAGGUCUUAGGUUCGAUUCUCGCCAAAAGCGAGUUUGAACCACAUUAUUGCUAACCCAUUGUGAGACUAAGCUCACCCCCUCUCCUAUAGUGUAGAUAAUAUCGUUUGUUAAAAAAAAAAAAAAAAAAAAAAAAAAAAAAAAAAAAAAAAAAAAAAACCUCUUCUCGAUCUUGGUCUCAUCCCUGUACUCAAUCAUUUCUUUCCCCUACCUCCACAACCUCCCAUGCCUCCCCCUUAGAGCAACUCCAACGUUGCAAAGGCCCCCUAGGGCAACUUACUAUUGAAUCCACCCAGUGAACAGUAACUGCCUUUAAUGAAUAGUAACUACCUUUUGCAUCUCUACCUCUAAACUGAAUAGCCAUGUCAAUAGGCAAUAAAAUAUUAGUAUUUUUUUAUUUUAUAAAAUAAUACAAAAUAUUUUACUUUCUUCAUUUUCUCGGAAAAUAUUUUACUGUCUACUUCCCGAGAAAAAAUUAUUUUUUACUUUCCCCCUCGCUCUCUCUACUUUCCUAGAAAAUUUCACUACUUUCUUUUGAUUGUCUCCUCCCCUCAUUUUCUCUCACUCCAAUCCUCCAAGAACCCAUCUUUCUUUCAAUCCUUGCAUCCCCACAAAAAUCCCACUUCUAGGUUUUCUUUCCCAUUCACUUAAUUCCCCCACCAAGCUCUCAGAGCUCCAAUGGUGGCCGAGAACACGCUGAAAUAGAUGGAGGUCUCCGCCAUGAUCAAACAGGGCUUCAUCUCCGAUCAAACCCUCUCAUUCUCGCUGUCAAGAUCCCUCUCCAAGCUUUAUUCCCCCCACCUUAUCACCUUCCAAGCUUCUCUCUUCCCCUACUUCUCCCCAACAGCCGUCGCAACUUGCCGGGUCAAAUCAGUUUUUGACUCGACCGACCUGGUCCUGAACUCUUUACGAGAUGAUGUCCUACGACCAAAACCGAGACUCCAAGCUCCUCACGGACCGGAAAAUCCAUGCAUCUUCACCCUGACAUCAGCGUUGCAUCACUUCUACCCUGGGCUCUCGAGCCACUGAUUCGAGCCAAGCCUUUCGCUCGGGCCCCCCUUCUGCGCAAUCACCCGCAUGGGCUGGAGAUGAUUGAUGGGGCUAUUGGGCCCUAUUAAGUCGCUUGUCCAUCAGGCUACUCCCCCCGGUGGAGUUGCUCUAAGCUUUUUUAUUUCCCAGCCCGCACAGCCUCCCACCCUCUUAUCUACAGAUCCUUACGAAUCAUAAUUUGUUGCUCUCGUUAAUAGGUUCUGCAUGCAACCAGGAACGAAGUCAGGCGUUUGGAGUCAAAUGUCUUCCAAUGGAAAUCGGUUGAUUUGAACAAGACGAAUGUGGUUGAGUCUGUCAACUUGGUGGUAAAGUUGUAAGGUCAUUUCUUAAUAAGGAAAAAAACUAUAGGCAGAAAUCUUGGAACAAAAGUUGGAUUUCGGAUGACCGCCAAUACUCGGAAUUCAAAUACAACAUGAUAUAGAGAAUCUCACUUUCAAAAGUCUGAUUCUUGAAUUGGGAUGGGUUCCACCCUUGUAUUGAUUUCUACGGUUCUACCCAAUUAGUAAGCACUCGAAUUUAUUAAACGGUGUGCAAUUUCAUUUUUCUCCAUUCCUUUUCUCCUUUUAACACGCCAUGAAUGUAACAAAUGUUGUAAAUUAAGGACAUAUAUAUAGGAGAACGAUUAGAAAUAUGACCAAAUAAAUGAGAUACGGUCCCCUAAACUCCUUAAGAACGCUUGAUCUUAAAUUUUCUUUCAUUUUCUUUUUUAACUUUAAUUCUAUCCCUAAUUUGAAUGACUUCGUUACAACAUGUCCAUGUAUUUUGGGCCUACUUUGUCUAACGACGAUACCUAAUCACUAUUAUGUAAUUCUUUUCUUCUGUGCAGUUGGAUCAUUAGAGAUUGACUUUUUCCCAAAUAUUCUAUUUGUUCAACAAAUUCUUCAUGGCAGAUGUAGUAGGUUCAAUGAUGGCACAACUUCGAUAUAUACGUGGUGAUAGUUAUGAUUAGGGUUACAGAUUUGUUUAGGGUUUUGGUUGUUUUGGACUAUGUGGGCUUGGAUAUAGCUUGUGCUAGAUUUUGGUGCUAUGACUUUUUUAGUUGUUUGUGCAUACUUGUCCAUUUUAGUGUAGUCUUUUGGAGUUUCUUUGUUUACAGUUAUAUUGAGAUUCAUGUCUUGUACAUAUAUUUGAUGUAACAUUAAAGUAAAGAAAAAUCAAAUAAUAAUAAAUAAACUAAAACAUACAGAUUGUAUAUAACAAAAUAAAUUGUUUAGUCAAGUUGAUUAGAGGAUUAUGCUUCAUCCUUUUGCAAUAAACGUUUAGAUGAAUUUAAUGUAGAAUAUCACUUACAUAUGAAAAAUUAAACAAUACAAUUAAAUAAAACUCUAUUUUAUUAAACUAAAUUGAGCAUAUUGCAACAAAUCAAUACAAACGAAAAUUGAAUAAAGUAAAUAAACAAUUGACUUGUACGAAGAUUGAGACUUGCAGAUUGCAAUGUCCUCACAAAAUUUGCAAUGCACAUGCGCUAGUAGUUAUGCAGGCAUCUAUCCACCAAGAUUCAAUGAUCUAAUUCCAAGUUCUAACACUUCAACUUUGAGCAUUUACAAACCGAUUGUGAUUCUCUCACUCACUCAAAUGUGUUUCCAUUGUGAGAAAAUGUGGGUGAAUAUUUAAGAUGCGUUUGUUACAUCGAGCUAUCUCCCACCCUUCUCCUCUUUUUCUUCUAUUUUCUCCGAUUUUUGCCCUUUUUUUCAGUCCCACGCUCUCCCUCCCCUCUCUAACUUUUUCUCAGUCCAAUCGCAUAAUCGCAAGGAUUUUUUUUCCACUAUAAGACUUGCACGAUAACAAAAACUCAAAAAUCAAGGGCUUCAAAUAAUAAAAGAUUUUACCUUGACUUCCUCAUGCUCUUAAUAGAUGAAAAUGCCACCAAGAGUCCCACCAGACUUUCAAUGCCAAAGCCCAUAAUUCCAAAGCAGAUCCAGAGCGGACCGGAUUCCAUUUGUCGUUCUCGGAUCCUAAGUUUUUCAUGCGGAAUCGUUAGCUCUGUUUAUUGGGUACUAUUUUCAGUUCAAUCGACCAAAAUGGAGGAACCCAUUUCCUCAUAUCAAGUGUUCCUCCGUUAAGCUGAAGCCACACCCGAAGCCCGUGCCGUAAAAAAUGGAGGUCGAUAAGCCCAAGGCAGAGCCUUUGGAAGAUGCCGAGAUCGUGAAACGCGAUUUUGGGUUUUGUAGUCAGAUCGCGAAGCUGCUUGGCGAACAGAUGGUCUUAGCAUUACUCUGGUUUUUGGGGGAUCUCAUUAGGACUGUCUAGCAAGGGACGUAGUCGAGGCGAGUUACACGUAAUUCCAUCAAAGUUAGUCAUGCGGGUAACAAACAUGGGACAAAAUAAUCCUUAAUCUAGUCCUGUUCAGUGAAGCCUUGUGAAGGCAAGCAAACACACCCCUAGUGUCAUUUCAAAGAAUAAUUACAACCAUAAUGUGUGAAUAUUAAUCAGAAUUAAAUAUAUAAGUUUUGGGUUUAUCUAAUCUACAAAGAAUGAAACUCAAACCUGAAUGCAAAAAAUAAAGCACGUUGCUCUAAUCAACUUGACUAACUCAAUCAUUAUAAUUUCUCAAAAUUUUACAUCGGGCAAAAAUUCAUGACCAUAAAGAAACUAAUGGGCGAUAUGAUGAACUUCUCUCUUUUGUAGGUGAAAUUGGAUUCGAGCCCAAAAGAUAAAUAAAAUAAAAUAAUCUGUAAAACUUUCUUGUGACAAAUAAGUUAUUACUUCAGAAUGGGAAGUAGCCCAAAACAUGAGUAAGCUUAAGCUCGGCCGUCCCAUUAGCAGCAUAGUUGCAUUGGUAUGGACCGAUGGACGUGUCUUAUGGUCAUGCAUGUCGGGUACUUAGUGGACUUUGAAAUGGUCAACAACAUUACUCAGUCCUACCGUACGCAAAGUAAGGGCUGUUUUUAUAAGAAACACUUUUGUGCAUAAGUAUUUUUAUUAAAUAUUUCUUUUUUAUUAGAAAUACGUCAAGUUAUUGAACAAAUAUUCAAGUGCAUUUUUUAUGUGCUUCUUAAAUAAGCAUUUUAGAAAACACCUUUCUGAACUAUAACCUAUAUGGAUUUUGUUAAAUGUAAUCAUAAGAUAGUUUUGAUUGUUAGAAAUCGUUUUUAGCUCUUUCAAAAAACAAUUCCAAACAUACCAUAUAUACACACACACACGGAUACACUAGAUACAAAGAAUGAGUAACUCAGAAAGGUAAAAGAUGCUGAAUGUUGGGGGAGAAUCCACUACACAGUUCUAUUGACUAUGCUAGGAAUCUCUUUUUUGUUCCCAUAUUUUCAGGGUGACCUCCAUAUGGGCGUCUUCAUGGUGUCUGCCGCAAUGUGUCGUUGCAAUAGAAAUUUAAGAGGCAAAUGCAAGUGGGAAGACAGUUAAAAACAAUUGGCCGGGUUGGAAGUAAGGUUCUAAAAAGUGUUAGGCGCUAGUUGGGUGGUGUGCAGGAGUUUAGAGCAUAGAAGUCUAACUAAAUUUAUUAAAUAAUAUAUAAAUAAAUGUCUAAUUAUACUUAAAAAAUACAUAAUAUUUUUGGAAUACAUAAAUUGUGAAAUAGAAUGAUAUGUAAAUUAUAAAGUACUAGAACAUAUUGAAAACAUGGAAACAAGCAUAUCAAUGAAUGUUCAUCUAAGUAUUCAACAAGUCUCUUACAAUAUAGUGAAAAAAUAAAAUGCAAAAUGAAAGUUGCCUAUUUUAUGUCUAAUUGAGAGUCACGAUGUCUAAGCAGUUCUAGGCGGCUAGGCGGGCGCCUAGGCAAAUUUAGACGUCUUUUCUUAUUUUUAAAAUGCUUAGGAAUUAAUCAUUAUAAUAGUCAACCACCUAGCGCACCUUGGCGGCCCUGAACGGGGCUUUUUGGAACACUAGUUGGAAGAAACGGUUUAAGUUUGGCAAUUCAUUUAUCUAAAACACAAACCUCUAUGCCCCCAUCCUCGGUUUGUUAGGACAAUUUCAAAGGUAUCUUGCAAUACUAGUUGUGUGACAUAUGAUCUUCGUACCUCAAAAACUUACGUGUUUAAAGAAUAAGUGGCACUAUAAAGUAAACACUCUUUUCAUGUACACCGACAUCAUGUAAUGUUAAUUUAAGCUUAACCAACAGAUAAAUUAGGUAAUUAAGGCAAGUGAUGUAUUUCUUUUGUGGGUAUGUCAUUCUUCUUUAAUGAAGCUUAAAGUUGUAACACCGCUUACAAAAAUAUAAAAUAAAAUAAAAAGUGACGUGUAAAACCUCAACCAAGCGAAAUAAGUUGAUUUGCAUGGCCAACCCUAAAACCAUGGGAAAAGGGAAAAGUUAAGGGAAUUUUAACGAAAAGCACCUGGUACUGUUCACUUUAACGAAAAACCAUAUUUUUACACUAAAAAGUCAAUCCUGGUACUAUUCACUUUACCCUUUAUUUUGUCCUUAUCAUUAAAACUCAAAGUUUUCAAGCCAUUUUCAAGCCAUUUUCAUUAGUUUUCUUAAAAGUUAAAGGAUAGAUACAGUUCUCACUUGUAAAGAGAAGGAAAAAUAGGUGCUUUUUUUUUUUUUUUCUCGUUAAAUCCCCUUCUUUUCUCCUUUUGCAACAACAUGGAGAAAACUUUCAACGUUGGCCACAUUGAAGUUCCGUACAAACCAGUAAACUCUAAAGGAAAUUUGGAAAAGACUUGCAAGGGCAAAAGGCCCUCUAAAGCAUGUAGCUCGCAACCUUUUUCCUUUUUUAUAUUUCGCGUGUGGAGACAUUCAGAGUGCUUAAUCUUGCAGCCACUCUUUCAGUAAUCCUUUUAGUUAUCGUCGUUAGUUUUACUUAUUUGUUGUUAUUUUAAUUAUAUUUUGAUUUUUACGGUUCUAGCUUGAUUUGAUUGGUUAGCUGGAAGCCUGGAACUGCAUAACCAAGGCCUGCAGGUUUGUAUAAUUAUGUGAUGUUUUCUGUAAACAGCCAAUAAGCAAGGUAUCGUGAUUACAACUUUUAUCCAAGGUUGAGGGAACAUAAAUUGUAGUUCCUCUUUUUCACCUCCCCAUUUCUUUUAGGUCAAAUUCCCCAUUAAGAGGUAGCUAUUAGGCUUAAAUUAUGAGUAGGUAUGUGUAACAAUGUAUCAUUUCAAAGGAAAAAAAGUUUAAACCCUAAAUCAUAUGUCACACAAUGGGCAACUUAAUUUGGUAUCGAAUUUACGAUUCACGAGAUUCGAACCUAAAACCUCUCAUUUUUAAGUGAAGAGAAAUAUCAUCAAACCAUAGUGCUGAAUGACACAAUUUUAAAUCAAAUAAAACUAAAAAGUACAUCAAUAUAAAUUAGUCCAACUUUCCCCUUAUUCUCAGCUCUCCUUGCAUGUGACAAUCUUGGUGCAUUCAACUGUGGAGAAAAUUGAACAGCAAGCCAUGCUCUUGUGCAUGUGCUUCAGUGACAUCUUCAAGCUCAUGAUCUCGUGAUCCCUGUCAAUCCCUGUCCAAAUUAUUCUGGGUGGCUACUGCUGCUUUCUUCUGUGUAAACCAGGUAGGAUCACCGGCGAUACCGUGAAAAGCCGCCAGACUCAUCAUUUCAAGACCACAUUUAAGCUUCUCGCAGAUGAUUUCAGCUCUGCGAACCUCCUCGGGAAAAAGCUCCCUCUAACCAUUAUACCAAUUCGAAACAAUUUCAAAGCAUUUAUCCAUUUGGGGAUGAAAAGUUUCACCAUCAUAUACACCAUGAGAUGAACCCGCACAUCAUUAGCCCAACUCAUGACCCAACAAACUCAUCAAGCCUCUAGUUUGGAAGGUUCACGCAUCUUUGGAAGUGUUCAUCUACGCGUUAGCUGUUCCCAACUGGCUGAAUUCAUCACACAUUCUUCCAAGGUGAGAGAUGAAGAAAGUUGAAGUUCCACAAUAAAAUCAUUCUUCCAAGGUGAGAGAUGAGGAAAGUUGAGGUUCCAUCAUAAAUCAAUUGGCAAUAGAGAGAGUAGCCCAACCUCUUAUAAGUCAUUGCAAGGUUUCUCUUUUCACCAAUGUGAGACUCUUUCACCCUCACAUCAAAUUUUCAAGCCAAACAAGUGGACGACACGAAUUUGGUAACGUGAAGCACAUGUAGCCAUUAGGCUUUACACAUGGACCAACCUGCCCUGAACCAUGAAGAUAGUUGAGAGGUUACAUCAUAAAGUAAUUGGCAAUAUGAGGAGUAGUCCAACCUCUUAUAAGCUCUUGCAAGGUUUCUCCUUUUACCAAUGUGGAACUCUUUUACCUUCACAUCCUAACAUACGCACCCCUCACGAGUGGCAAAUUUUCAAGCCAAAUACAUGGACAACGCGAAUUGGGUGAUGUGGAGCACGUAUGACAAUUGGGCCUCACACGUGGGCCAACCUGCUUUGAUACUAUGAAUAAAGUUGAGGUUCUACCAUAAAACUAAUUGGUAAUAUGGAGAGUAGUCCAACCUCUUAUAAGUCCUUACAAGGUUUCUCCUUUCACAAAUGUGGAACUUUUUUACCUUACAUCCUUACACGCCCCCUCACGUGUGGCGAAUUUUCAAGCCAAACACCCAAUGUGGGAUUUUUUUACCUUCACAUCCUCACACAUCUCCUCAUAUGUGACGAAUUUUCAAACCAAACACGUGGAUAACACGAAUUGGGUGACGUCGAGCACGUGUAGCCGUUGGGCUUCACACAUGGGCCAACCUGCUCUGAUACCAUGAGAUUCCACCAUAAAACCAAUUGGCAAUAUGGGGAGUAGCCCAACCUCUUAUUAAACAUUUGCAAGGUUUCUCCUUUCACCAAUAUGAGACUCUUUUACUUUCACAUCCUCACACGCUUCCUCACGUGUGGUAAAUUUUCAAGUCAAACACGUGAAUAACACAAAUUCGGUGACAUGGAGUACGUUUGGCCGUUGGGCUUCACACGUGACCCAACCUACUCUGGUAGUGUGAAAAAAAAAGUUGAGGUUCUACCAUAAAACCAAUUGUCAAUAUGGGGAGUAACCCAACUUCUUAUAAGCCCUUGCAAGGUUUCUCUUUUCACCAAUAUGAAACUCUUUUACCUUUACAUCCUUACAAGAGAACCGUAUAAGCCAAAUCCAACUUGUGUCCCAAGUAUGGUUGCCAUGGAUGCAUGAAUAGGAACCGUGUCUGUACGGAGUUCUCACAAAUCAACGGUUUCCUUCUGUUUGAGCAAGACUACCGUAUCCAAUAUGGCAUCAAGGACACGAGGAGGCAGUACAUUCUACCGAGACCUCAAAACCGAAGCAUUCUUUCAGGGUCCUUGGCCUGCCAAGUAUUGACAGCAGAAAUUCUCAUUGUCAUCAUCAAUAUAAUUGGUUCUUUUUCGACAUAUAAACGACGAAGUGAAUUCAACUAUUAACGACAUUAUGAACAUCAAAAGAAACUUGGUAUUCUCCUUCCAUACAAGCAAACACCAGCCUAUCAUGCCGCAAACAGAUUACACACCCAACGAACAGUGGAAUUAGUGUACAAUUCCACACAUUUACUUAAUUAGGCAAAUUAAACUUGCCACUCCCUGAUGAAGAAAUGAAGCCCGACGCGGAUUUCGCAAUAAAAGCAGCUACUUGGACCAAACUAACUAAAAUUGAAUCAUAGAAACAAAUUGUAAACCAGUAAUUUUAACUAAUAUGGACUCAUAACUACAAAAUUACGCAGCAGCGUGCCGGUGGCAAUGGAUCUUUGGAAUCUCAAAAAAAAGCAAUGAAAAUAAACCAAAUUUUACAGGAACGAAUUCAUUCGUAUUUGAAUUGGUUUCAAAUUUUUAGUUUUUAGUUUUGGUUUUCACUUUUUACUUUUUUGAAAACUAAAAGUAGUUACCAAAUAAGUUUUCAAUUUUCAGUUUAAAAAUAAAAAUAAAAACUGAAAACAAAAUGAUUAUGAAAUUCCUUAAAAGAUAGGAAACUUUAACGAAAAGCUUUUGAUACUGUUCAUUUUAACAAAAAAUCAUAUUUUUACACUAAAAGAUCAAUCUUGGUACUAUUUAUUUUACCAUUUAUUUUGUUCUUAUCGUUAAAACUCAUCAAAUCAUUUUCAUUAAUUUUCUUUAAAAAAUAAAGAAUAAACAUGAUUUGACACCACUUGCAACUUAAUUACAUACAAUUGUUUCAUUUGUCUCCUUUCUAUAUCUUUCUUACAAACAUGUGAUGAGAGAAUGUACGAAGUUUUUCUCGCAUGAUAAGUUAAGGUUGGGCGCUAUCACUCUAUCCUUUCACACAGCUAAAGCAAAGUGCCAAAACUUUUGAGCUGGGACUUGAUAUCUUAGAGAUAUUUUUUUAAUGUGAUCGUAAUACGAGAUGGUACAUCAUAUGUCCUUAUAUAAAUGGUGGGUUAUAUGUGUUAAAUGGUUAAUAACUUAAAAAUUAAAAUUUUCCACCACAUGCAUAAAAACAUGUGGUGUACCAUCCGUAUUCCCGUCACAACUAAAAAUUUCUCGAUAUCUUAAUGGAUCCCACUGUAUAUUACUCCAACCUUGAGAUUUAUAUAUGUGCCCUACACAAUAUUUUCCCUACCAUCCAUCAAUAAUGGCCAGCUUUGACAGUAGUCUCUUCCUCUGACGACAAACUUAAAAAUCUAAAGUUGGUUUUCUCUGCUAAAAUUAUGGUGCAUGACACACCAUAUGUACAAGGUCACUGGACAUUUAAUAAAGGAGAGAAUUUUUACAAGUGUCUCACACGUUUUUCUUUAUUAUUAGUCAUCAAAUUAAAUAAAUUUAACAAAAACAAUGAUCACAAUUAAAUAGAUAUAUGUGAACCUUUAAAAGAUCUGUGUUUAUCUUUUUCCCUUAACAAACUACACCCUAUAUACACGCUGGAAAUUCAAAGAGGAAAAAUUAAAGGGUGGGUGUAGCUUCAAUUCCAUAUAGCCACAUAAAUCCAAAUUAUUCAAAGUGCAUCCAUGCUCUUGUGUCAUGAAUUGUAGCAGGUAACGGUGUUGGACUUCACAUGUGGAACUACCUACUCUGAUACCAUGAAGAAGUUGGAGUUCCACCAUAAAAAUAAUGGAAAAGACUUGGCUGUUGAAAGAUUCAGUAGCACCUCCUGCUACCAACCAAUCACGGCUGGACACGUGUCGAGUAGGAGGUGCUGUUGAAUCUUCAGCAGCCAAGUCUCGUUAAAAAAUAAUUGGCAAUCUAGUGAGUAGCCAACUUACUUAUAAACUCAUACAAGGUCCUCUUCCUAUCAUUGUGAGAUUCAUCCUCAACACAAUCUUUAGGAAUUUUACCACCAUUGAUUGUUUCUUCAUUGGGACAACGAUGUGUGAGUGUGAGGAAUUUUUGUAAUGAAGCAGACAGGUGAGAGACACUCACCGGUGCUACUUUAAUACCGUAAAAGAUUGUUGAACGGUGGUGAUGAGUAUGUAAAUAUAGAAGAGAACUGCUAAUGUUAAUUGCAUGUGAUAAUUUUAUUAAUGGUCAGUAUCAACUCAUCUAUCGCAUUCAUAGGUAGCAUUCUUUAGGCCUAGCUAUUUAGUGUGACAUAAAAUGUAGACGAAUGUUGUGCUCAUCUUGUCCACAACAUAAUUGAUUGUUACCUCCGACAAUGUGACAAAGAUGACAACUUCAGUAAGCGCGCGUUACGAUCUAUUGCUAUCAGUAAUACCUAAAUGAUCAUCCCCUCUCCCCACCACUAUCUAAUGCGAAAAUGAAUGUGGAAAACUAGGGAGAAAUUGUAAGGGAAAUAAAGUAGAUAAAAUUAAUGUUCAUUAACUGUGUGCAUUGUAGCAAACCGCUGGUACUAAGUGUAAUUAGGUACAUAUACUUAUUAAGCUUCUUCUUCUGUAGCUUAUUAUUUUGAAACCACCAAAUGUUGGUCACCUUCGCCAGAACUUCCAGGUGUUGAGUAUUGAAUCACUAGUAUAUAUGUUGAUUAGACUAAGAGUCUGCAGUUUAAUAAUCAUUAUCUGUAUAUGUGCUAUAGAUAGAGUAAAAGUAUGAAAAAUGCAGAGAAAAACUUGGUACACAUGGAGUAACAAGCUGGCCUCUGCAUUAGUCACUUGCAAAUAUAUAUUAGUCACAGUAUGUACAUAGAUAAUUCUUAAUUAAGUCGAGAAGAUUAACGGGAUUUCUGUAUGCAAGUGGAUAUUUGGCCAAGUCUACGUACCUCGUCAUGUGCAUUAAUGUAGAAAAAUUGCAUAUAUUAAUUCUUAAUUAGUAAAAGUUAAUUAUAUAUGUUCCGCAAUAUAGCUUUACUUGUUUCCGUUAUAAAUUACAAUUCUAAGCGCCAAAAUCACAAUCAAAUAGAGUUAUUUUGUACCGAAUCACGAUGGAUUUUUGGGAUUUCCUAAAUAAUUAAUAAACCAAGUUAUCCAUGCAUGUUAGUUACAUCAUUGAUUUAAUAAGGAUUGGUGUGAGUUUUAUUUUUCCAAGUGUUCAUUGUAUAAUUAUGUGCGGUGUACCACUCUGUCUUCUGGAUGCACUGAAAAAUCUCUCAUCUGGUUGAUAUGUAACUUGUGUUUAGUCCAAGUUCUCACUCAGAAUUAUCAAUCUUUCAUAUAGAUGGACUCAUAUGCGCUAGCUAGAUCAUAAGUACUCAAAGUAUUUUAUUAACAACUCGAUCAGAUCACCAUAAAAAAAUUAAAAACAAAUUAAAACCCUUCCAACGGUUUUUCCGUUAUAGUUAGGGAGCUGGUUUUAUCAUGAAUAAUAUUGUUAAUUUAUAUCUUUGCUGACCUCUAACGAAACCAAUAGAUUAGUAACUAAACAAAUAAUAGUUAGUUAAAAUAGAUACAAUGAACAUGUGCAGUGUGCAGUUCAAAUUGUACAGAAAGUUUUGUACUUUAGUUUGGAACUUAAUGCUAUAAAAUCGAAGAUGAAUUUUUCUUUAGUACUUGCACUCACUCAUAAUCGGAAUAUAUGUAAUCAUUGAAUUUGAUUCAAUAGCUUUUAUAUUGUUAGAUCAAAUUAACGAUAAAAAUUGCGUCGGCACUGAAUUCUCGUCGGUACUAAUUAGAGAAAAAUCGCAGUUUGAUUGGCAACGGAGGCUAAUCAGAAACAGAGAAAUUAAAAGCAAAUGGUCUAGCCAUCGAGUCCCACAUGGUCUCAGAACAAGAAACUUUGAACCUGUCCAAAACUCUCUCUCCCCUCCCAUCCACAUACACACUCACAAAAUUUGAGUGCACCCAAGUGAACAAGAGUAAACACUCGAAGCUUGUCCAGUUGCUGCAGCUUCUUUUUCGGCGUGCAACGACGGCCGAGCUUUAUUAGCUGUGCUCUCUCUCUAUCUCUCUCUCUCUCUCUCUCUCUCUCUCUCUCUCUCUCUCUCUCUCUCUAAAGCAAUUCAUGUGCUAUGUAUCUCAGUAAUUCUAAUGAACCAGAGGUCCAGAUGUCACGCUCUCCUAGACCGUCACUCACAUGCCAAUGUAUGCAUAUCACUACUAGAAAUUUUGACUUUACCGAUAAAAUGAAUUUGUCGGCAAAAGUCAAAAUUUGUCGGUAAAGACUCUUUCACGACGAAAAAAUUUGUCGGCCAUUUUGUCACGCAAAGCAUGUCGUGCAAGACUCUAGCCGACAAAAUUCAACAUUUCGUCGGCUAUGAAGUGGUUCUUUCCCGACAAAACAUAUUUUGCCGGCAUUCUUAAACCCCAACAAAAAAUUCUGUCGGAAAAGGAUUUUUAAGCCUACAAAAUGCACUAUUUUGCCAACAAGAUGUGUUCGUCGGAAAAGAUAUUUUGUCGGCACUGCCUUACUCUACCCACAAAAUUAGCUUUGUCGGGAAAGAAUUUUAAUUCAUUAAAAAAAAUGCUUGAAAACACACAAAAUAAUUUCUAAUAAUGCUGCUUUGAUUAGUAAUAUGUAUAUGUACAAUGGUUAUACAAAGUAUUAUAUUAUACAAUAAUCCUAUCCUACUCCCAUUCCUCAGUAUCAGUUUAGCAGUAGCUUCGCAAUAAUAUCCUGCAAAAAUAAUACAAAAUGGUAAUUAUUAUGUAUGACAACAUAAGAAAGAGCAUCCUUAAAACCGAAACAAUCAAAUUGUAGCUAGGAAUCUUUCUAUAAGUAAUAACAUUAUGGAGCUGCACUGAUUCACACAACAUCAUGAAAAAGAUACAUUCAAUUGAAGAUACUUUAACAUAACAAUCUGUUAGAAAAUGGGGAUGGGCUGCAAUUAACACCAUAGUUACACUAAACAAUGAAAACUUAACCAAUUUGUCAACAAGAAAGCAUGUAAUUCUGUAAUCAAGCAUAUAGUCAGACUUGAAUUUCACUUGCAUCUUGGAUGAUAAAGCAUGUACUCAUGUAAUCAAGCAUAUAGUAAAAGAUAUUUCAAACCUUGCAAUCAACAUCUCAGACCACCUGCCAUUUGAGAGGUACUCUUUAAUCCCUUAAUAAGAUGCAAAUCAAAAUGACUAAAAGAAGGUACAAUAAGUUACGCAAUAAUAAUUAAAAGAUAUUCAACUCUGGGAUUAAUUAGUAGCCCUCAAGAAUACAAGGAAAAUCCUCAAACAUAAAAAAAUUUCUCACAACUUGAUCAAAUUGUAUUAAUGACGACAAUUGUAACUUAUUGGGGAAUCAAAAUUGCUUACACAAUGCUCCUUGCUCGUGUCUAGGAUAGACAUAAUCAAACUAUUCGUCCAUGUACUUGGAAUAAACACAAGGCAGAGAAAGCAAAACAUACAAUAUAUUCCUAGCACAAUCAAACUUACCUGUACAAAGCUCCUUGCUCAGUGUGUUGUGCACAAUAGAGGGACAAAAUAUACAAUAUAUUCUUGUCAUCAGCUGAAUGGGAGAGUAACACAAGUUAGGAACCCAUGAGAAAACAUAACAGAGGGAUAAUUUAUACGAUAUACUUGAGAUAAAAUUCACCAUCACCAGCCUCAUAAGCAAGUGCAACUACAUUAACUUCAAUCACGCGCACCUGGAAUAAAAAUAACAAGACUAAUUUAAUAGUAUUAUUAUUAUAAUUUCGAUGAAGAGAAGACUAAGUUAAUAUAGACUUGCACAUGUUACCACAUCUACAUAUGAGUUGUGUAACAACUACAUAUGUUGGAUUAUUCAAAAGAUUUGCAAACAACAUGGAGUUUAGAAUGGUUUAGAGAGAUCCUGGCAAAUAGCUAACAUUGUACAUGUUACCUGUCAAUUUGAAGAAGUCAUCACUUGCAUAAACUAAAGGCAUGUCUGGUAAGUGCAGAUCAGUUCUGCAAGGCAACACAACCAUAUCAAAGCAAACAAAAAGUACAGUCAUCAGUAAGAUUGUAAGAGAUAAAAUUAAAGCUGAACUGAGAAGGCCUACCCCUAAUAAGCUGGAUCUCUUCCCACAAACUAAUAUGGCCAUUAACUCCGGACAAGAUGUUAUUAACUGCAGUUGCAGCUCUCGUCUUCUCUACAUCACUUGCCUUGCACCAUUCUUCAAUGUCGGAUCCUGCGUGUUACAUAGUAAAGUAAGACUCAACCACAACAAAAUUUUGGUCACAAUCAAAACCAGAAACCACGAUCAACAUAGCUAGAACACCAAAAAGAAUGUAAUUUAACAUUAACAUCACAACCAAUCAGAGAUAACAGGAAGCCACAAUUGAAAAAGUUAUAUAUUACAACAUUACUUGGAACAAAAGAAUUGAGAUGUGGCAUUACACGAAUCUUUACUAUCAGCAUCAUCUAGUGCAGAUUCCAAAACCUUCGCCCUGUUCCUCAAUCCCUUCCCCAAAACAUUUGCCCCUCUGUGUUCAGUCGAGUCACAAAUAACAUGUGGGGAUUAGGAAGUGGAUCAGCAAUCAAAAUUAAUAAUCCAAAUUGUCGUAUACACCAAGCCCUGCAACUUAAAAGGUUAAAUUAAAUUUUCCAACUUAAAACCCUAUAUUAAAUCCUACAAAUUGAACUGGCAGACAUGGAAUUAGAGAGGAGAAGGAAGAUAAUCACUUAAAGAGAUCACUGACCUUCGAGUUCUUGGCAGCUUUGAUGGUUUUUUUUUUAUCCACCCUAAUAAACAUAACACACAAUAGGCUCGCAACCUAAUACAAAUUCAAGCCCACAAAUUCCAUUUCAAUUUUGACAAAACAAAUCGAAAAAGAAAAUUGAAAACCCUAAGAGAAUUACAGAGACAACUGAUGGGUUUAUGCACCAGAACUAGAAUUGAAGAUGACAAUUAGAAGGGAAAGAAAAAAAAAACCUUUUUGAGGGCUUUGAAUUUGACGCCGGUUUCGAUCUCCAGCGGAAGGAGGCAGUCGGUCGGUCUGUGUAUUUGCAGCGACGAGGGAGAGGGAGAGGGAGAAGGAAUGGGACGGAGAGACAACAGCUUCGUGUUUGACUAAAGCGCUUAAUUCUUUUCUUUCUUUCUUUUCUAACUCCGCGCUUCUAUUUUGAAACCGCGCUUCCAAUUUGAAACCGCGCUUUUAUUCCACGCCUCAUUUUUGGUUAAUAGUUUUACCCUCAGCCGAGGAAAUUUUUGUUGUUGCCCCGAAAUCGUCGUCUAGUAUUCCAAGAUAGCAGCGAAGGACAGUUUACCCGUCAAAAUUAAACUCGUCGGGACAUUGCAUUUAUGCCGACAAAAUGAUGGUCGGUUAACAUUCAAAUUUUCUCGGCUAAAAUUAAUGCUAUAAAUUGGUUUUGGCUUGAAUAUUUAGCCGACAAAUUAAAAUUUUAGUCGGUAGAGGACUCUUAUGCCGAUAAAAUUUUACUCUGUUGGCUUAGAAUAUGUCGGCAAAAUCAGAUUUUCUAGUAGUGUAUAAAGCAAGGCACUUCAGACUUCUCCUUAAUCUAAACGCCCUCUUAUUACCUUUUUACAAAAUAUUUGAUGUCUCUCCUAUCCAGUGAAUCCACUUGCAAAAUUAGUAUACUUCUUUUCUUUUUGCCUCUCUAACACUCAAAGACACAAAACUAAUAGCCAACAUUUUCUUUGCAAUAUCAAUAUGUAUGUGUGUGUAUAUAUUAUAUCAUUUUCAGACUUUCAUCAUUCCAAAUUUAAAUUGAAGUCGCACAAAUAAUUUUGUGCACACAUUAAAACCCUAAAUUAAUAGCAGCCAUAUACGUCCACAUUAUAACCCUAAUUAACCCUAGAGACCAAGUUUCAAAGUUUUACGAGUAUCAUAACUUACAGUCAUCAUGGAUUGUAAUAACUAGUAGUAGUACGUAGUAAUCCAAAUAAUCGAUCAAUUCCACGUAAAUUAUUUUUCGUGGUUGAGAUGUGUAGAAUGCCAAAAUACAGCAUGAAUCCGCGUUGUGCCGAGUGGAAGAUCAAGGGUGGCCCUACACCGAUAUAGACUGCUGCUGUUGCAUGGUUCAAUUUCAAAGUGUUCCGAGUCAGACUAAUCAGUGAGGUGUAGAUUAUUUUGUUAUGUGGAAGCAAUGGUUGCAUGGUUUGAAUAGAAGCACCAUCUACAGACAUCAUCAGCCUCAAUGGCUCAAUGCUUCCCAGCUUUCACCACCACACAAGGUCUCCUCAUGAAUUCGUAGAGACUCCCGGUGGCCUGGUCUCUAUUUGGGGUUACACCGAUGGACCCCCAACAGAAUUAAGUGACAGUGACGUACUGGUUAAAGUUUACUAAGGUUUAAUGUAUGUAGGCCAACUUCUAGGCUGGGAUAUAUAUGAUGGUUGAAAAACUAUAAUCGAUAAAACAAACAUUAAUUAAUCUGAAAAUUUAACUUUUCCCCUCCAAACUCAUUUUGUCUAGCCACCCAUCAUAUUAUAUUUAUCCAAAUAAAACUCAAUGAUUAGGAUCCAACUAAGCGUCUUACUAAAUUAAGUUUGUGUGUACCUAUUUUUUAAUUUUUACAAAAUUGAUUUACCUACUUCUUUUUAUGGUAUUAGUAUAGACAAUAUGUAGAAUAUAUGUCCGUAAUAUUUGAUUGAAUUAGGUUUUGGACUGGGGAGUUCACACAAAAAUAAAUUAUGUUAAACAAAUUAAAUGUCUGAAAAAAUGUAUAGGAGAUUUGGUGGCAUGAUUUUGUAAACAAACACAAAUUCAUGGACAUCUUUUAUAUAUCCUAAAAUUUGAAAUUUAUUUAGAAGUUAUAAUAUAUGUAGGUUUAUAUGUCACUUCAUCUUUACUUGUUAACCAACAAAAGAUGAGGAAAAAAAAUUGAUUUACAAACCCUAUUGCACUGACACAAAAACAAAGAACAAGAAUACAAACUACCAAGGCAGACAAAACGUAAAAAGCUACAUCGUGCCAAAACUUAAUUUUUACUCGCGAAGACACAAGUUGUAUUUAUGAUGACCUAAUUCUGAACAAGUAGGAAAGAAAACCCUAGUAAAUAAAAGGAAAACAAUCUUAAGGACCUAAUACGUAAAAUACCCUAACUUAAAACACAUCAAAUUGCUAGUUUUUCCAACACUAGUAUAAAAUAUAUUUACGUUAACAAUAAUGCUAGGGAGACCAAAUUUUUUAAAUCAAAUUUACAAACUAAAUGAUGUGGUUGUAGAUGAUUGGAUUAUUAAUUAAGUGUUGAUUAACGUGCUUGUUUUUUAUUGGUGACAUAUCAUUUUGUUUGCAAUUUGGAUUAAAAAUUUUGAUCUCUCUAACAUUAUUCUUAGGGUAAAUGUGUUAGAGUAUAUAGCCAAAUAGAUAUGGCAGUUAGGAUAGUUGCUAAGUGUUAGAUUCAAGUAAUCUUCUAUAUAACUGUAUCAUUGUAACCAUUGAAUCAAUUAAGAAAAUAUAAAUGCAAUUCACACACUUUCUCUCUCUCUCUCUCUCUCUCUCUCUCUCUCUCUCUCUCUCUCUCAACCUUCUCUGUUUUCUUCUUCUUCUUCCUCUGCGACCUCUCUAUUCUCCUUCUGCAUAUUGCUUAACAUGGUAUCAAUCGCCCGAAUAGCUUCGACAGCUUCUUCGAUUAUGGUUUUCUAUGCUUCCGCUUCAUCUCUCAUCUCUCUGUGAUUUUCUGGGCGUUUCUCUUCCUUCCUCAGUCCUUCACUCCGGUUGGCCGGUUCUUGCACACCAAGUGUUUGGUUUUAUUCCUCAGUGAAAAUUCUUCACAAUGGUUACUGCUUCUCAACUGCAAAUCUUGCAGUCUCCGAUUACUGGGUUGAUUUCUUCUGUCUCAUCCUCUGUGUCAGUUAAGUUGGAUGAUUCCAAUUAUCUUCAAUGGCAUUUUCAGAUGCAAUUGCUACUCAAAGGUUAUGGGAUCAUGAAUUUUGUGGAUGGUUCGAGUUCCUGUCCUCCUCAAUUCUCGUCUACCUCUUCUAGUGAUUCUAACAUUUCAUUUACUGGAUCUCAUUCAAGAGUUGAGUCUGAUGAUUACAAAGUAUGGAAGAUGCAUGAUAGGGCACUUAUGCAUCUCAUUACUGCAACCCUAUCCUCUUCUGCAAUUUCUUGUGCUAUUGGUAGCACAAGUGCAAGAGAUUUAUGGGUUAGGCUUCAAGACCAAUUCUCUGUCGUCAGUAGGACUGCAAUCUUUCAAAUGAAAUCAAAUCUUUAUACCAUCAAGAAAGGCACUGAUUCUAUGACUCAGUACCUGCAACGAAUCAAGGAAGCAAGAGAUUUUCUUGCUGCUGCUGGAGUCACAUUUGCAGAUGAGGACAUUGUUAUUCUUGCUCUUAAUGGCUUGCCAUCUGAGUACAACACCUUUAGAUGUGUGAUUCGUGGUAGAGAAAAUGUUAUUUCUCUCAAAGAUUUUCGAUUCCAAUUUCUUGUAGAGGAAGUUUUUGUUCAAAACAAUUCCUCAAUACCAUUCCUCUCUGCUAUGGUGGCACAGGAUCAAGGACAGGGUUCCAAAGUCUCAAUAACUGCCAAUUAUGGUCAUGGAUCAUCUGCGUCAAUUGGCUCUACGCAAAAUCUGGGUUUUCAAAGCAAUGAUCAUUCUAGUUUAUAUGCCAGUUCUGGAGGCAAUGGAGGCACUGGACACAAUCAAUUCUUUUACUCAAAAUCAAAGUACCCAUGCAAGUUUCAGUAUAAUCAAGGCCAAAGGUAUUCUAAUCCUAAACAUGUUGUACAUGAUUUCACUUCACAGUUUAACAACGGAGCUUCUUAUUCUACAAUCACUUGCCAAUUGUGUGCUCAACAAGGUCAUAGUGCAGCUAAUUGUAUUUACAGAAUCACUGCUUCACCUGAGCCAUGUCAAAUCUGUAAUAGAAGGAACCAUAGUGCUGUCACUUGCUUGUACAGAAAUAUGACCUAUUCAUCUACACCUCCAAUGACUACUAUGCAUACCAGUUUCACUGGACAAAACCAAUCAUAUGCUAUGCCAUCUUCUAUGCCAUCUCACUUGUCUAAGGUUGUGCGAUGUGGUAAAGGUCAGUUCCAUUACAAUAAUGGUCCAAGGUUUAAUACAUAUAAGUAUUUUCCUCAAUUUUCACCUGGAGUUCUUGGCUCACCUCCAUCUCUAUAUCCUAGUUCUCUGCCAUCUGAAAUUACCACACAUCAAAUUUGUUCACAGAAAGAUCAUGUUGAUGCUGAUUGUCUCUCAGCUUCUAGUAAUGUAGUUAUGGGAUUUGUUGGAUAUCCAAAUGUGGGAAACAGCGUAUCUGCGCAGCAUAAAUCAGACUUAUCUGAGAAUGAACACUCUGUAGAUGAUGACGGUGAAGACGAGCUAGAGUUUGAUCGUGUCCUCGAAGACCUCAAUUCGUUUGACUUAGCUAAUGAGCUGGCUACCACGAAGAAACUCACUGUCAGAACGCCUCCUGCGCCCCAUAAACGACACAAACAUCAUGAAACUCCUUUACAGAGCCAUUUUAAUGUUGAAAUUCAUACUCAAACUGUUGCACAUGAGUUCUGCGGAUUUUAUGUACUUCGGUUAUGCAAAGGUGGAAGAAUAUUUGAUAUUCAAUUAGGCUACCAUAUGAGAAUUUCUGAUAAGGGUGGGGGCACCAAGUUUACACUGAUUUGGUUACUAUGGUAUACACGGUACAAUGGUAAAAUACAAGGAUUGUUCAGCCACAAGCUUCACGAAGGAUCCCACUUGAUCAGGUCUGGAGAUGACACAUGGGAAAACUUGGAAUAUUUUGCUAUAGCUAUUACAAUUGUCGUUAUCGCUGUUCCAGGAGGUUUGCUUUUGGCUGUGACAUUCAGUCUUGCUUUUGUCAUUAAGUAUAUAGCCAAAUAGAUACGGCACUAGUCAGGCAUUUGGCCGCUUGUGAGACAAUGGGAUCAGCCACAACUAUCAGCAGUGAAGAGAUACUCUACUCUCCAAUUGCAACAAUCUCAUGCUUGACCCACCAUGAGCUUGCGGGGGGGAUGUUAGAGUAUAUAGCCAAAUAGAUAUGGCAGUUAGGAUAGUUGCUAAGUGUUAGAUUCAAGUAAUCUUCUAUAUAACUGUAUCAUUGUAACCAUUGAAUCAAUUAAGAAAAUAUAAAUGCAAUUCACACACUUUCUCUCUCUCUCUCUCUCUCUCUCUCUCUCUCUCUCUCUCUCAACCUUCUCUGUUUUCUUCUUCUUCUUCCUCUGCGACCUCUCUAUUCUCCUUCUGCAUAUUGCUUCAAAAUGCUCUUCGUACUGGUAGAGCUACAAACUUCCCACUGCUUGUUUAGGUACACGCUCAUUGUUCGUAGGAUAACCUGAAAACAAGAAGAUAAGGAAAAAAGGGAUGAGACGAGGAUUUAUGUGGCUGACCAAUAUGUGGGAACUCUAGAGGGAAAAGGGUAUCGUAAUAUCCACGCUCCAAUAAAGUAUAAAUUUUAGUUUCUAAAAUUACGGCUCCUAAGGUUUUUCUUCAAUAAUUAAAAAAAAAAAAAAUCUUCAAUAGUUGCGCGUACGUUACACUACAAGUGUUACAUAACAGCAAUCCAGAAGAGUGAUUACUAGAAGACCGUGACUUCACGGAAUCGAACGAAAAUAAACCCACAAAAAAUAUAAUAUGAUGACUUAGAACUGUGGAUCAAAUUACUCAUUGCAGGUUUGGAUCUUGAGUCAAAAUUUAAUUGAACUUAUCUAGAAGGCAAGCAUGAGCAAAGGGUGGUGAACUUAAGUACGAGAUCAAAAAUCGAAAAUCGAGAGAUAAGGAGAAAGUCAAAUGUUAUUAAGAUUUUACUCGAAAUUUUAAAUUAGUCUGGUGUCAUUAAUUGUAUUCAACUUGUUGUACUUGUAAUUCAUAAACAAUUGUCGCUUCUAAUUGGUGAAUCCACAACAGGUUUUGUCGAUGUAAGGUCGGCAUUGAAAUGCACAAUGGUGACACAACUGACGCCGCCGCCGCGGCCACCACCGUUCGUGGCUUCAAAUCAAAGCAAUCCAAGCAAUUCAAGCACUGGCGGCUGGCACCACUGUUAACUACGGAAAUGAUCCCUUUCAUUAAAUUCAUCAAAUUUAAUCAUCUAGUCUAUUAAAAUUUGAUCUAACGAUUAAAGUUAUUAUAACUUUUAAAAAGACUUCUUAUUUGUAAUCGUUUAAUCAAAUUUCAAUGACCUUGAUGAUUAGACUUGGUGAAAGGGAUCUGGACCGUUAACUACUUGUUUAAUGUUUAGGUUUUGUACUUUCAUCACAUCCAUAAGCAUUGUUCGAUGCUUUAACACGGUAAUUAAAUAAUUCAUCUUGUAAUUAAUAACGUAGAAGAUGAGAUAUUGUCUCUAUUCGGCACUUAGUAGGUUAUAACUUAUUGAUGAACAUCAGUUGACAAAGAAUGAACUAACGAUCAGGCCAAAAUGUGCUAAUCAGGCAGCAAGAAUAAAUGUUGCAAAUUUGAGCUCCAGUCGUUUCUAAGAUAAAGGUGACACUCAUCAAACUCACAGCUUUGUUGUGAUUUUUGCAAUUUUCGGCCAAACUUCAUCAGUUAUAGUGUCUUACUAGGUUUUAAAGUUUGAAGGACGUUUGCGAUAUUUAAAAUUAUUUAACUCUAUUCCUAUUUAGGCAUUAUUAUCUAUCUAUUAUCAAUCAAUAAAAUUUGAAAUUUUCUUAUACUUUAUGUGGAUUCUACAAUUGUUGACUAAUGUUUCCUUUGUCACGCUGCGUCAGGUGUUUAUUUGUUGAAAGGUAAGGAUCAACAAAUUGAUCAAAAUUCGGCUCUCUUGAUGUGCAUAGAUUUUGUUAGGCAGUGAUGAUUGUUUUGUAGUAUUAUUGGUCAUAACAUGAUCAAUAUUUUCUAUGAUUUAUAUGAAUCACGCACUCCCCCAAAAGCCCUUAGACAUGAAAUGAUUUAGUCCACUUGACCUAUUUCUAUGAGUUUCGUGUUCACACAAAGACAAUAAGCACAUAAAAAUCAAACCAAAAAUGAUUCUUCCACUAACUACAUGUCAUUAUUUUAUUUUAUUUUGGAACAAACGAUAUUAUUUAAACUAAUGGGAUGAGGGAGUGGGCUAAGUCUCACAAUGUGCUAGCAAUAACGUGGUUCAAAUUCGUCUUUGGCAAGAAUCGAACCUAAGAACUCUCUCUUAUAAAUAAAAGAGAAUAUCACUAGAUCGUAAUAUUAAGUGGCAAUUAUAUGUCAUUAUAAAGAUGUUCAUUGUGUCGCAUUAAAUUGCAUUACCAUGUCUGUUGAAACUGAAAGUAGUCCUUUCGUGGCAGCAGCCAGCCAGCAGGCGUUGAAGAUAAAUCAUGUCCUCCUAGGGUUCAUCCUGAUUCCUACCCCCACCACUCCAAAAGAUUCUAAACGAUGGUUGUUUGGAAAAAACAUAAAAUAAAAGGAAAGGGCUUUAAAGGAGAGAAGAGAGGUCUUACUAUCCACCGACUUUCACUUUUAUGUAUUUUCUUUACUUAUCCAAACAAAGUUCCUCCGACAAAUUGUUCUAAUAAAACCUAAGUAACACCUUUUUCGUUCCACUUAGCCACCAGCACAGCGGUAGCAGAAGCAGUAGUGUAUUGAGUGUGCUCUUUCUAAUCAAUCGUUUCUUUGUUUGCGUGUUCAUAAAUGUGUUCAUAUCAUCAUGAUUUUUGCAGAGUUUGGUUGUGGUUUGAUCGAUUAAGAUGAAACAAAGUUAUAUUCCAUUGAACCAAUCGUCAUGCUGAUGCAAACGCAUACGAGAAAGAGCGUGUGGGAUGUAUGAUUGACAUGGAUAUAUAUUGAAGUUGCCCAAUUCGAAUUUAUUAUAAUUUUUUUUUUUGCUGGAUGAAAAAUAGAAAGCAACCUAAAGAAAAUAUUCCAAGCAUAUACAAAAGUCUUAAUAUAAUGAAUAUCUUCAAGCAUGUUGCAAUCAUCAAUUUAAUUAUAUAGCUACUAAUUCCUCUUAGUAUUCCUUGUACACUUAUUUUAUCAUAUAUCAAGCAUAAAUAGCUUGGUGUUCUUUUUCUACGGCCGAAACGAAAGAAAACCUAAAGGACUCCUAACUUGAAUCUUUAGUCCAAUGCUAAUUUAUUUUCAAUGUGGGAAUAACUUUUAAGUUCGAAUUUUAAGCAAGAUUUUUAGUUCAGUGGGCAAUUGAAAGUCAACAAGGAUAAAAUAACCCACGCACAUAGUUGUUAAUUUAUUGUAACAUAUUAAUGUAUGGAGAUCAAUCACGUUGGAUGACUGCUUUUGUGGGACAUGAUAAUCACUUACUAUUUUUCUCAUUUUUCACAUUCUUCACAAAAAAAAAAUAUAAAAAAAAUAUAAAUGUUUAAUAAAAAAAAUAGUGUGUACUUAUAAUAUUCAUUUUGAGUACUAGAAUUAGACACAAAACUUGAAUUUUUAUCUAAGUGAUUGAUUGAUUGAUAAUAUUCGUGUCAUAUGCUGAUUUAUUUUGAUUAGCUAGUACGUGCAUUUUCAUUUAACACCAAACGCAACUUUACUUGCUAGUGGAAAAAGGUUUCGUUUCAAAUCAAGGAGAGAAGUUUCACUACUUUUAAAGUACGCACCCAACAUUGGACUGCAUGUUACACACGUGCAUGGCAGCUAGCGGAGGACCUUUGACCGUUUAACGUUAAAUUAGUUCAAAUAUACAACAUAAUCAAGAAUAACAAUGUUUAGCAAUUGCUGUCAUGUCAUCGUCAUAUGAUCGAUAGCAUGACAAUAUCACAUAACAAAGAAGUUUAUGCAAUUUCGCUUAGAAUUCAUUAUUAUAGAGAUUUGAUGUGAAAUAGAGUGCUGACUAUUAACUACUUGAUGUUCUUCUUUUUUUUUUUUUAUUUGAGUUUGAAACUGACAGCGUAAGAUAAAUUUACACAUACGGAGUUCAUCACAUAAACUUACACAGAUGAAACUUAUCACAUACAUAACAGAUUGAUAUAGUUUAUGUUCUGAAUUAGGACUGAAUAUAUGUGUAUAUUAAAAUAAUUUUAGAGCUUGCAAUAACAAGGUCAAGAAGAUUCGCCACCUUUAAUUACAAAAGAAAAUAAAUCCAUUUCACAUGGGAGGAGAAUCAGGCGUUUCUUUCUGGGUUCUGAGUAAUCAUUUCACAUGUUUAAAAAAUAAUGAAACAACCAAAUCUUGUGGAAUGGGCCCUGUAUUAGAGCUUAAUUAGCUCCCAUCGAACAUGAUCCAUUUGGUUUAGACUGUACGUUUGAGCACAGUCGUACAGGAGAAGAAAUGCUGGUGUAAAAAUUAAAACAGCCCAGGAAAUUAAUUAAGGAAAACAAGGGAAGAUGAUGUUUACUUAUUUUAACCUAUUUUUCCAUUUAAAAGAUGUACUGAAAUCCAUUCAUCCCCUUAUUAAGAAAUUGGGAAAAACUUUUAUACACCAUUAGUGUGUUUAGUCAAAUUUUAAAUUUACCUUAAGAAUUUCGGCGGUGUUACAUACACCAUUUGAUUACAACUACUAGUCAAAUUCUAACUUGAGUUAAAGCACAAAUUUGAUCGGUGCCACAUCAUUUAGUGCACAAAUUUGAUGCAUAAAUUUGGUGUGCCUAACAUUAUUUUUAGAAUUUUGCGAGGAACUAUUGUCUUACGCGUGACUCAUGCUAGUGUGUAAACAUUAUAGAAGCCGAGACCACACUUUACAUCAUAGACGCCAAAUUUGAUUUAUCUUUCAACUUAAUUUGAAUUGGGCACAUGAGUGUGAAUUCGAUCGAAUUGUAAACUGGAAUUGAACCUCUAAGUCCAUACUAAAAGGGGUGAAAUUUAGAGGGCUUGAGGGAUUAUCUUGGUAGGUAGUCAUUUAUGGGGUUGAAGUUGAUGGUGUUGGUAUGCGAGGGAGGAGGGACCAAGACUUGACUGUUUGGUACAAAUAAUAUAUGGUGGCCUAAAUGCUUUCAUGAGAGGUCUGUUCCUUUAGAGGGGUCCAUAUUUAUAUAUUAUAUACCAAUUAAGCACCGGGUCUGGUUAUCCAAAUUCGCUUUAUCCGUUUGGUCAUUCAUCAUCAAUUAUUAAAGCGUAAUAUUCUUCUUAAACUUUGGAAACUAAACCUAACCAACGUAAUAAACCCUAUCUUAGACCGAUUACAUAUCACUUGCCCAAUUAAUACAUUCCAAGCAGUUCUUACUUAUUGAGAGCAUAUUUGGCAAGUGGUCUUUUACCACAGUAGUGGAAAGAUGUUGAACCUUUGCAUCUGACAUCUAAUCUAACAAAAUUUAUCAUUUAACAAAAAAAAAAAAAAAAGAGCAUAUUUUGGAAGACAACAAAUCAAUUCAAUAAUUAUUGUUUAUCAGACCUUUGAUCUCAGGAUUUUCCCCAGAACAAAUAAAAAUAAAUUGCCAAUAAACCGACUAAACAAUGACACACUCAAUCCCUUUUUUCUUUCUAGAAACGGGAUUUGCUUUUCGCCACAACAAUCCACCAUUUCGGAGGUCAGGAAGACUCACAGAAGCAUUUCAUAAUUUCUUUGGCCACCAUCGUGACUAGUAUCAGAAGACGAAAACAAUGACAUACUUAAUCAGUAAUUUGAUUACAUCUAAGUAAGAGUUAGCAUUCAGUGAAAACACAAUUCGGUGGCUUAUGAAUUAUGAUCCAUGUAAAACAUUAUCUUAGAUUUGAACCCGUCAAUCCAACAAUGAUGGAAGUACUCACUUUAAAAGCAAGUUAACAUUGUAGAAAUUUUCUUGAUGGUGUCCUUUUUAUUUUGUUGAACAAUCACAAAGUCUUCAUGCAAUAGGUUGUUAAGGAAGUGUCUCAAUCUAAGGUUAUUCCACAAAUGUUUCGAAAAUUAUGUGAAGUCAUAGAUUCAACCCAAAAAAAUCAUGUUGUAUUCUAAUAAUUUCUUCGUGCUUGUCUUGAGCAUUGAAGGGCAAUAAAUAUUUUCGGUUCUUCGUUUUUCUCAAAAUUAUGAUGUUUUUAUUUUUUAUAUAAGGAGGGCCUCAAUUUAUUUGCCCGCACAGGGCCUUCGAAAUCAAUGAACUUGCCCUGAGUGGACUACAGGAUCUUACUAAAAAAAAAUGAAGGUCCUUUAUGACUAAACUUUGAUGUGAAGGGUCAAGGUAUAACUCAUAUGACCUUCCAUAGUUUCCAUAAAAGUACAAGGCUAAAGGGGUGAGUGUGGAGGCAUUGAGUGCCUCCUAAUGCACCAACCAUGGACACAUUUAAAGGCAUUUUCUCCAUGUUCGGCUAAUUUGUAUUGACCCCCACUCAAACCCUAGAGUUCCAGACCUUCUACUUUGCCUAUAUAUUUAAGAUUGGACAUUAGCUUUUUACAAAGACGUUGAUGAAAAAGGCAUGUUCUUCCGAUAAAGUACUAUAGCUAGGCCAAAACUCAGCUCCACUAAACUAGUUGAUGAUUACAUUAUUAUCUCAAUUAACAACUUAAUAAAAGAAAAUUAAUUACAUGAAAAGAUGUAAAGAAAUACUAGAAAGCUUGAAGCUCCAAUUAUCAACAAAACGAGUGUGCCAAUUGAAUCCAUUGGCUUUUGAUUCUUUAAACCUAAUAAGCUAGAAAAACGUAAUUAUCAGGACCUAUGAAAAGGCAAAAGAUAAAACAAUUGAAUAAAUAUUUUUCUUGGUGUACAUAAUUUUUAGUUAAUAACAAUUUUUUUUUAUUUUUUUUUUUUUGUGUGUGGUGAUCGAAUCCAAUAUAUAUCGUUAGGAAAUGUGAGUAUCGCUCUGAACUGAUAAUACCAAGUAGGAGGGACAUAAAAUUAUGUUAAAAUUUAUUAUUAUGAAGGAGAUGAAUAGAGUUUGAAAUUAUACAAUAAUUAAGAAAAGAUGUAAUUUUGAACCCGAAAUAUGGAUCCAGUUAAAUUUACGUGCAUGCAUGGAUUAUCAUCAUUACGUUCAUGAUGAAUCUGUCACCAUGGGGUUCGUUCAUAAUGAAUCUAUCAUUACAGGAUCCACUAAAUAUGCGAGGACAGUAGUAAGUUUGAUACUAAGUUGCGCUUUGUUGAGGGCAGACUAACGACAGUUUAUAGAAGUGUAUUUGUAAUAUUUUAUAGUUUUUCUUGUAAAUUGAUAUUUUAAUUUUAAGGAGAAUUUUGUUAAGUCACAUGAUGAGCCAAACAUAAUAAUUAACAUUAAACUCGACAUUUACGUUCUUACCUUUUUGCAUUGGUAAUGAAUGAGUUAACAUGAUAUAUUCAAGAUGAUAUCCCUUAAUAUAUGCUUUUGUAGAUGAUAUAGUACUGAUAAAUGAAACACAGGAUGGUGUAAAUGCGAAGCUUGGAAUCUAAAAGUCUUUGACUAAGUAGGUCAAAUAUAGAGUAUAUGGAGUGCAACUUCAGUGGGAGUGGGGGUCUAAAUGAGAUAAAAGUGAGGAUUGGAGAUCAAGAAGUACCAAAGAGUGAACGUUUUCGCCGUCUUGGAUCAUCUUGUAAAAGAACAAAGAAUAAAUGGAGAUCUUAACUACAAAAUACCAAAUGGAUGGAUGAAAUUGAAGAGUGCAUUGAGUGUAUUGUACGAUUGUUGUACACCACUAAAACACAAGGGAAAAUUUUAUAGGACGACAAUAAGGCUAUCAAUGCUUUAUAGGACGAAAUGUUUAGUGGUCAAAAAUCAACAUGUGCAAAAAAUGAAGGGAAAUACCCCAAAAUGGGACAAUUUCUUAAUCUUAGGUCAAAAAUAGGACAAACCAGCCAUGCACAGUGGCGGAGCUAGGAUUUCUUGUGAGAAGGGGCCUCACACAAGUAUAGAAGAAGAAAAACGAAUAGUGGUUAUAAAAUUACAAAUGCAAAACAUCAUAAUAUUACAUCCAAAUAAUUAAAUAGUCAAAAUUAACAUAUCCAUAGAUAAUUAUAUCUAUUCAUGGUAAUCAUAAUUAUCCUCAGCAAAUUUAAUAUUUUGAGACCGCAUGAUGUCAUCUAUAUUAUUGAAAGAAUUAUUAAAUUCAAUAGAGAGAAUUACUAAAAAUUUGCAAAUCCUAAAACUCAAGUAAGAGGUAGGAUAGAAAGAAACAAAUGUUUUAUAGAGGAUAAUAGAGUUUUACAAACCUUAUUGUUCUUUAUUCAAUAAAUUUGAGAUUUGGAAUGGUUAAAUAUAUGAAAUUCAAGACGAAUAAGGGAAUAACUCUGCCAAUGUGUAAGUGAAAGAAUUUUUUUUUUAAUUAAAAGUGAAUGAUGGGUGUAAUUUAAAUGUUAUUAAUUUGUGAUAAAUGACGAUUUAAAAUAUUAUACUUAAUUUUGGGAUGGAAUUUGUUGGAUUAAAAAUAGAUAAUGAUUGGAUUUGUUUAAAGUGUUGAGAAGGGUUGCAAAGCAAGGUAUAAUACUAAUCUUAUUUUUACAAGUGAGGUUAGGCCUAGGACAAUUCUAGUCCUAGUAUGCCUCCGUCAUAACCAUGCAUAAAACCGAAAUGAUUAAAAUACCCACAUAUAAAUGGGUUAUUUCCUCCCAUUUUCUGAUUUUUCUCUCUCUAUUCUCUCUCAUUUCCUCUUUCUUCUCUCACUUUCUCCCUCAUGCACUUUCUCUCCCCUUCUCAUUGCGCACAUAAGGUGCACUAUCAUCUCAACCAACAUCGUCCAAAUCGAAGCCACCACUAAUUUCAUCUCAUCCUCAUAAGUCCAAAACUCCUAGCCUUGUCACAAAUCUUAUCCCCGAUCGCUAGGAUCGCACCUUAAGUAGGUUGCGAGUUUUUCAACCAUUUUUCAGCAACAAAGCAAACAAGUGAGGCUCGAGACCACCACCACUGUACUUGCAUCGUGGGUGGGAACAAAGACCAGUCAUUAAAUGCUAGUGUUUUAUUGGAUGAAUUUUUCAGGAUUGGCUCACUAUAUGUACAUGACAUGAACAUGAUAUGCUCGCAGAUUUGAACCAACCCAAAAAUCAGAGCUCACAACUCUCUUUUUGAAAUCAAGAAAAUGAUGUCAUCACCUGUGACGUCACCACCAUUGUGAAAUCCCGUUCCUGGAGUUCACUAUUGCAAACUACGUAUUUGUCUUAAGGAGAUUCUAUAUUAUUUUUGGGAAUUUAUAUUAAUUUUAGAUUUUAAUUACUUAAUUACAAAGUUUGAAUUUUUGAAAAUAAUUAUUUAAAUCUGUAGACCUUUAGGAGUCACUCUUAAUGUUUUCGAAUUGAGCUCAACCCCACGACCACAUAGGAGAAGGCCAUCAUGAAUCGGGACGAGAAAAGAGAAGUUACGGAUGUUAGAAGUUUCUUAAAUCAAAUAGGGAUUUAAUAUUUUUAGGGGUUCCUAUUAAUUUGGGAAGAGACUAAUAAGAGGAGAAAAAAAAAAAAAAAGCUGCCAGAUGGCAACAAGAGAGAGGGGAAGAUGAGAGUUGCGGGAGAGAAAAUGAGGGAUACAGGGACCAAUCGGGAGAGAGAGCAAGAAGGGGAAAGAAGCGACUGAGUUGGGUCGUUUUGACCCAUUUAUGGAUCCACGAACCACCAUUUUUUACCCGACCGCAUCUCCCUCAUCCGACUUCCGUUUUGGGUGAUCUUGGUGUCCAUGGAAAGCUCGUGACGAGACCAACAUCUUGGUGUUGUUAGAUAGUCCAUUUUCUCACUCAUUUUUCCAAGUCGAAGCCACAAAGUGUCGAGGGUUUAUAGUGAGUUUUCUCAUUUUUCAAUGAUCACCACCACCAAUAGACUCCUCUCAACCCCAGGAACAAAGCUCAAGUAGUGGUGGAGGCAUCAAAGUGCAUAUGGAGGUCGAAUCAAAGCACACCAAUUCCUAAGGUUUCCGAUAGUCCAAGGGAGAUUUCAGGUGUUUUCCGGACGAAUUGGACUUCAGCCCAAGUAUGAAAAUUACUUCCCUCAUUGAGAUCUACAUGCCUGUAAAAUUUGGUAAUUUUUGGAAAUAGUUGUAUUUUCCGACGAGUCAGGACGGCCUACUGCUGCGCGCGGCGGCUUGUGGGCUGAGACCUCACCUGACCAUCCUAGGCUAAUUUUGAUGCUCUGAUUCAAUAUUUGACAUCCGUUUAGUAAAAUUCCAAGGUUUGAAUAUAGUUUCGUAGUUGACCACCUAGUUGGCUGCCACAUGAUCAUUAUAUAAAUUGAUGAUCCGACCGUUGAAUUGGCACCAAACUUUAAUAUGUUAUAGUACGUAAUAUUUGAGUACGUUUAAAACUGACAGAUUAGGAAUCCAACCUACGGAUCUUCCCGAAUUGAAUUUCUAAGUUUGUAAAACCAAACUUUGACCACCAUUUGAAUUUGUAUUUGGCAGAGAUCCGACUGUUGGAUCGUAAUAAAACCUUAGUAUGUUGUUCUAGAAGACUAAUGAGACUUUUGGGAAGUUACGGAUCAGAAAUUUGAUGGGCGGAUCUUUCGGAUUAGGUUACUAGGGUUGUGGACCUUACCCUCGAUCUUGAUCGACAAUUGACUUUUUAGUGAACUAGCCCGAGUUCUUCUAGCAUGUCACUGAGCUUAGAGUGUUGUCAAGAUUUCAUGGAGCUUAUUGGGCUCAGCAUGAUGAUGUGUCUUCCUCAAUGGACGUGCACCUAGAUUUAUGUACGGAUGACAUCACAUUGUGUUAUGCUUGUUUAUUUUACGUGAUUUGAUUUGUGUAUUGAACUUGUUAUGGAGUGUGGUUGAUUUGUAUGUUUAGCCUGAUGUGAUGAAAUGUGAGUGCUAGGAGUGGACCAUGAACCCAUUGUCAUGGGGUUUGUUGCUUCGAGACUUGUUCACAUAUCGUAUCAUUAUUCCAUUUCUUAUUUCAUUGAGCUUUUGUAUUUUGAGUACUUGUUUCAUGUCUUGUUCUUCAAGCUUUGCUAUAUUUCUUGGACUUCUGCUCGAUUCUGUUGAGUAUCCGGAACUGGGUUUCUGCUGGAGUUCCGUUAAGUGGUCCGGUUAUCUGCUCCGUUUGGAUUCCGUUGAGUGGUCCAGAAUCCCUCGUGAUCCGCGAUUUCGUUGAGUGGUCUGGAAUCGUAUCCAGCUUGGAUUUCAUGGAAUGGUUUGAUAUGCAUUGUACUCUGUGAUUCCGUUGAGUUGUCUGGAAUCGUAUCCACUCGGAUUUCAUUGAGAGGUCAAGAAUCCCUUAUACUUCGCAUUUCCGUUAAGUGGUCUGGAAACCCACUUGGUGUUUUGGUUCCAUUGAGUGGUCCAAAACCCGAUAUUAAUGGAUUUUGUUGAGUGGUCUGAAAUCACAUCAUUUGACUUGUUAGUUCCUUGGAUUCGAUUUCAGCUUCAAAGAUGUAGGCUUCGACCAAAUUAUGUCGUUCUAGCCAUACAUUUCGGUGUAUUGUAUGUAUUAUUGAUUGGUGUGAUUAUUGGAUGGUGUUGGAAUGCAUAUGUGUGGGUGAAUGGUAAGAUGACUAGAGAAUAUUAUUGUGCUUCAUUGAAUAUUCCUUGAGGUGCUACAUGCUUGAAUUGUGGUAUUAUGUUGAGACGUAGUGAGAUAUGUGAUGAAUGUUUGAGUGUAGUGAAUGGUAAACUAUGAAUGGCUUGAUCCUAAUUUAGGGUAUGUAGGCAGUCUAACAAAGAGGUUAGAUAUAGCCAUAAAGUAUACGAAAAUUAUUACGCAAUUCAAACCUUGAGUGGUGCUUUGUACAUAUCCCAGGGACGGGGUAUGUUAAACGUAUGGAUAUUGACGUCACCUUCGAUCCUGGACGUAUGUCGGGACCAGGGCAUGACAACCAUAUACACUAUAUGCACACCACAUGCACAGAAUAUGUACAGUACAUGCAUAUGAUAUGUACAGAACUGAAGAUCGAGCAACGAGCUAUUUUUUGCAUUAACAAGAAUCUUUAACGACGACCUAUUGGUAUAGUGGAUACAAUUAAAACAUAAUUGCUACAUAUAUAAGAUUACAGUGGGAGUUUGAAAAGUCUUGUUAUGUAUAUCAAUCACUGCUUAAUUGUGCAUGUGGAAAACAUGAUACUUGUUGUCGUUAUUUCAUGGACAUGCAUGAUCCUUAACGUCCUCUAAGCUUUUUCUUAAUUUUUUUUUUCACCGAAGCCAACUAGGUUGUGGUCAUACUUGCUAAAUUUUAGGGCACACCAUAUGUGCAUCAUAACUAGUGAACAUUCCCGCUUUUCAUAUUAAAAUGUAGCCAUACACACCAUAUGCACAUUAUGGAAAAAAAUUCACAAAUGUCUGCAAUUGGAUACUUGAACCAGAAAUUGUUCCAUCCCAGUUUUGUAGCAUAUCAAAACUUGAAAUUUAUUCCACAACCCAUAGGCCCCAACAUGAACCACAAACCCUAAUUUAACUUAUAAGUAUUAAUUCAUCUUACAAAUAACCCAUUUAUUCCAUAAAUCAUUGAUGAAUGAACUUGGAACUAAACACCCUACCUUAUUAUGCCUGCCGAAGCUUUAGUCGUUGUAAAAAAAUGGAACUUUCCAGCCAAAACAGAAAAUAUGGUAUAAAACCCAGCUUUCUUCUCACCUCUCUCUCGCAUCUAUUUGUUCAAAAUCAGAGGCAUGAGGUUAACCCAAAAACCAGCUCACUCUUCUUACCUAUCUUUGGACUUCACUCUCUUCGAAAUCAGAUGAAUUAAUACUUAGAAGUUAAAUUAAGGUUUGUGUUUCAUGUUGGGGCCUAUGGUUUGUGGAAUAAAUUUCAAGUUUUGAUGUGCUACAAAACUGGGAUGGAACAAUUUAUGGUUCAAAUGUCCAAUUGCAGAAAUUUGAGAAAUUUUUUCCAUAAUGUGCAUAUGAUGUGCAUGGCUAUAUCUUAAUAUAAGAAGCGGGAAUGUUCACUAGUUAUGAUGCACGUAUGUUGUGCCAUGGAAUUUAGCAAGUAUGACCACAACCUAGUUGGCCUCGGCGAAAAAUAAAAUUAAGAAAAAGCUUAGAGGACGUUAAGGAUCAUGCAAGUCUAUGAAAUAACGACAACGAAUAUCAUAUUUUCCACGUGCACGGUUCAAGCGGUGAUUGAUAUACGUAACAAGACUUUUCAAACUGCCAUUGUAACCUUAUAUACAUAACAAUUAUGUAUUGAUUGUAUCCACUAUACUAAUAGGUUCCCAUUAAAGUUUCUUAUUAAUGUGAAAAAUAACUCGUUGCUUGAUCUCCAGUUCUGUGCAUAUGAUAUGCAUGUACUAUAUAUAUGAUAUGCGUGUGGUGUGCAAAUAAUGUAUAUGGUGGUGACGUCAUAGGUGAUGACGCCAUUUUUCUAAUUUUGAAAAAAAAAAACUGUUUUUGGGUUGGCUCAAAUCUGUGAGCAUAUCAUGUGCAUGUUGUGUGCAUAUUGUGAGCAAAUCCUGAAAAAUUCAUUCAACAAAACACCAGCAUUUAAUGACUAGGCUUGUUCCCACCCUUAAUGCGAGUCCAGCGGUGGUGGUCUCGAGCCUCGAUUGUUUGCCGUGUUGCCGAAAAAUGGCUAGAAAACUCACUGCCUGCUUAAGUUUCGAUCCCACCGAUCGGGGAUGAGAUUCGUGACAAUGCUAGGUGUAUUGGACUCAUGAGGAUGAGAAGAAAUUGUUGGUGGCUUCGAUUUGGACGGUGUUGGUCGGGAUGAUAGUGCACUAUGUGUGCACAGUGAGAAUGGGAGAGAGAGUGCGUGAGGGAGAAGUGAGAGAGAAAAAAAGGGAGAGAGAGAGUAGAGAGAGAGAAAUCAGAAAAUAGGAGGAAAAUACCUAUUUAUCUACAAAGGCAAUUAAGUCAUUUCAAGGUGUAGGAAAAAUCCUAUUUCUAUCUGAUUGUUGUGCAUGGCGUAUGCAUAUUCGAAAUGUCCUAUUUUUGUCUCAAGAUUAAGAAAUUGUCCUAUUUCAAGGUAUUUCUCAAAAUUGAAUGUAAGAAAGAUAAGAAUGCUUCGUUGGAUGUGUGGGCACACUACAAAGAAUAGGAUUAAGAACAGGAAUAUCCGAGGAAAAGUAAGGUCACUGAAUUGACAAUAUGAUGAGAGAAAACUGGUUAAGGUAGUUUGGACAUGUGAGCCGAACACCUACAAAUGCUCUAGUUAGUUGAUGCGACUAUGAGAUAGAGGCUCAAGGGAAAAUUGGUAGAUGAAGACCUAAGAAGACUUGGAAAUAGACUUUAAAAAGAGAUAUGAAGUACUUAGAACUAAUGAAAGGCUUGAUGCAUGCAAAACUGAGUAGUGGCUUUGUAGAAUUCCAACCCAUUUUGUAGAUAAGACUUAGAUGUUGUUUGUUGUUUGUUGUUGUUGAACUCGACAUUUACGUGAGUGAAAAACGAGACCAGCAUCUUAUAAGUGAAUAAGAAUCACUAAAAUUGUAAUAUCGUUUCUUUUUUUUUUUUUUUUUUUUUUUUGCUCUCUUUGUUGAUAUUAUCUUUGCUUUUCCAUUUUUUUCCUUUUUUGACUUGCAAUUAACUCGAAGUAUAUUUAAGAAUGUCAGGCCAAAUGAAGAAAAGUAACUAAGAAUUAAUAGAUGUACAUAAAACAUGCAAAAGAAGAAAGACUCGCAACUAGUUUUUCAUAGCCAACUUGUGGACAAUUAAAUCCCCUUUGUUUUAGAAUUUAGUUGUUAAUAAUAUUGAUGUAAUCAUUUCUUUCCCAACUAUUCUUAUUUUAUUUGAAGGGUUUCGAAAUAAUUAAGCUAAAUUUAUAUUAUUCUUCUCCGGCCUUCCACCAUUUGGAUGCUUUUUCCAAAGAUUUGUUGCAUGAUUGUGCUAACCCUUACGGAAACAGUCCAAUUCUAAUUUCCUAGAUUUGUUUGGGAAUUGUUAUUGACAUUUAAAAAAAAAUUAUUUUGCACUUCUUACAAGUGUAUUGUUUUUUAAAUAUAAAAAAUUUAGAGUAUAAAAUAAGAAUUUUGGAGUAAUAAUAACAAUAAGUUAUAGUGUAUUGAAAAAAACCCUCGAGAGUUCAUGGUUGUAAUUGCGUUAGAGACAGAAGCUAUUCGUGAGGCCAUAUGUUGGCCUGGAUUGAUAAGAAUUUUUUUCGCAAAUAAUGAUAGAGAUAGACUUUGUUAAUUUUGUAAGGCUGUUAAUAUAUGACUUGAUGUUAUGAAAUUGAAGAUAUGUGUAUAGUGAAAUAUAAAAUAAAUAAAAUACAAUAUUUAUGAAGUUUGGCAAAUUUGCUUACGUGAUAUAAAGUAAUAUUAUGACGAUUGACGAAUAGGACGGGGAUCGACUGAGAAUGAAUAAAACCAUGUCCAAAUAUACAAGAACCAAAUAUUUCUCAAAAGGCAAUAUAAUCCUAUAUUUUUUUUUUGGUCAAACAACUAAAUUUCAUUAAAGAUCAAACACACUAAUACAAAGUGAGGUUAGUCUGAAGACAGUCCACAUCAUAAUAAAUGUGACAACCUGUCCCAAAUUUUAAGUUUUAUAAAUUUUAAAUUAAUGAUUUUAUGAAAAUGCCCCUUGAGGCAAAGAUUUUAAACUUCGUUGACCAUCGAUUAGAGAGACGUGGGACUUUUUUUUUAGCAUAUCCUUGUAGUGCUCGUCAUUACGAGCGUAUAGGCGAAAGCUGUUUGCGAGUCCGGAUUAUAACGGUAUAGUUACGGACGUUUGAAAUUGGUUAAUUAUAUUUUGGUUUAUAAGUUAAUUGAACUCCCACCUUGUGGGAAAGAAGCCAAUUAAAUUUUAGAUACAAAUAUGAAGGGACCAAUCAGAAACAGGAGCAAAGAGAGGAAAUGAGGGAACAAGAACCCCUCUUUUUGGACCCGUGUACCCGCACACUCACACCCAUUCGGCCGGGGCCAUUCCGGCCAAAUUUCCACCAUUUUUCCAACGAAUUAGGCCAAUCCACCCCCUCCCAAGCAUCAUCUUGACCCUUCCUCUACCAUUACCACACCAAAUUUGGGAAGAUUAGGUUCAAAAUUUUGGAGAAAACGCAUUGGUGGGUGCGAAGGGACUUGGAUGGCGAUCCACCAAUUAUGAAGUGUUUCUCUUCAAUUACCACUACCAAAACACUCUCCUAGAACCCAGUAACAAAGCCCAAGCAGUGGUGGAGGCGUCGGAACACGUUUGGAGGUCGAAUUGAAGCACACCUAAUUCUAAGGUUCCGACGGGUUUUGAUGAAAUUGGAGCCUUUCCAGCCAAAUUGGCCUUGGUCAUAGGAGCCAAUCUUUCGGGACGUCUCGAUGCGCAUGCUAGAGAAUCAUAGCAUAAAUUCCAAGUGAGUGGGUCAUUUCCUUUUAUCAUAGGCAUAUAGUUGAUAGUUUCACAAAUGCUUCUAAAUUGAUUUAUGCAUUUUAUGCCAUGUUCUAAAGUGCUAAUAGAUGGUUAAGUUUAGAUUAUGUCAUAGUAUAUCCAUAUGCAUGUUAUCUACAAUUAAUUAAUGCGAACUACGAAUGGCUUGAUCCCUAUUUAGGGUACGUAGGCAGUCUAACGAGACGUUAGAUGCAUCCAUAUAAGAAAUGAGAUUAUAUAAUCGAGACAAUAGCCUUGUUUCAGGAAUUGAGCAAUGUGAGGGAUAUUGGUGAGAAAUGUGCGUUUAAACUUUAUGUUUUGGUGAUUAAUAGUUAGUACACUGUAUUAUAUAAUUAGAAAUACUAUGAAAUGUUUUUAUUUUAGAUUUCAUCAUGGCAUAUCCAUACAUAUAUUCCUUGCACAUAAUUAUUGUGAACGCUCCGAAGUGCAAAUGUGAACACAGGACACACAGGUAAGUUCAGGUAAGUUCAGGUAAGUUUAGGUACGUUCAAGUAAGUAUACGGUAUUAGUUGAAUUGAUGGGGUUAUGAUAUGACUACAUUUAUGUUUAAAGCAACUCCGACACCGUCGUACAUGUUGCAAUAGUAGGCAACUCCAACAUUGUCGUACAGGUUGCUUAUGAGUCGUACAUGUUGUAUUAGAUGCAUUCAAAUCUCAUAAACCUGCACUUCGGUGUUAGUGCUCCCGCCCGUGGCCAGGGUACAGUCCUUCACGUAAUGUUCACCUCCCGCACCAUACGUUCACCUUGAAUUCAAGGUAGGUGCACAUGCUUGUCGUACAGACCGCUAUAGGUGGUUUCGACUCGUAGGUGACUCUUCACGUGAUUGUAGCACUUGAGCGUAUGCAUUUACACCCAGUCCUAUCGUACAGACCACUACUGUGGUUCCGACUCGUGUGCAGGUGUAGUGCCGUACAGAUCACUAUAGGUGACUCCGAUUUAUGAGCUAGCAUAUGUAAUAAAUAAGAGACGAGCUAGCAUAUGUAAUGAAUAAGAGGCAAGCUAGCAUAUGUAAUGAAUAUGUGAUGAGCUAGCAUAUGUAAUGAAUAAGAGACGAGCUAGCAUGUGUAAUGAAUAAGAGACGAGCUAGCAUAUGUGAUAAAUAUGUGAUGAGCUAGCAUAUGUAAUGAAUAAGAGACGAGCUAGCAUAUAUGAUAUAUGAUGAGCUAGCAUAUGUAAUGAAAAAGAGACGAGCUAGCAUAUGUGAUGAAUAUGUGAUGAGCUAGCAUAUGUAAUGAAUAAGAGACGAGACAACAUAGGUGAUGAAUAUGUGAUGAGCUAGCAUUUGUAAUGAAUAAGAGACGAGCUAGCAUACAUGAUGAAUAUAUGAUGAGCUAGCAUAUGUAAUGAAUACGUGACGGGCUAGCAUAUGUAAUGAAUAUGUUAUAAGCUAGCAUAUGUGAUGAAAUAUGUGACGAACUAGUAUAUGUGAUGAGAUAUGGGUAAGUUGUACAAGCCACCCUAGGUGACUCCGACUUGCUUACUAGUAUGAGUUAUUAAUCGCAUGAUUAUUUGAUAUUAUUGAUGAAAUGUUGUGUUGUGGUAUAUUAUGAAUUUUCUGGAAACUAUACAGGUGUUGUAGUGAGGGGUUAUAAUGUUUUACAUGGUUUCUAUUAAAAUUUUACUUACAGGGCCACUCACCCUUGUCUUGUCUUCACCCUCCAGGUUUUAUUAGCUGAGUUUUCUUAUCGUCGAAGAUUCAUGGCGAUUCUUAGUAUUGGAGAUUAUUUCGAGGUUAUGAUUCUUAAUUCACUAUUUUGUACCUGCUUAUGCUCUAACGUCACGUGUGAAGUGGGUUCAUUCUUGCUCACCAGUGCACUCUGGUAUCUAGGCACUCUUAGGUUUAAAUUUAUUCACAAUUUUCCACAUCAUCACACUUUAUGGCUUCGUCACAUUCCAGGUGUCGGCCAGCACAGCUCGAUUCGGAGUCCUAGUGGACAUUCCGGGUCAGGGUGUGUCAGUAAAAGUGCAGCCUAUUACAAAAGUAAAGGAAACAAGCCCCAAAAGUGAGCCCAAGAUAAAGCGUAAACUGAAAACCCUAGAUCUGGAAAUGAGAAAUAGUCUUUUCCACCAAAACAGCUGCACCACCAUCGCCAAGCCGCCGCCACUGGUAAGAAGAACCAACGAACUGAAAGGAUGAACAGAAAAUGGGGGUGGGCAAGCCAUUCGUGCAAAAAGCGCUCCUAUAAUCCUACCAAAUAGUGCGAAAUGCACUUUAGCAGCCAUUGAAACCCAAGGCACGCCUCCAACCAAAAGUCCAUAGAGAAAGAGCACGAGGAGCCGAAUAGUUGAACCAAGUGGGCAGAAGCUCGUGACUGGAAACAACAAUUUGGGAAGGAAAAAAUGUGAAACUCAGAUCUGCAACAAGAUUGUCAAACAUUGAGACAAAAGCUCAAGAAAAAUAAGACAAACUCAAAGAAAAUCAACAAGAAAACAGGGGCCAAAGAAAAAGAAAAUGAAGAAUAUGAGGCUUAAGGAAGAAGGAGAAAGAGAAAAAGGAAGGAGGAAAUGAGGUUGCUACCGACCCUACCCGAGAGGAAAGGCCGGCAACUGAAGGUAUACUUGAUUUGGAAGAUCUAGGUUUGGCAAGGGGAGCGGCGCCUCUAGGGUUUUUUUUUAAAUAUAAUUAGACCUGACAUUUUCAACCCAACUCGUUCAUCCGACCCGACCCGACCCAUUAAAAUUAGUAUUCGGGUGAGUGCUAAACGGGUCAGGUCAUUAACGGGUCAACCCGUUAAUCACCUGUUAUUUAACAGGUCAUUUUGGGUCAACUCGCGAAACCCGUUAUUGAGGACUUUUGUGUAAUUUCAAAUUUUCACUCUUUCAUUCAUUUGCAGUUAGAUAGAGUGUCUAGUAUUGACAAUACUGUAUUGCUGCAAAAUACAUUAGGAGGCUAAUUUCCCAGCUCCCACCAGUUCAGCCUAUUCAUAUUUCGUCUUUGGACUUAUCAAGGGCAAGUUUUGGGGGUCAUGGGAAUAUGGGAUGGCCAGACCUUCGCUUGAUUUUGAUCUUCUACCUGGGAGUGCUUCAUCUUCCAUGCCCAAUUUACCUUACCAGCCUAAUGGCUUUUCGGACAUGGAUAAGUCCUUCAUGACUGACAUUAUUGCAAAUGCCAUGGAAGAGUUGCAUAGGCUUUUGCAGACCAAUGAACCUUUGUGGAUGAAGUCUUCUACUGAUGGGAGGGAUGUUUUUAAUCUCGAAACCUACGAGAGGAUUUUUUCGAGGGCUAAUAGUCAUUUGAUUAUUUUGGUUGCCUAUCUUAUUGGGGCUACUGCUUCUCCAAAUCUUGGUCCUAGAGAUGUUGAUGAUUGGCAAAACAGUUCUCUACCUGAAAAUGCCAACCCCUCAGAUUAUGAACGUAUAUAAUUGAUAGAAAGUCGAAUUCUACUAUACAAAAUGGGGUUGUAUUUGAUUUGGAUGAAAUGUAAAAAAAUAAAUAAAUAAAUUGUUAACGGAUGUUAACAGGUGAAAUGGGUGAAAGGGUGACUUAUUAGAUUAAUAGGUUGAGUUUGGGUGAUCUGUUAGUUUAACGGGUUGGGUUCGGAUGACCUGUUAAAUUAACGAGUCGGGUCAAACCCGACCCAAACCCAAUAAACCCAACCCGUUUACAGGUCUAAAUAUAAUCCUAUAUUUAUAUAGAUAUAUAAAUAUAUAUCUUUUUUGGUUCAAAAAAAAAAAUAUAUAUAUAUCUUUUAUGUUUGAUAAACUAUGAAAUUCAAUAAAGCUUGAAUCAUAAGAUGGAAAACGGGGGUAGUGAUGAGGUGGGACCAAGUAGCAAUUGUGGGCCUCUACCAGCCGUCCGAUCAAAAGGCCCAGGAGAUAUUUUCCAAUCAUGAGCCGGCGGGAAGUGGGGUUUGGAGUUCAUCACUUCAUGCGCGCAGGAAGCCGACCUAAUCACAACGGCUCCGCUUCGACGACUCGAGCCGACUUGGUCGCUAAGACUUGCGCGCGAUACGGCUGAGUUAUACAAAGAAAAAGGAAAGCAAAAAUCAUAAUCAUGUUUUUCCCUUCCCUGAUCAUAGGGUGCUCUGUUUUCCUUGUCCUUGCUGAACUCAGCUGUGUGCUGUUUAGCGCAUCUUUAAAGGAAAUGUCAAAUAUAAUAUGUCAAAAUUUUAUUCGAUAGCUGAUGUGGCAAAUUGAAUACAAAUACUAAAUUAUCUUCUUUUCCAAUGGAUGUGUCAAAUAUUGAUUUUAUGAUUUUAUUGGGCCUAGAGUUAUAUUAACUAUUAAAAUAUACGGAACUUUAACGAAAAGUUUUUUGUACUGUUCACUUUAACAAAAAAUGACAUUUUUACACUAAAAAGUCAAUCAUGGUACUAUUUAUUUUACCCUUUAUUUUGUUAUUAUCGUUAAAACUUAAACUUUUCAAAUCAUUUUUAUUAGUUUUCCUUAAAAAAUAAUAAUAAAUAAUUGUAGUUUUUAUUUUAUUGGCUGUUAAAGUGACCCAUAUAUUAAAAAAUUCAAUUAAAUAUAUUUAACUCCUUCUUUGUUUGUUGUCAAAAAAGGCAGCUAGAAAGUAAGGAGUCAAAUGAGUCACAUGCCACAUCAUAUAUGACAUAUCCAUUGGAGAACACCUAAAUGUUUUUUAAUCUUAUUUGGCAUAUUUCACAUCUCCUUUAGAGAUGGUCUUAGGUCUUUUGUAAUAGUUUUGGAGCUCUCUCUCAUUUUUUUAAUGAAACUCUUUGACCAAAAAAAAAAUGUGUUGCCCAUUAUUAAAAAUAGAGUUAUAUCACAAAUGGUUUCUAAAAUUGACUUACAUCAUCAAGAUGAUCUCUAAAAUUGAAAAAUCGAUCAAUUUAGUCCAUGAAAAUAAGAGUUGCGAAUCAAUGUGGUCAUUCCGUUAUAAUUUUGUCAAAAACUCGUUAUGUGUUGAUAUAGCACAUAAAUGGAUACUACAAGUGCUUUUUUUAAUCACAAAUGGUCCAUGAAAUUGACUCGCACCAUCAAGAUGGUCACUAAAAUUAAAAAUGAUCAAUUUAGUCCUAAAAUAGAUGUUUCAAAUCAAUGUGGACUUUUCAUCAUAAUUAAGUCAAAUUUUUGUUAUGUGCUGAUGUGGCAUAUAAAUGGACUCACAAGUCUGACUAAAUAAAAAUGAAUUAGAAAUAGGUCUAAUAAUUUAAUAAGUAAUUAGCAAGUUGUGAACCUAGAAAUUUGGUCCCCCAGUCACCUCUGAUCCUAACCCAUACUCCUUUACCUCCAUCUCCACAAAUAUAUAUUAGGCCUUGUAAGCAAGGUUCUAAAAUACGCUAGUCGUUAGUCGAGGGGCGUGCUGGGAUCUAGGUGGACUAGGUUGAUUUAAGUAAAUUUAUUAAAUAUUAUACUAAAAAAAAUAAUAAUUAUAUUUUGACACAUCAAUUGCAAAAUAAAAUGGUACUAUAGAUUGUAAAUUAUUAGAACAUAUCGAAAACAUGGGGAACAAGCAUACAAUGAGUCUUCAUCCAAGUAUUUAACAAGUUUCUUACAUUUUAUUGUCAAAAUAAAAGGCAAAAUGAAGUUAUCAAUUUUCUGUCUAAGUGAAAGUUGCAACUUAAGCAGCUUUAAGCAGGAUAGACGGGUAACUAGGUGGGCUAGGCCGACAUCUAAGGGAGUCUAGGUGCACUUUCAUAAUUUUUAUACGCCUUGGGACUAAUCGUGACAAUGCAAGUUGCUUAGCGCCUAGGCGGAGAUUUUUAGAACAAUGCUUGUAAGUGUGUUUAAGUGUGAACUUUGUCAGUUUGUUCAUUGAAAAUAAAACUCCUUGCUUAACUCUGAUAGUUUAAUUUCAAAUACAAAGCAAAACAUAGUAUUGCAACAAGCAUAAUUAAUUAAAAAUAAAAUACGAAUUCUAGCUUAAUAUAACUAAGUAUGAUGUUAAGCCACUUAGUACUAUGAUCUAGCGGUAUUCUUCUUCACUUGUAAGUGAGAGGCAUUUGAUUUGAUUCUCGCAAAAAUCGAAUUUGAACCACAUUAUUAUGGUUAGCCCAUUGCAAGGCUUAGUCCACUCUCCAUCCCUUUAGUGUAGAUAAUAUCGUUUGUUAAAAAAAAGUACGAUAUUAAAACAAUAUUAGUCUCAGUAGCUUAUAACCUAGGGCAUAUGCGUGGUGCUAGGGUAUCCAACUCAUGACAUAAUUUGUAUUUCGGAGUUUGCUUCCAACUUUCCAACAUUUGUGAUGUGUGAAUGAUUAGUAGUUACUGAAAAAAUAACAUAUUGAUUACAUUUGAAAUUCAUUAAUAAUAAAAUAUUAUUACCUCAUUGGCUAGAUUAUUGCCACUUCCAUAAAUUGCUUUAGCUUGGAUUUUUGUCAAGAUUUCAACUCUUUAUGUAGAUGUUUGUACUUACUUGAGUACUUGAUAGAGAUUGCUUGGACCGAGAUGUGCAUUGGAAGAUUGAAAAAAUAUGCAUGAAUCUUUUUCCACAUUUAUUUCAUCGUCAUCUCAUUUCCCGUGAUCGUGUCAUAAAGCAGAGCAACAUCUUCCCCGAUCGACCAAUUUGUUAUACCACUCAAUUUUUUUGGUAACAAGCAGAUUUGGAAAGUUGAAAAAAACAUGAGUUUGUAGGAAAAUGAUACUAAGUUGUUGUAUUGAGAAUGAAGAAAUAGUUGGGUGCUUAUAGAAUAACUAAAAUUAAAUGUUUUCCUUGUUUUCUUACUGUUGAACCUGACGCAUCAUAAUGUGCCACGUGGCACAAUGAUAACUUUUUUCAAUUUUUUGUUGAAAACCCAAAUCAUUAGGCAAUUGAAAAUCUAACAACUCUCAUCGUACCAUGUCAUAGAGCUGUUGGGCUCUUUUGUUGAAGCUACUGCAACAGGGAACAUAUCACUGCAGGUUUUGUUGGCUCACGCCCUAAUUCUGCGUGUGGGUUGUGUUGAUGUAAAUUUCUGUUUUCUCUUGCUUUAACGAAAAUACACCUGCAAAACAAUCAACACCUUUGGUCAAAGACCUAAGCCUUACAUGUCCACGAGGUGGAUGGGGGGGGGAUUAGGCCAAUGGAUCUCCAAUGCCUAAGUUAGUUUCUCUGAAAAGCAAAUAUGUUUAAGGCUUUUAGGGUAGCAAAAGUUUACUGAAAUUUGAUAGAAUUUGAGAUAUAUAUAUAUAUAUAUAUAUAUAUAUAUAUAUAUAUAUAUAUAUAAAGGGAGAGGGCCGGCCAUGGUGUAGGGUUUUUACCCUACACAUGGCAGCAUUCUAUUGGCCAAAGUGUAUGGAAAGAAUAUUCUCAAGAUAUUAAAUAUGAAAUAAUAUCUUGAGAUAAAUGUGUAAAUAUCCCUAAUUGAUUUAAUAGGUAUUAUUUACUUGAAUGAAGUCAAUAUUCAAUUGGGAAUUUAUUAAAGAUAGGAUUUGGGUAAUUAAUCCUUAUCUUUAAUGCUUUGACUUUUCCUUACCAUGGGCAGGUGAGCUGUGGGAAAUCAUAUUCAGCUGCUUGGACCUUUAGGGCUACUGAGCUGUAUCUGAGAAGUCUGCCCAUUUAGAGCAACUUCACCGUUGGAGCCCUCCCCCCAGGCAAUACACUAUGCUAUCCACCAAGUGAACAGUAAAUGCCGUAAUGAACAGUAAUCCCUCAGGCAAUACACUUUUGCAUCUCCACCGUUGCACUUCAAUAACUCUGGUAAUAGGCAAUAAAAUAUUAAUUUUUUUUUCUAAAUACUACAAAAUAAUUUUAUUUGUAAUUUUGGAUAAGAUUUUUAAUCGGUUUCGUUGUACCAUUUUCUAUUAAAAAAUUAUUUUUAUUAUUUCUUUUCAUAUGGUGCAUCACACAUUCCAAAACCUUUUUUUUUAUUCUUUUUUUUCCUUCUUUUCACAUGGUGCCAACGCACCAUUUUUUCUUCAAGCUCAGCAACACAUCCCCCCCCACACCCAGUUUUCAACUCGUCUCCCCCCCCCCGCCCCCAACGCACCAAUCCCUCCUCGCCUAUCUUCCUCCAUCUUCACCCCCCAUCGCCGCCUCUCUUCCUCCAUCUUCACCAUCCCACCCACCUCAGCCUCCAUCAAAGGUCCCGAUCUCCGGCGACCCAUCUCUGCCAUUUUUCUGUGCCAUUUUUCAAGUUCAGCAGCUCCCACACCUCAGCCACCCAUCUCUGCCAUUUGUCUGUGAGUGUUCAUCACCUUGGCGACGAACUCCAGCGAGAGCCGUUGAGUUCGAAGCUGGGUUUUACAGUUUUUUUACUUUUUUUUUAUUAAUAUUCUAUAUUUUUAUUAAUUUUAUAUUAUGACUGACGUCACCCUGACGUUAGCCCUGCGUCAAAUCCACUCGGGCUCUCGGGCUGGCAAUUCCUCACAGGCCCGCUACUCAGGCCUCCACAGUCCCUCAGGCCCCCCCGCGCUGGAGUCCACAGCCCGGCCUCUAGGGCCCUUUUUCCUUGCCUGUCCCCCGAGCAAACUCCAACGGUGGAGUUGCUCUUAAUGAGGGCUAUCUUGUCUAUCUUAUCUUUAAUGCUUUGACUUUUCAUUACCAUGUGUAGGUGAGUUGUGGGCAAUCGUAUUCAGCUGCUUUGACCUUUAGGGCUACUGAGCUGUAUCUGAGAACCUUGCCCAUUUAAUGAGGGCUAUCUUGUCUUUCUUGAGCAAAAGUUAACGUGUCGCCUCUAGAAUUUUUGGAAUUAUUUUAGACUCCACAGGUUGCACACGUUAGUUGUAAAAAAUGAAAAAAUCGUGGGUUACGUCAUGCUGAUGAUAGCCAUGUCUGUUGGUGGAAGGCUGGACUUAAAUCAUACGGUCAUUUGGGCAGGCAUGGCUUGGUCCAUCACUUGCCCUCAUUUUUUUCGGCUUGCUGGAGGUUGAUCGGGUAAUUGCAUUCCUUUUGUUCUUGUCCUUGCCAAAAGCAAUCAAUGGAAAUGCUCUUAUAGUAUGAGCGUAUAUCAACUAUUUUGAAAUGUCAAUAAACACACAUUUAACAAAUAUUUUAUUUUAUCAGUUCUUUUGAAGUGGUGUUGUUUUUAUUCUAGAAUGUAAUUAUUUUUGCAACAUGAAAAACAAAAAGAAAUGCGACAAAUAAUUGUACACCAUAAUGAUGUAUUCUAUUGAGAUUUGAAAUUUCUUGAAGAAUAGUAAACUCAUGGAGUUUGAUGGAGUGCCAUAUACUUAUGUGAAUUUGGGAGAAAUCAUUAGAAAUAUUAGGAGUUGAGGCCUGAUUGCAUAAAGUCUGUAAAAUAUUAUAAAAUUCCUCUAAAUCCAUUUAAGUCGUUUAAAUGUUAAAAUACUUUCAAUCAUAGCUGUGUACAUAUGUGAACUACUUUGAAAUUUGAAAGAGUAAUGUUAGGUAGACAAAUAAAUUGCAAAUUAAAUAAUGUGUCACCAAUAAUAAAUAAGUACGUUAAUUAAACCCUUAAGUAAUACACUAAUCCUCAACUUUCUUGUCAUUUAGUUUAAAAAAUUUUAGGGUAAAUUAUGUAAAACUACCUCAACUAUUGGGUCAGUCAUAGUUUUAUAUCCCGUCUUUAAAAAAAUUCAAUGUCAUACCUUAUCUUCGAGUUUGUUGCAAUGUCAUAUAUUCUGUCAGUUUUCUGUCAAUUCCUCUAUUAAAUGCUGACUGGCUUGAGACGAGACCCACUUUCUAUUAAAAAAUUAACUAAAUAUUAAAAAAAUUAAAAUACAAUUAUUUAAAUGAUUUGUAGAGUUUCCAUGUAAAUUUUUUGUUUAAUUCUUUCAAAAUCUCACUCCCUAGCAUUACAAUACAUUUUGAUUUUUAUAAAAUUUUAUAAAAUUCUUUAAAAUCUUGAUUGAAUACCUGUAAACCUCUAUAAAUUCAUUUAAAAUAAGUAAAACUAAUGAAAAUGGUUAUAAAAUUUUGAGUUUUAAAGAUAAGGACAAAAUAAAGGUUAAAAUGAAUAGUACUAGGAUUGACUUUUUAAUGUAAAAAUGUGAUUUUUCGUUAAAAUGAACAGUACCAGAAAUUUUUCGUUAAAAUUUCCUUUAAAAUAAUGUAUAAAUUUGUAAACUUUUCUAAACUUCUAAUUGAAUACAUCCACAAGUUGAAUUUUUCUUGUAUUAUUUUUGGUAUGAAAUUGAUAAAAAUACAAUCUUAGCCGUUGAAGCGAUUCUCCGGGAGGCUAUAAAAUGGAAGGUGCAUUGUUUAAUGGAGCCCCUCAGUCCUUUCUGAUCAGAACAACGUCUCACUCGCUUCUUCGCUUUGAUCUCCAUCCAAAUUCUCUGUCACCCCAAGAAUCGAAUCCUAUUGGAAUACAGGGAAUUUGGGGAGCUUCGUCUCUUUCACCCCUCCCCUUUUACACUUUCUCUCUCCUCGUCGUCCAUCUCUCCUCUCUCUUUCUCUCUCUAAUCAAAGGAGACGGAAAGAGAGGCAUUGCAUAGCAAAAUAUAUUUAUUGCUUAAUUUAUAUACAUUUACUAGAAUAGGAGCGAAAAGGGUCUUUUCUUCUUCGCCAGCACCCUCUGGAGCACUUUCUCCAUAAGCGAUUGUGUUUUUUUCUUUUUUCCUGCUUUUGAGGGCUCCUCGCCGUCUUCGUAUUCGGCACUCUGACCAAAUUGGUGGCGCAUUAAAGUCUGGCUUUUUUUCACAAAUUACACAGAAGCAGAAGCAGCAGCUACUUAGAGAGAGAGAGAGAGAGAGAGAGAGAGAGAGAAACAGAGAGAGAAAGAGAGAUCUUUAGCUGCAGAUUUUGUUGUUAAAUCAUUUUAAAACCAUUUAAGGCCGGCCACUCAAUUUCUCUCGUCUCUGCUGCCAAUUCUUGGAAUGGAGAAUUCUUAAAAACCCAACUCACCAUCAACUCUGCAUAUAAAUUACAAGUCCCUCCCUUUGUACACUGCCUAAAAAAAACAGUCAUAGAUCGAGAAAGUGACAUUCAAGCAAGGUAUGGGGCUUUAACCCAAAUUUUGUAAUCUGGGUUUUCUUUUUUGUACUUAAAUUCUGUGGAAGUACCGGUCUUAUUAAAGUUUGGAAGGAAUUUUCUUCUGGGAUUUUGGAUCUGGGGUUCUUAUGGCUUUCUUUUUUCUGGGGGUGCGUUUUGAUGUUAUACUUCUUUUUUCGGUUUAACUUUUUAAUUUGUCUUAUUUACUGUCUUUAUAUAUGUUUCAGAUCUACCUGGAUUUAGUUCAGACGUUGCGUUUCGAGAACAAUGUUGGCUCAGAAGCAAGCAGAGGAAGCAAUAGUCUCCAAUGACCAUGAAGGAAAAGAAGAUCAUCCCCAAGAAAACGAUGAGGAAAACACCUCCAUGUUUAAUGUCAAGAACUUCCUCUGGCAUGGAGGCUCCGUUUGGGACGCCUGGUUCAGCUGCGCUUCCAAUCAAGUAAACCCAUCUCCCGAAAGUGCUUUCUCGAUUUGUUGUUUCACGAAGUUUCUGAUUCUAACUACUUCUGGCUUUUGCAGGUGGCGCAAGUGCUUUUGACACUGCCGUAUUCGUUCUCCCAGCUGGGGUUUCUAUCCGGCAUCUUGCUGCAGCUAUUCUACGGAAUCCUCGGAAGCUGGACGGCUUAUCUGAUCAGUGUGCUGUACAUGGAAUACAGAACCCGGAAGGGAAAAGAGAACGUUAACUUCAAGAACCACGUUAUUCAGGUUCGUCGUGGUAUCCACCAAAAUGCAUUAAAGUGAAAGUGGAGAUAAAAUCAACCUAAAUUAAAAUCCCAUGUUUUUGUUGCAGUGGUUUGAAGUUCUUGAUGGGUUGCUUGGCCCCUACUGGAAAGCCGUGGGGCUUGCUUUCAACUGCACUUUCCUCCUCUUUGGAUCUGUCAUCCAGCUAAUUGCUUGUGCAAGGUGAAUUUUUAUUACUUAUUUUUCUAUAUAUUUUACUGUCAAAUCCAUCAAAUCUCACCUGGGUUAUGUCUUACUUUUACUGCUUUUGAUUGGAGCAGUAACAUAUAUUACAUAAAUGACCAUUUGGACAAGAGGACGUGGACCUACAUCUUCGGAGCUUGCUGUGCCACCACAGUUUUCAUACCUUCUUUCCAUAACUAUCGGAUUUGGUCUUUUCUCGGACUUGGAAUGACCACUUACACGGCCUGGUACUUGACCAUUGCAGCUGUUGUCCAUGGCCAGGUAAUAAGUCCAUCAAAACUUACGACAUCUGGGAUGUCCACGUCACUUUACCGGUGUCAUUUAGUCGCAUUUCAAGUGUAUCACACACUAUCACAUGUAUAGUGCCUAAUUGUUUGAGAUACUGUUAUGUUUCUUGGGAUGUCACGACGUUAUCAUCUCAAGCAUAUAACACAUUGUAGUGCGUGAUCAGUUAGAGCUUUGAGAUACCAUAAGCUCGUGAUUAGUUAGAGCUUUGAGAUACCGUCAGCUGGCGUGAGAAGUUGUUCUCCAAUGGUCCUCAUCUCUUAGAACAGUCACUAUUAUUACCAACUUUCCAAAGAUGCUUUAUUUCUCUUUACGUUUUCGGUAUAAAAAAGGUAAAGGUUUAUGCUUUUUGGUGAAAUUGCUGUGCAGGUUGAAGGUGUGACACACACAGCUCCCACAAAGCUAGUGCUGUAUUUCACCGGAGCCACCAACAUACUAUACACGUUCGGUGGCCAUGCUGUUACUGUGUAAGCAUUUUCCUCCUAUUUUUUUACCCUUUAUUAUAAAGAAAAAUUAACGAAAAUAACUUAAAAUUUUUGAAAUUUAACGAAAAUGACAAAAUAAAAAAUAAAAUUUUAAAUUUUAAUGUAAAAACAUAAUUUUUUGUUAAAAUAAACAGUAACGAUAACUUUUCGUUAAUUUUUUUUUAUUAUAAUGACCCUUUCCUCCUACUCUUUUACAUGUUUCUACACGGCUUCUCUUUGCAGCUUUUGCCGGCAUCUCGGUUCUCGAGAUCCAGACAAAAUCAUCCUAUCUACUUUUGUUUUUGCUCUUGGAGAAAGAACAAUUUUUUUACCCCCAUCCGAAAUCUCCAUUUCUCUAGGAAAAUUGCACAGUAAAUUAAUUGGGCACUAGCUAUCUCCUCGGUUUUGGUUUCACCAUAGAGAAUACAUGUUAUUUUGUUUUACGUGACGAUAUUUAAUUUUAAACUCUAUUCUAAACGUAAAAAGAAAUUCAAAUUUAAGUAUAACUGAUCAAGCACACUGUUUUACUGUUUCAAGAUACCGAUUAUCUCUCAUGGUUUUGGACUAAUUGUCAUAUAAUAUUAUUGUAUGAUAGAGAUUUGGAAAUUUGUUUAUUUAGUUGCAUAACAGUUAUACUAAGAUGUGACCGGAGGGGGCCCUUUGGUCAAGUUUCUUGGUUUUUAAUUUGUAUAACAAUGUUCCCCAUGUGCCUGUUGACCUUGUAAUAGCUAUAAAAUUGGAGUAAAGUAAUCGUGAAAUCUAAAUUCUUUUUAAUGUGAGUGGAAUCUGAUCAGUGAAAUAUGGGGGAUUUGAUUUUUGCAGGGAAAUUAUGCAUGCCAUGUGGAAGCCACAGAAAUUCAAGUCCAUUUACUUGUAUGCCACACUCUACGUUUUCACACUAACACUUCCUUCUGCUACCUCUGUCUACUGGGCCUUUGGUGAUGAGCUCCUUAACCAUUCCAACGCCUUCUCUCUCCUCCCCAAAAACGGCUGGCGUGACGCCGCCGUUAUACUUAUGCUCAUCCACCAGGUUCGACCUUAAUCAUUUCAUACACUAAAUUACCGAUGAGAAAUGAUUUGUCACAUGUCCGUUUAUUACUGUUCUUUGGUGUAAUUCAAUUGAAAGGACAGAAAAAAAAUCAGGUGUAGGCAUGGAGAUAAAAACGGUGUCCGGAAAUCACUUUCCUUACUGAAUUGCCCUUGAACGAAUGAUAUGCCUUUUACAGUGAACUGACAUUAUAUCUUUUUAUGGGGAAUUGUUUUGCAGUUUAUAACAUUUGGGUUUGCAUGUACACCACUGUACUUUGUGUGGGAGAAGGUGAUUGGCAUGCAUGACACAAAGAGCAUUUGCUUGAGGGCACUUGCUAGGCUUCCAGUUGUGAUCCCAAUUUGGUUCUUGGCUAUAAUCUUCCCCUUCUUUGGGCCCAUAAACUCUGCAGUUGGGGCUCUCUUGGUUAGCUUCACCGUCUACAUCAUCCCAUCUUUAGCUCAUAUGCUCACCUACAGAAAAGCUUCUGCCAGACAGGUAAAAAAAUAUGCCCUCCUAAUCCUAACUCCAAUUGGUCAUAUCACGUAAUGUUAUUCUUACACACAAGUUCAGAGGAAUCUGAACUUGUAACCCUUGGUUAUCAUGUAAGGUUAGUAGUGGUACCACCGUACAAUCUCGCACGAGUGGUUUGGUUCUUUGUCUAGUAACAACACUUCUGGUUACCUCCACUGAGUUGAGUGAGGUAUCUCGAUAGGUCAUGUCAUAGUGUUACAGUGGUAGAAUUGUUCGGAUUUCUCUGAACUUGUAACCCAAGGUUAUCAUGUCACCGUCACGUAGUGCUACUAUCAAACAUGCGAAUAAUGAAGUGAUUUGUCUAGUGGCGACUUGUAGUUAUCUCGAUUGAGUGGGGGUAUUUUAGACAUUGUAGUUUGAGUGGCACCUCCACCAGGUCACGCGAUGGGGAUACCCAUAUUUCAAUAGAUGCAGUGGGGAUGAGAAGGGCAGCAAGUGUACAAAGAUCAUAUAAUACUUGGAUUUGGAAAUGUUACGAGAAUUGAGAUAGGUGGGAAGUCCCUUUCGUUUAGUUAUACGCUACAGUUGAUGAGCUGUUUGGUUGAUUAGGCCUCUUUUCUUCUCCAGUUAGGUCACUUUGGUGCUGACUUUGGUCCAAGUGAAAUACAACUUGAACGAAAAAAAAAAAAAAACCUAAAUAUUAUAGAAUUAUUAUUGGGAACUUUAAAGAAAAGUUCCUGGUACUGGUCAUUUUAAUGAAAAGUUAUAUUUUUAUACUAAACAAAUUAAUCUUGGUACUAUUUACUUUACCUUUUAUUUUGUGCUUAUCGUUAAAACUCAAAGUUUUUAAGCUCUUUUAAUUGGUUUCCUAUUAUUUUAAGGAUUAUAAACUAAACCCAAAAACCCUGUUCAGUUUUACGGACGGAAAAUACUUGGCUCCUUGUUCGAAAGGCUUAUUUGUUCUUGGUAUUCCAAUAAUAUUGUCUAUGUAGUGAUGAUAGUUGUGAGAGUCCAAAAGUCACGGGCCAUAUGUAAAACACUCAACAAUUGGACUCCAAUUUUCCGGCUUCUGUGAGGUUGAUUCCAGUUUAUAGGAAACAAAAUCAAAAUUUCCGGCGAGGAAUCCUUACAAUACAAACCACUCACAGGUUGAUGCGUUUACACAUAAAAAGAAUGACCAACAGUAAGAAGUCGAGCAGUGUUCUUUCUUAAAAACCAAGGUUUAUUGAUUUCGGUUAAUUUUUUACUGUGUUUUUGCAGAAUGCUGCAGAGAAGCCACCUUUCUUUUUACGAAGCUGGACUGCCAUGUACGUGAUCAACUCCUUCAUGGUGGUGUGGGUUCUGGUGAUUGGGUUCGGGUUCGGUGGCUGGGCCAGCGUGACCAACUUUGUGAGACAAGUCGACACAUUUGGGCUGUUUGCCAAGUGCUAUCAGUGCCACCCUCCAAAACCACCACUAGCAGCCGCAGCUCCUCCCCAUUACUAAAUCUUCACCUCCUCCAGAACUCUCCCUCUCACCAGUCAGAAAAUUCUCAAACUUCAUAUUUGUACCAUACAUGGGGAAGUCGUAAUAUUUCCCCCUACAUGUCAUGUGUGCUGGAUUUUCUUUUUUCAUUUUUUUUCCUUUUUCGAUUUUUUGUUAAAUUCGUUAUUAUUAAAUAGUGUGUGGGUUUGUGAUGAUUCCAUUCCUAUUAAAGCAUAGUCCAUUGAUCGAAUAUCGUGUAGUUAGAAAUCAUUUUAAAUUUUAUAUUAAAUAUUGAACACAAAUAGUACUUAACGGAAAUUGAUCGUACGAUUUACGACAAAUGGAUACGAUUAAGGGAUUUCCUAAAUCCUCACAAAGAGGAUGGAUCUAGGAUCCUCAUUCAAAGCAUAGGCUAAUUAAAUCAAUAUAUAUGUAUGUUUUUAGAUAUUUUCCUUCUAUGGGUUCUUUUGCCCUAUAUCGUCGGGUGGAUUAAAAAUGUCAAAAUUUAACCAUGUAAAUCCAAUGGUUCAUUUCAUACAUCGCUGCGUUAUAGAAUCUUAGUAUUUUUUUUUUUCGCUGUGUUUCAGCUUUUUAUGUGAGAUAUUGUAAGAUUUUGUUGUUCCUCAUGUCAUGGCUUUCAAAUGCCAUUAUUACUAGCAUGUUUCCAAAGUGGCUUUGUCUGGUUUUCUUUCACAUGUGGUUGAUCUCAAGAGCUUGUAUGUGGAGUACAGUUCUCUCUAGAUCUAAAAAAAUGAAGUCCAAGGAUCAAAUGAUCCGGAUCUUUGAAAUUUGAUCUAACGAUUAUAAUUAUUAUAACUUUUAGAGGGAGUCCAUGUUUGUAACCGUUAGAUCAAAUUUCAAUGGUCCGAAUCAUUUGAUAUUUAAGCUCUGUUUUUUUUUAAAUCCGAAGAGGAUCUGUACUCCUGUAUGUGGACAUGUUUUAAUGGGCUCCCAUUGACCUUGGAUUCCGUUUUGAGGGAGAAUGGGGCAUGUACCCUCCCACAUUCACAUGGGUUGCACGUGGAUUCCCCUAUAUCACGUGCCACUCUCUACUUCUUAGUGUGUUAUCCUUCAUAUAACUUGGCUCUCAAGUUAUUGAACACUCAAGGAUUCUCGGUGCUUAAUGAAAUAAAUAUAUUGGAGUCUUAACUAUAUGCAAUCAAUAAAAGAAUUAGAACCAUGAUUGGAUUGUAAUUGAUUUAAUAGAAUUUGGAUUGAUAUCAUUUCCGAUAAUAGGAAGGAAUUGAUUAAAACUCUAGCUAUAAAACCAAGAUGUAGUUCUGCUUCCAAACGAAUUGAAUCUCACCAAAAUUACAAACCUAUUUCAUUAGUAGAUAUCUUAAGAGCUACUGGAAGUAGAAGACUACUUCUACUUCGCAUAAGGAUGCCCAUGGCUGCAGGUAAGUGAUUCUGCGACCAAUACAUGCAUGUUAUAAAUGCCAUACAGACGUACUAUAGCAUUCACCGAUGCUAAUGUGUACUUGUUCCAAUUGCGGUAGGAAUGAAAGGCUUCGAUCUUCUGUCUCCGCUGAGUUUUUUAAAUCAUUUAUGUAAUUUAAAUUUCAUUAUGCGUUUAAGCUGAAAUGAAGUGGUUAAAGCAAAGGGAUUAAUUGGUUUUUUGUUUUUCUAAAAAUUGCAUGAAGAUGAGCUUCGAUAAAAAAAAAUGGGAGUUCAAAUCUUGUGCACCCAAAAUAGUUGCGGCAUGGCCACUCUGUUUAACACUGAUAACUGUCCCAAAAGAAAAAUAAAAAUAAAAAAGCUCUAAAAAGGAUAAAAACAAAAAGAAGAAAAAGAAAUGAGAAACGAAUAACGUCGAUCAUCCACCAUCCCUCCUCUCUCUCUCUCUCUCUCCUUCCUUAUGAUUAUUUCUCAGAAAAGUCCGUCAUCCAUUCCGAAACGGCGAGACUAGUUCUUAAGUUUAUGUUUUGUUACUUAUUAAUACAUUAUUAAUUUGUAGUUUUGAUUAAUUCUUUAAAGUGGGUGUAGUCAAUUUGAACUUCAGAGGAUUUUAAUGAACUUUUUUUCAGUGAUAAAUUACAAAGGAUUUUAAUAAAUUCUACAAUUCUAUAUGAAUUUUGACAGAAUGUCAUGGAUUUCUAUAGAUUUGUAUUGAAUUUAUUUUAUGAAUUUCUUAGGAUUUUUUUUUUGACUCAUACGACAUGAAUUUCUUUCUCAGUGCAUAACUUGGAAAAAAAAAAACAUAAACACACACACCACACACACGCACACACGGAUAUGAAAAAGAUGUGAACCACUGCUUCCGGACGGCAUCUUUUUGUUGCUCGACCCAUUACAAAAAGGUUAACACAGAGGAGUUGGUACCUCACAGAAACAUAUCGGAAAUUUGCAGUCUGAACAAUUGGCCACACACCACCCCCCAACGCAUGGACGGGUACGAAAUCUCUCUUCAAAUUUGCCUUCACCUUAAAUGGAAAAUCCCACGUAAGUGAAAAUCUUGAACAAAUUCAUAGCCAUUGAAUCAUUCCAUUAUCUACACUCUAUAGUAUCCUUAUUUUGGAUGACUAAUACUCAAAAACUGUCGAAAGCAUCGAGUUCUACAAGACAUCUAAACAGACCCACCAUCAAUGUUGUACAAAUUCUGAAGAACAGAUUCAAGAGUUCAAACAAACAAGGUAUCAACUUCACUUCCAUGGAAGCUAAAACAUGUAAAUAACAAUUAAACAAAGCAAUGCAUAUUAUCCAACUUUUUCCAAAAACCCCACUCAAAAGAUUGACCUUAGAUUCCGAAAACAAGAAAUUGAAUCGAAUAAAGGAAAUUAGAGCAUCUCCAAAGGAAAUGUCAAAAAGUCCACAUCAGCAAUAAAAGUAAUAAAAGACAUCAAUAGUGUUUUCCAACUGAAAUGCCAAUUCCUAUAUGGCAUGAUAUGGAAAGGCAGCAGAGGAAGUUGGUGUCAAAUUUGAUAGCAGUUUCAAAUCUAUUUUUAGUAAUUAAUAAAUACUUUUUAUAAUUUUAAUAGUUAUCUUUUGUUUUAAAAUACUAAUUACAACUAUAAAAAGUAAAUAAUGUAAUAAAUAAUAGUUUAAAUUUGACAUAUCAAUUGGAGAACAAAAUUUAUAAAAAGAUCAAUGUACCACAUAAGCUUUUAAAUUUAAAUUUUGUGUUUAAAAUUUGACAUCUCCUUUGGAAAAACCCAACUCUCAGAAAGUUGAAGGAGCUUUCUUGCGAUGGAAUGAAGGACAAAGAUGAGAGGGGUAAACCAUGAUGGAUGAGGAUGAAGAAAGAUGAAAUUGAAGAGGACAUUGAGAUAUGUUCCGAGGAUGAGGAAGGUAUAGAGGAACAAAGAGGUUGACAGUAGGGAUGGGCAACGGUUAUGGCGGGCGGGUAAAUGCGGUUAUUUAUCCAUAACCGUUUAUGCUCAUACCCGCAUAACCGUUUACCCUUUGGGUAAUUGCCUAAACGGUUAUACCCAUACCCAUAACCGUUUAUAAACGGUUAACCAUACCCAUAACCGCAUACCCAUUUAACCAUAACCGUUUAAUACCCGUUUACCCAUUUACCCUUUUUAACCCAUUUAUCCUUUUUUUUUUACCAUAACCCCUUUUUCACCCAUCUACAUGUUUUUUAACAACUUGAAAAUUAAAAAAAAAAUUGUGAUAAUAUUAAUCCCUGCAAGGAUUUUCUAGCUUCUGCUUGUUGUUUGCCUUGUGUUGCCUAUUUGGUUGGCUUCUUAGCUCAGGUUCUGUUGUUCCAGUUUUCCAAAAAAAAAAAAAAAGAAAAAAAAAAAGAAAGAUGCAGUAUUCAAAUUGAAGAGAGGUGAUUGUUGGGUUAAUAACCCAACCUCCCAUCCCCCUGUCAAACAGCCCCGUAUGUGUUUGUGUGUGUGUGUGUGUGUGUGUGUGUGUAUAUUCCCAUCCCCUGUCAAACAGCCCCGUAUGUGUGUGUCUAUAUAUAUAUAUAUAUAUAUAUAUAUAUAUAUAUUUUUUUUUUUUUUUUUAAAUAUUCAACAUUACAUAUAUAAAAUAAAUGGGUAAACGAUUACCCGUUUAUAACCGCGGUUAAUACCCAUAACUACCCAUUUAAAUUUCACGGGUAAACGGUUAUACCCAUAACAAUUUAAUUAUCUAAACGGUUACCCAUAACCGUAACCGUAAAGUUUAAAUGGGCGAGUAACCGCGGUUAUCCAUAACCGCGGGUAUUUUGCCCAUCCUUAGCUGACAAGUUCUAUAGUCUGGUGUGAACACAAAAAUUAGAGGGGAAAAGUUGGAAUGUUUAUGUCAUUUGGUAUUUAUACCACCUACCCUCAAAUUAAUCAAAAUUUCUCAUUCAUUAAGAUCCUAGUAAAUCCUUACCCAUGGAUUUCGAUGUAUUUUGUAAAACAAUCAUUUUAAAUCCUAAUUUGACUACACCAUGAUUUCAAAAUCUUUUAAAAUUAUUUUUAAAAUUCUAAUUAACUACAUCCUAAUUUCAAAAUAGAAUUUUACAUCCUAAUUUCAAAAUCUAUUAAAAUUCUAUCAAAUCUUAAUUUGAUUACACCCACAUUUCUGAAUUUCUCCUUUAAAAUAUGAGCAAAUUGUAGCAAUGAUCCCUUAAUUAUAACUCAAUUAGAGCAUUGGUCCCUCAACUAAAAAUCCAUUAUAUUGGUUCCUCAACACAUCAAAACGUACAACUAUGGUCUCUCAACUAAAAUUUUAUUACCCUUGGUCCCUCAACUUUAAUAUAAUUGGAAAAAUGAUCCCUCAACUUUAACUCAAUUAGAGCAAUGGUCCCUCAACUUUAACUCAAUUGUAGCAAUGGUCCGUCCAACAUAACUCAUUUUGACAAAAUUCUAAUGAUAUUGACGAAAAAGACCAUAGCUACACGAUUUGAUGAGUUGAGAGACCCCAAUUGUAGUAAUGGUCAUUCAAACAUAACUUAUUUUACAAAAUUCUGACGAAGUUGACGAAAAUGACCAUAGCUACACAUUUUGAUAAGUUGAGGGACUAUUGCUCUAAUUUGAUUAAAGUUGAGGAACCAUUGACACAAUUUACUCUAAAAAUAUAACCAGCCACAUGCUUUAUUAAGAUUCUCGGAAUGAGCUAAAAAUAAUUUCUCUAAAUUGGGAAGCCAGCAUAUGAAUGUCGGCGAUUAUGCAUUCCAUCGACACCUCUGGAAUCUCCCCGCUGUUAAUCAUGUCCAGCACAGUUUUCACAUAUGUCUCCACUUCAAUCGGCAAGCAGUCAUUCUCCACGCAUUCCAUCAAUCCUACCUUAUCGCUUCAGAUUCAGCCGUCAAACUUGAACAGCACCAAAAGCCACCUGCACUUCUGCUAUCAACAGGGGCGGUCCUGCUAAGGCAAACGCUUAAAAUGUGCCUUUUUUCAAUGCACAAACAUAUGUAAAAAUUGUUGUAAAUAUUAUGUGGAUGGUCCACAUGAAUAGUUUGUUACUAUUUAUGUGCAGUAUUUUCACUAUUCAUUUGUGGAAAAUUUGUAAAGUGAAUAGUGCUUUCUUUUGUUUAUAUAAAGGAAGAAGAUGAGAUGAAGUGUGGUGAGUUCACGAGAAAGAUGGGAAUGAAAAGAAAGAAAGAAAGAGAGGAAGAGAGAGAGAGAGGAAGAAGAGGAAGAUGAGAGGAGAUAAUAGAGAGAGUUAUCUUUGUACUCCUAUUAUUUCAAAUUAUAAUGAAAGCACCACUGCUGCCCCGAGGACGUACUCCAGUCACACUGACUGUAGAGGAACCUCGUAAAUUUUGUGUCUUAUUUCAUUUAUUUCAUUGCACCCACAGUCAAUUUUACAACACGUUAUCAGCACGAAAAGCUCUCAUGUCAGUGGAAAGCACAACAUCAUAAAUCUGGUAAAGCAUUAUCUACCUCUUACCUCGUUCAGCUAAAAUCUCACAGAGUAGAGACGGCAAGCCAGACAUGUCAAACAGGGAAGAUCAUCUUGUCACAAAAAUCCAUCAACCUUUCUUUUAUCACUUUUUCUUUUAUCACUCUAACUAUUGAUGUGCUAAUCCUUAUCCCUGCUAGACCUGCAAUCUAUUUUUCUCUCAUGGACAAGAAAGAUGGAGAGAUCUUACAGACAAACAAAGGUGCAGCAAAAUAAGCAAAGGUAUGUCCAUUUUUCAUUUCUCCCACUGCGCCAGAAGCGCCCCACCGAAUUCCGGUGCGAAUUGAAAUUUCCAACGACCUGAAGUCGUCACGAGAUAAGAAAACUCGUACCUAACAACUGGUUUCCAGAGAUCCAGAAGAAUCUCAUUAGACUUGGAAACCCAGAUCGUGUCGUUCUCAAUGGAUCUCGAGGACCUCCAUGAAUCCUCAGUUGUCUGAGAUGGUGAUGGCAUGACUGACUCCACACAGGCCUCCCUCUCUUGUGCCUUCGUCAACCUCACUGUCAUCUAUGUCUCUAUGGAGAGGUUCUUGCUUUGUGAUGCCAUGUUCUUUGGGCCAUGCAAGAACAACGCCAGUCUCUGGUAGCCUUUUUGGAUUGAAUUGGUUUUGUGUAACCCCCACAACAACCCAGAUGGUACUGGGUUUCGAGACUGGUAGAGAUAGACAAAGAAAAGGGGAAAUGGGGCCAAUGAUUUGGAAAGGUGCGUUGCACCAUGUAAAAUGAAAGAAAAAGGCAAUGUUUUUUUUGGAAUGGUGUAGAAUGUGAUUGAAUAAGAAAAUAAUAAAAAUAAAAUAAAGGUAAAGUUUUUUGGAUGGUGUUACACCAUCUGAAACGAAAGAAGAAAAUAUGUAUAUAUUUAUUUAUGUGCAUGGUGUUGGUUUAAAGCCCAUGUCACCUUUGCUUUAAAGCUUCGAUAUUUAUGUGCAUGGUGUUGGUUUAAAGCCCAUGUCACAAGUUCUAUUUACUUUAAAGCAAUUUAUUUAUCAUGGACGGUUUUACCACCUACUGCUUUAAGUUUUGAUUUAUGUGAAUGGUGCUGAAUUAAAGCCCUUGUCACAAGCUUUAAUUUAUUUAUUGUUCAAUUUAUUUACUAUGGCUGGAAUUACCGCCUAUUGCUUUAAUUUAUUUAUUGUACUUAUCUUUUGUUACGAUGAGUAUAACAAGGACCCAGAGUUCCUUGAUUAGAUCAGAACCUGCAGUUUCUUGAUCCUCAUCACAUAAAAUGAUAGGACCCGAAGUUCCAUCAAGCAAAAAGAUCAAACAUGAAGUCCCUAGAUCCUCAAGAUCGGACAUGAAGUUUCUUGAUAAGUACCUUUAAGUUUGAAGUGCCACAGUGCCUCAACUUAAUUAUAAUAAAGGUCAUAAAAGUCUCAGUCCAUAAACUAUUUAAUAAGGACCAGAAGUUCCUUAUGUCCAUACUUAAAAUGAUUUAGCAGAAGCAUUUAUUAAGCGGAUGAAAUUGAUUACCCGCGCUCUGCUCAUGAAAACGAAAUUACCAGUUUUCUACAUGGGGACAUGUCAUUUUACAUGACGCAUUAUUAAGUUCGGAUGAGACGAGUUUCCAACCAUCAAUAUUGCUCAGUACAACUCGUGUUUGGGAACUAGCCAAACAUUAUACAUUUACGAGUUUUUGGUUGUGUUAUCUAUGUGCCUAUUGCACUGCCACAACGUACUGAAAUGGGCAUUGAUGUUGAACAUCAUCUAUCAUUCAAUAUUUAGAACCCUUGACUGGGGAUAUAUUUACCGCUUGGUUUGCGGACUGUCAUUUUGAUAAGACAAUUUUCCUGCCAUUAGGGGGAGAAAAUGAUAUCGUUCCAGAAGAACGAUGAGAAAAUAUCAUUCCAAAAGAAUGAUGAGAAAAGAUCGUUCCAGAAGAACGAAGAGAAUUUGUCUUAUUUUGAUUCACGAAGCAAUCAAUGAGAAAAUGAAAUAUGAAUAAAUGAAUGAUGCAACGAAAGUGAUGAAAUCAUAUAUACUUACUGCAAAUGUGCCUACAAGAAUUGAUGUCUCUGUUGGAUAAAAUAAUGAGACAGUAAAUGAUUUAUCUGUUGCACGCCUGAAGCGUGGCAGAUUUUUAGACUCAAAAGGUUCAGUUAUUCGAAAGAAGAAUAAUAUGGCACUACUGAACUAUUGCAUUCCCGAAGCAUAAUUGUUGCAUGCCAGAAGCAUGACAGUCGCCGCAUGGAUACACGUCCCAGAUAGGACAAUCCACAGACAUGGGAAUGUUGAUGUCUCAUACAUGGAGCAUAAUAGACAUAUAGGUUCCAAUGACUCAACUCCCGGAAGUGGAGAUUAAAAUCCAAGCUCUAUAACGCUCAAGAGGAGGUUAUGAUCCACAUUCUCUAAAUUAUGACUAUCCUGGAAGAGAUAGCGUCAUGCCCUUGAAGAGGCAAUGGAUAUCCAAAGAAAUGAAAAGCUUUUAUGCAUGCGCAUGCACAUGAGAAUAUGGGAUCACGGAUUGAUGAUAACCAAUGGUAAUUUUGGUUUUUACAAGUAGCUACUAAAUUCAUCAAUGAGCUGUGUUAAUAUUGAGUCACGCUCUUUUGUUCGUCAACAAAAGAAAAAUUAUUGGCCAAAAUGGAGAAAGGCAAUUCCAUUACAAUUUUGUAAGAACGUGGACAAAUGAACCUAUAUAUAUUUGAAUACAAUACAAAUAGCCAAAAGAUGUUGAACCAAGGAGGUUAUAUAUGGGCAUUUGUAAUACAGUGUAAUACACUUACAUGAUAUGACACAAGGUUGUAAACGAGUUCAUAUGAAUGGAGAAUUAUAUACGAAGGGUUGUGAGUCGCCCACAUUAUAUCUUCAUAAGUAAAUCCCUCAAGUAUACAUGGGAGCAAAUUGCUCUGUAUAAAUUCCAAAGGAAAAUGUAUCAUGAAGUGUAGAAAACCCUUGAAGGAUUCAAAUUGCUUGAAGUAAGCCUCUGAAGGGUAAAACAUAAAAUAUGUACUCAAUACCAAUGGAUGAUAUAAAUUGCCUUAGUGAGUACUAUCAUUAUGAUAUUGUUGCAACAUACUAAAAUCUCUUGCAAGAGUCAAUGACAUUAAAUUAGAACUCUUGAAGAGUUGAUGAUAUUAAAUUGGGACUCCUGAAGAGUCUAGAAAAAUUAUAAAGUGUUGAAGGAAUUAUUGUCUCGAGCUGCAGAUCGAACAAUCUACCAACACGAAUCUUAUCCAUGAUAUUUAUGAUAUUAAAAGAACCAUAUGGAUUGAAGAUUAUGAGUUGAAUACUCAUAUGAUGAAGACACUAAGAAUAAUAAUCAUUUAUCUUCGUGAGGGUAAAGAUAAAUUAAUAUUUGGUCCAGAAGUACCAUAUCUUAGUGAAGUAUAUGCUUUAUUGUAUUUGGCACAAUACAUUGAAUGAAAUAAAGCUUAUUUAUUACUAUAUCUCCAAGAAAUUACAGAUAUAUACAUACACAUGAGUUAAAACAAACAAACAGGAUGGAGCCUUCACAAAGGUUGCUCAUGUGAAGCCUCAGUACUCGGGAAGUACCCAAGAAGGAGGAGGCACUGGAGAUUGAUCAUGUGGCACCCCAGUACUUAGCAAAACACCAGAAGGGGAGGCACUGAAGGAUUCAAAUUGCUUGAAGUAAGCCUCUGAAGGGUAAAACAUAAAAAUAUGUACUCAAUACCAAUGAAUGAUGAUGAUAUAAAUUGCCUUAGUGAGUACUAUCAUUAUGAUAUUGUUGCAACAUACUAAAAUCUCUUGCAAGAGUCAAUGACAUUAAAUUAGAACUCUUGAAGAGUUGAUGAUAUUAAAUUGGGACUCCUGAAGAGUCUAGAAAAAUUAUAUAAAGUGUUGAAGGAAUUAUUGUCUCGAGCUGCAGAUCGAACAAUCUACCAACACGAAUCUUAUCCAUGAUAUUUAUGAUAUUAAAAGAACCAUAUGGAUUGAAGAUUAUGAGUUGAAUACUCAUAUGAUGAAGACACUAAGAAUAAUCAUUUAUCUUCGUGAGGAUAAAGAUAAAUUAAUAUUUGGUCCAGAAGUACCAUAUCUUAGUGAAGUAUAUGCUUUAUUGUAUUUGGCACAAUACAUUGAAUGAAAUAAAGCUUAUUUAUUAAUAUCUCCAAGAAAUUACAGAUAUAUACAUACACAUGAGUUAAAACAAACAAACAGGAUGGAGCCUUCACAAAGGUUGCUCAUGUGAAGCCUCAGUACUCGGAAGUACCCAAGAAGGAGGAGGCACUGGAGAUUGAUCAUGUGGCACCCCAGUACUUAGCAAAACACCAGAAGGGGAGGCACUGAAGGAUUCAAAUUGCUUGAAGUAAGCCUCUGAAGGGUAAAACAUAAAAUAUGUACUCAAUACCAAUGGAUGAUAUAAAUUGCCUUAGUGAGUACUAUCAUUAUGAUAUUGUUGCAACAUACUAAAAUCUCUUGCAAGAGUCAAUGACAUUAAAUUAGAACUCUUGAAGAGUUGAUGAUAUUAAAUUGGGACUCCUGAAGAGUCUAGAAAAAUUAUAAAGUGUUGAAGGAAUUAUUGUCUCGAGCUGCAGAUCGAACAACCUACCAACACGAAUCUUAUCCAUGAUAUUUAUGAUAUUAAAAAAACCAUAUGGAUUGAAGAUUAUGAGUUGAAUACUCAUAUGAUGAAGACACUAAGAAUAAUCAUUUAUCUUCGUGAGGGUAAAGAUAAAUUAAUAUUUGGUCCAGAAGUACCAUAUCUUAGUGAAGUAUAUGCUUUAUUGUAUUUGGCACAAUACAUUGAAUGAAAUAAAGCUUAUUUAUUAAUAUCUCCAAGAAAUUACAGAUAUAUACAUACACAUGAGUUAAAACAAACAAACAGGAUGGAGCCUUCACAAAGGUUGCUCAUGUGAAGCCUCAGUACUCGGAAGUACCCAAGAAGGAGGAGGCACUGGAGAUUGAUCAUGUGGCACCCCAGUUUUAGCAAAACACCAGAAGGGGAAGGCAUCAGUUGCUUUCAGAAUCUAGCAACGAACCUCUGGUGAUCACUUUGAAUCCGACUUUCGGAUUCCUGCAGUUGAACGAGCUUUCUUUUCAUGCUCGUAGAGUAACUAUUUGCAAGCACGUGUAACACCCUAUUCUCGUGCUUGAGUCCUCUGAUAUCUUGUUUAAUACUUGCCACCUCCGCCAUCAAUGAUUCAACUUGGCGAGUUUGAACAAGUAGGCGUUGGCCCAUAUUGGACACAGAGCCAGCACACUGAACACUGAGAGCCAAGGAGUCUUGAACGGCGGACUCUUCAGACCGUUCUGAAAGGAUCUUGUUAUCCCUUGGAGUGAAAAGAUUCCUAGCUACCACAGUAGCGGUUAUGUUAUUCUUCAUCACAGAGUCCCCAACCGUAAGAUGACCAUUAGAAGAUAAGAAGGACGGGUGCCAUAUAUUAUCCUGACGUUGCUCGUCUGUAUCACUCCUAAGACUCAAAUCUAAGCAAAUGUUAGAUGGGCAAGUCAUUUUUCAGAAAUGAUGAAGCAAAAACAGAGGUCAAAUAAAAUUUCAAAGGUGCAAGAUAAGGGAAAUUUCUACAAGCAGCAACUUUCUGAGCAUACUCUUGAACACAAUUGAUGUCUCUAUAAAAGAAGAGGCAGCAGAGCCACUUGUUCAAUGAUCGAUGAGGCACCGCUCUCUGGAUUUCAAAAGCCAGAUUUUCCUGAAUAAAAUUCGUUGGCAUUUUUCAGACGUAAUCUCAGCUUUUCAGAUAUCGCGUGCAACUUUGUCAAAGAUCUCUGGCAAAGUUGAAAACGCGUAAAUCUUACUGUUCUAUUUACACCACAGUUGCUGACAAGAGUAAAAGCACAGCACCACCACUUGCUAUUGAGAAAUCUCUAUAUAUGUCGACAUCUGUUCUCCAUAACAAGGCAGACCUGCAACACUGCAAGAAUACCUAACUCUUCCUCAUCUCCGAGAAUGCAUCUUCAACAUAGCAUCUCGAAAUACUCAGUUUUCUUCCUCUCCGAGAAUACCUCUUCAAACAUGUCACACCAGAGCAAGAUUAUCACAUAUCUUCAGGGACCAGAGCAAGAUUAUCUCAUAUCUUCAGGGACCAGAGCAAGAUUAUCUCAUAUCAUGCAGUCUCCCUGUCCUUUCCUUUGUCCUUGUUCUUGCCUGCAAAGACAAGGAUAAAGAAAGCAAUAUGUCGGAACCUCCACUCAAACUCCCGGUAAGGAACCGACUGCCUGGAACCUUUCCUGAUUGCUUACCUAGUAUUGCUCUCGAGUAGUCAUCUUCAACGGUUGGAGCUGAGUCUCUAGUCACCAAGAAGUGAUGAACCAUCCAAAUGCAAGGGUUGCACUCCACUCCGGCAUCAGAGGGCAAAUACUGCAGGAGAAGAUGCCACCCAUGCAUGGGGAAAAAGCAGAGAAAAUACUACUUAAGCAAGGGGAACAAGUAAGGAAAGUGAAAAUGAUACAUUGAAGCAUGUGGAGACAAGCGCAACAAACGCGUGCUGAUUCAUCCCUGACAAAACUGAAGAUCACUUGCCACAUGAAGCUCCUCAUGGUCCAAUUUCAUUCAAGAUCAAGCCUCGAAGGUCCUUGAAGAAAUCACAAGUCCGAUUCAAGAUAAAGUGUUCACUACUCUUGAAUCAAAUUCCGCUCCAGAUAAAAGGAGUAAAUUCAGACCUUUGGAUCAAGUCUAGCAGAAGGUCAUCCAGCCCAGUUCAAGAAAAAGCCUGUGGAAAGUUAACAACAAGUAAAGCAACUCUUUCAGCAACUCUUCUUACUAAGAGACUAAAGCAGAACGAUCAACGAUCAACCUAAAUGAUUUGAAAUCAGGGGGAGAUACUCAUCAGGAGGAGCAUCCAAGACAGAUCAAGAUUCUAACGAGUCAAUCGAAGACUUGUGGCCAUCCAAGGGGGAGUGUUGUAAAUAUUAUGUGGAUGGUCCACAUGAAUAGUUUGUUACUAUUUAUGCACAAUAUUUUCACUAUUCAUUUGUGGAAAAUUUGUAAAGUAAAUAGUGCUUUCUUUUGUUUAUAUAAAGGAAGAAGAGGAGAUGAAGUGUGGUGAGUUCACGAGAAAGAUGGGAAUGAAAAGAAAGAAAGAAAGAGAGGAAGAGAGAGAGAGAGGGGAAAGAAGAGGUAGAGAGGAAGAAGAGGAAGAUGAGAGGAGAUAAUAGAGAGAGUUAUCUUUGUACUCUUAUUAUUUCAAAUUAUAAUGAAAGCACCACUGCUGCCCCGAGGACGUACUCCAGUCACACUGACUGUAGAGGAACCUCGUAAAUUUUGUGUCUUGUUUCAUUUAUUCCACUGCACCCACAGUCAAUUUUACAACAAAAAUAAAUAUUUAAAGAGUACUAGGUCCUAACAAACAGCAAUGAAAAACGAAGAAAGCGAAAAGUCACAGAGGAGAGACGGAUAUUUGUUAUUACAACAAUAGCAAUUCUGAUUACAUUGGGAAAUGACUUCACUUGCUAUAUAUAGUAACCAACAAUACUUAACCACUAAUCAAAAUUGUAACUAACUGUACCAACUAAGACUCUAGGAUCAUUACACAUGUCAUAGCAAGGAUUAUGCCACUUGGCACUCUUAUGGUUAAUACCCCCCUCAAUCUCAACUGGGGAACCCGAGCUUGAGAUUGCAACAGUUAUGUAAAAAGGCUGUACCAUGCAAUCCCUUCGUUAACACAUCAGCAAGCUUGUCCACUGCGGAAAUGUAUUCAACCUGCAAGUCUCCUUUUUGAACUCUUUCACAAACAAAGUGAUAAUUGGUGUCCAAUCUAUUUGAAGGUGGAGGAACCAACUCCCAAGUUCCUUGUUUCUGUAAAGCUGUGAAUUCUUCAACCAUGGCAUUUCUUCAAUUUUCACAUAUAACAGCAGAUUUGUAAGAUGUUGGUUCAGAGGAUUCAGUAAUGCUUACAAGAGCAGUGUAACCACAGAAUGAUAUAUCUUUAGUAGCAGAAUCCGAACCAACAUUAGUGGAAUCACAGGCAGAAUAGGCACUAUAGUCUUGUCUUUGAAUAGCACCAGAUUUUAGUCUAGUUUGCAUAGGAUGAACUGAAUUCGAAUUGUUAAUAUUACUUGAAUCAUUAUUUGGACUAAGAGGAAGAAUUACCUCGAAUGGGGUGAACUCUGGACAUGCAACAUAGAGUUGUAAGUUGAUGUAGAGAGGGAAGGGUGUGAGUGGGAGAAACCUGUUGCUGAGUACUAGAGACCAUAUCUUGAUUCUGAGUAACUGAACAAUCAUGUGAAGAACUUGAAGCCACUGUGAUUGACUGAUCUUGCAUAACACCAUCAUGAGAACCCAUUUGAUCCACUAUAUGCACUGACUGAGAUCUUGUUCUAGGGUGAGAUGUACUAUUGUCAUUACUGAGACAAGGAAGAACAUAAGGAACAAGGAUUGGAUGUGAACUAGAAUCACAUGUCUGGAUAUCAACAAUCUUUUCUUGACUCUUUGAUAACAAAUUACCCAUUUGUAUCCAAGUGAGUAGCCCAAGAAUGCACAUUGAUCUGUCUUAGCAUCUACCUUUGAUGAAUUAUAUGGUCUAAGAUAGGGAUAAACAAAUGUCCCAAACACUUUUAAUGUAGAUAGCACUGGUUGAACUCCAAAUAGCUUGAAAAAUGGAAACUGCAUGCCUAAUGACUUACAGGGCAUUCUAUUGAUAAGGAAAACAGCAUGUGCACGUGCAUGGAACCAAAAAUUAUGUGGUAAAUGAGCUGUAGACAACAAAGUCACUGCAAUUUCUAAAAUAUGCCUAUGCUUCCUUUCGGCAAUUCCAUUUUGCCGGGGGACUAUAUGGACAUGAAAUCAAAUGCACAACACCUUUUGAAUCCAUAAAUCUCUUAAAAGCAAUACUCAUAUAUUCACCACCUCCAUCCAGUUGAAAGAACUUAGGAACAACUUGAAAUUGAGUUUGAAUAAAAGCAUAAAAUUUCUCAAACAUAUCCAGAACUUGAGACUUGUAUAAAAGGUCGUACCCAGUGCACAAGGCUCCUGCUUACGCAGGGUCUGGGAGAGGUGAAUGUCGGCUAGCCUUACCCCCAUUUAUGGAGAGGCUGCUCCCAAGUCUUGAACCCGAGACCUACCGCUCAUGGGCGAAGGCACUUGCCGUCGCACCAAGUGCGACCUCUAACUUGAGACUUGUAUAUCAAUGGAAAAAUCCAUGUAAAUUUUGCACAUUCAUCAAUAAAGCUCACAUAGUACUUGUAAUCUUCAACUGAUAACAACUGAGGCUGGUCCCAUACAUCACUACUAAUUCUCUCACAAGGUUGUACAGAUCUCACAGCUUUAGGUUCAAAUACCUGUCUAGACAUCUUUCCUUUAAGACAGUAACUACAUACAUGUUUAUUUAUAUCAGGCUUAUAUGUGAUUUGAAAGUUGGAUAGCAUACUAUGGAGUACUUCAUUGGUAGGGUGUCAUAACCUAUGAUGCCACAAAGAUGUUUUCACAAGCUGUCCAAGAAAUGCCUUUGGUGUAGACUUCAUUAGCUGAUUAUACUUGAAGAAGAGUUGCUUUGGUAUAUGAUAUAAUCCCCCACUACUCCUUCCUCUCAUGAGAAUUGUCUUUGUUACCUUCUCCUGCACCCAAAAUCCUAAUUCAUCAAGAAUCACAUAACAAUUAUUAUCCUUGCAUAAGGUAUAAACCGAAAUCAAACUAGCAGCUAAUUUUGGAACAUAUAGCAUAGUAUAAAGAUUGAGAGGUUUAGAAGAUGUUUUGAUAGAAGAACCAGUGUUUUUGACAGGAAGACAUUCACCACUUCCCACUGUGAUCUCUUGAUCUCAUUCGAAUGGUGUCACCAUGUCCAAAUCUCCAAUAUUUCCAGUCAUGUGAUGAGUAGCUCUAGUGUCCAUUAUCCAAGCCUAAUUGUUAUUGAACUCCAUGGAAGACUGAGCAGUCAUAGCACUGAGAGAUGAUGGUGGUUGAACUCCUUGGAAAGCAUAAUUUCCUCCGUGAAAACAAUUCAAGGCAGUGUGUCCACAUUUUCCACAGAUUUGGCACUCAGGGAUUGAUGGAUUAGAAGUAGGUAGUUGCUCAUUCCUGUAAUAACAACUAGGUGCAGUAUGCCCCUUUUUGUUGCAAAUCUGACACUCGGGGAUGAUGUGUGAUCUUUGACUAGUAUUGCCAUUCCAAUUUCCCCAUGUUGAACCUCCCUUGUUAUUGCCUGAAGAGCCAUUAAAGCCACCAUUGCUUCUGUUGUUGAAGUUCCCUGAAUUAUUACCAUUGUAUCUUGGUCUAGAAUUGAAUCCAGGACCAUUGAAACCAUUGUUAUUUCUAUGAGCUUGAAACUGCUGAGGUAGACUCCCCUGAGAAAAGUUUCCACCACUUGGUCCAGUGCCAUUUGAUCUUGGAAAUUGACCAACAAAACCUACUCCACCAUUAGAUUGAUUUCCCUGAUAAGAUUGCCUAAUUGCACCUGUUGCAGAAUAUUCCCCUUGAUAAAAUUGACCACCAUUUGAUCCAUUUCUGUUUGAACUGUCACCUUGAUAGUACUGUCUACUUGCACCCAGGCAGAAGACUUUCCCUGAGAAAGCAUUCUAGUCAUAGGAAAUUGCAGAGAAGAGUUGAAUUCUUCAGCUGUUCUUUCUGCACUUAACAACUGUGCACAAAACUCCUUCAUUGUAAUAACUGAUUCUCUUGCUACCAUCACAGUCUUGAUCAUGUUAUACUCUGAUGUAGACCUGCCAAGGCUGCAACAAUAAGGUCAUUGUCUGAAAUUGUUUCCCCUGCAGCAAGUAAUUGGCCUUUCAAGUGCUUGAGCCUGAGUAAAUACUUCUCAAUAGAAUCUGCUCCCUUCUUUUCCCCUGCAGCAAGUAAUUGGCCUUUCAAGUGCUUGAGCCUGAGUAAAUACUUCUCAAUAGAAUCUGCUCCCUUCUUGAUAAUGUGUAAUUCAGUCUUGAGGUGAUUGAUUCUUGCCCUUGAAACCGUUGCAUACGUAUCUGUGAGUUGAGUCCAGGCUUGAUAAGCAGUUUUACUUCCAACAACAUAUUCAAUAGCCUCAUCUCCAAGAGUAGCAAUCAGUAGACUAAGUAAUGCUUUAUCAGCCUUAAUCCAUUCACAAUUAGCCACAAUAAUCUCCUUUAUAACACCACUUUCCAAAGAAACCCCGUACUUUGGAGGACAAAUAUUGGUACCAUCAAAGUAGUCAAACAAAUCAUAACCUUCCAACACAGAUUGAAAUUGAAGGGACCAUUUCACAAAAAUUGUCAUCUUGCAGACGAAUCGUAAGCAUUCCUAGCAAACCAUCGAUCUUGAGUGGAGAAGACCCCAUUAUCACACUUCUUGAAUAGUAAACAAUUGACAGUAAUGAAUCACACAGAGAUACUUAUCAAGAAAUCAUCAAGAAACUUCAAUCUUGACGAUUCUAAAGCUUCGUGCUCAAAAUUCAACAAAUUUCCUGAAUUCAGAUAACAAAGGACCUAAUUUCAUCAAUUUUACUGCAUUCUUCACAAAAUUUUAUCACAACUGCUUCAAUCUUUUCACAAAUUUAUCACACUUCUUGCUUCGUGCUUGACAAUUCUUCUCAAGACUCCAUUCAUUUUGAACAAAUUUCACAGAAUAGACAGAGAUGUGGCUUUGUGCCUUCAGAAUUUCAGCAAUUUUCAAGAUUUAUCACAGUUCAUCAACAAUUUCCAAGAUUAUCAAGCAGUCAAUGAUGGCUUCAUGUCUAAUCCAAAUUCAUCAACAAUUUUCAGAAAUCUUCAAAGAAAACUCAUAAAGACAUAGAGUCCAAGAACACCUGAUUUCGCAGCAACUUUCCGAUCAACCGAUGAGUCGAAUCUGCUCGCCAAACUCCUCAGAAACACAAUCGCAGCACAGCUUAGCUUCGUUCCCAAGAAAAAAUUGCGAAAACCGGGCUCGAUACCAUGGAGGGCAGACAAUCCUUGUCCUCUUAACAAACAGCAAUGAAAAAGGAAGAAAGCGAAAAGUCACAGAGAAGAGAAAAGGAUAUUUGUUAUUACAGCAAUAGCAAUUCUGAUUACAUUGGGAAAUGACUUAACUUGCUAUAUAUAGUAACCAACAAUACUUAACCACUAAGCAAACUUGUAACUAACUGUAACAACAAGACUCUAGGAUCAUUACACAUGUCAUAGCAGAGAUUAUGCCACUUGGCACUCUUAUGGUUAAUAACUAGAACUUAGUCGAAGCUGGGCGGGGAAGGCAUAGAUUUUGUUAGAUUAGCACUGACGGAGUUUGAACCCACGCUAUCAUGCAAGGACUCAACACAUUUCCGCCAUUGCGAUAAAGGAUCACUUGCAUUGAAGCAAAUAACUUGAACUGAUCAUGUCCAUGUUAAUUAACUUUAGGCUAAAUGUUAAACCAGCAUAUUGUCGAGCUUUAUGAUCACACCUUCAAGGGAAGGUGCUCUUAAUCACGUUCCUACUGUUCAUAAAAAUAAAAGUCCCACCCUUUCACUUUUCACAGAAUCAAGCUAGUGAGAUCAAAUAAAAAGUUAAGCUUUUUCCAGUCCAACUUAAUUAAAAGAGUAGAGUCUUAAUCCAAGAUGAUUUAUUAAAACGAAGUAAAAAAGGACUUGAAUUUUUUAAAUUACCAACUCAAAAGAGAUUAUAAUUAAUUAAUUGACAAAAACGAAGAAAAAUAGUUACCUCAAGAAAUCCAAUCUCCCCCUCAAGCAUCUAAACCUGGCAGUUUCUUUGCGCCUACCAAUAAAAAUCAGGAUAAUGCGGCGGCGACGUUGGGCAUGGAGGUAGCAAUGACGGCACAGAAGCAGAGCAACUGGAAGGAUAUGCCAUUCCAAAUACAAAUAGUAACCAAAACCCAGUUGCUAGAUCACCUAAAACUCAGACCCUAAAUGAAGAAAACGACAUCGGAGCUUACAGAGAGAAAAGCAGUAGCAGUAAACUGCUGAUAGAAUCACUCAUGUAUUAAUGGGAUUAAUGGGGAAAGAGUAAAGUAAUUAGGGUAUCUGAUGCAUUAAAGACCGAAGAGAAGGUCAGUGGUCGGUUAGACUUUACUGUGUCGAAGACGCGGGGAAACUGUAGCAAUAAAAUUUUUUUACAUGUAAAUAUGUGCAAAUUUGAUGCCCCCAUCAGUUUUGGGCCUGACAGUGGCCCUGUUAGCAUUGGGCUAGGAGUGGCCUUGGGUACCAAUUCACUUAAUGUGCGUUUGUUGCACUAGACUAUCUCGAACUAGCUUUUGGAACAAAACCGGACUGGCUUAAACUAGACUAAGCUUUCACCAUGUAAGGCCUUCAAGCUUGUAACCUAAUUUCCUAUAGUAAUGAUGAGUUCCUACUCCCGCAUAACAUCAAUCUUUUUGGAUCUAUGCUCCCUGCUAGCGAUCCGCUUGACCUCCAUCAAAAGGGUGCCAUAACCCUGUUUGAAACAAUUAGGGAAUGGAGUUUGAUGAGGCAGAACCUGCUCACAGGGGAAAACUCAAGCCAUAAGGGUUUGUCACAAAUCAAUAUGCAAAUCAGAGAAACAUCAAGUUCUGGAAUAGUGAAAUCCUAACGCAACAAUCUGACCUCUUGCAGAUUAAAAAGUUACAAUCAGAUUAACAGGUCAAUGGAUGGUAAGUUAAAAAGUACUGUCAAUACAAGAAGUAAGCUUUACACAAAGAUACAAAGAUGCAAAAUUACUUGGUCUCAGUUUCUAGAAUCAGUGGUCAAUGGUGGCUGAAUACAAUCUUACCCAAAAUUACAAAGCAAUUGUGUGAUAUAAUCUUCGCGUGCUUAUAUUCAUGUGCAUGAUUAUAUUCUCAAUCCUAAAUUGCACAGAUGAUCAUCAUUGAUAUGUCACAAGUACACUAAUAGAACCAUUUGAGCCGACCCAAAUAACUAAACAACUAAACAAAAACAAACAACUGAACCCAGUGCACCAGACUACUGCCAUUGCAAAGUCGUUGCAAAGUACAUAUAUAGACAAACAAUUAAUUAAUUUAGCUCCAAGCUUUUGGAUUUAUUUAUUAAUAAUUUAUCAAAACAACACUCAAACUCCAAAGCUCUGAAUCUGCAUCCAAAUUCUUUGUCCUUAAUACUACUUUUCUAAUCAAAAGCCAUGCAUCUGCAUCCAAAGCCUUGCAUCUGCAUCAAAUUGUGGACUUGAUAGGAAAUAGAUAAGAGCAUCACAUGCUAGGGCACGUAAUUCUUCGUCCUUAAUACUACUUUUCUAAUCAAAAUUUGAAUUAUCAUUUUACUUUUCUCAUAGGACACCUAAUUAUCAUUUUACUUGGUGGAAGCUCCUUGGAUGCUGCCUCCUUCAUGGAGUUAACCACAUCAUUUUGAGACUGAAGAACUUUAUUACGAGAAGCAUUGAGCUGCAUGGAGUACUCACUGCAACGAACCAAUUAAAGAAUAUUACAGCUCACAUAUAUGGCAUUCGUGCACAACUGGGAAUAUAUAAACAAAAGGAAGGCCUUCCAUCGAACCACCCAAAUCUGAACCCUGCAGAAACAGAACUCGUUUUAUUUAGAAUAUGAUUUGAACCUCGUUCUACCCAAUUCCCUAACUAGUCCAAUACCCUUUGAGCUAAGGCUAUGAGCUUCAUAAAGUCUAGUUUCUCAAAAUCCUAAUACAACAAGCACAUAAUUUUCAGGAUCAUUGAAAUUCAACAAUCAUUUCAUACACAUCCAAUGAUGAAAAUAAGUUAUCUCAGAAUAAUCAACUCAUUUUCAAGUUUCAACUUAAUUUCUAACCGAAUACUUCGAUUUUCAUCGAAAUCCAUGAAAUCAAUGAAAGAAACUAUCUUUGCCACUUCCCAACUAUUCACUACCGUAUGACACACCAAGCACAUUAACUUCCGAAUCCGAAUUCAACCUACCAAAAAAUAUAUAUCCAAAACCAAACAGCAGAAGGCCAUUUGUUCCACAAAGUUUGAAAAACAUGCAAAAUGUAGGAUCUAAGAACAUUGUUGUGAUCUAUUUGUCGUUCCUAAUUAAUGCACAUUAUACAACCACCUUUCUUUACAAGAACAUUAUGCAAUCAACAAACCAUAUACAAUCCCAAUUUACUAUAUUUUCAGAAAACCAUAUAUUUUGAUUAUUUAGAAUUUCCGAAUUUUUAUGACCAUAAUCAGCAGCAUCAUAGCACCAAACAACCAAUGUAAAAAAAAUUAACAAUUGAUGAACAAAAAGUGAAAACAAUCGUCUUUACCUAAUGGGAGAGGUUGCAGAAGAAGAAGAAAUUUGGAGAGGAUGGAGCAGUUUUCUUCAGGGAUUUGGUCGGAAAAAAUUGUUCGAAUUGAGAGUGGGCAUUGGAGGCCUUGAUGCGUUGUGGACCGAAGCGUUGGGAGUUGAAGUUUGCAAGAGCCUAGCGUCCAUGGCGGUCACGACAACGCCCGAAGCAAAUCACCGCCAUAAUGCCGGGAUGUUCUUAGCUAGUCCCGUGGUUUGUGGAGGGUCUUAAUUCUUAGCGAGCUCUAUAGUUCACUCAAGUCUUCUUUAGUCUCAUUUAGGUUAGUCCCAACACAGGCCAAACAUAGGACUACAUUAAUAAGUAGUUCAGUCUAGCCCAGUCCAGUUAAUGAGGCCACACAAACACACUGAUAGAAAGAAAGACCAAUUCAGUUUUGAUGGAUGUGGGAAAUAUUCGCAGCAGAAGGAACACAAACAUAUAAAAUGUUCGGCGAUGUUUAGCUAUGUGUGAGCAAUGACAGAGCUAGAAUCGGGUUAUUGGUUGUUUUUUACUCCAACAACUUCAAAACCCUAUCCCUAUGUAUAUUUGUAUGUGUAUUGUUUUUACUUCUAUAAACAAUUAAGCCAAACUAAAUUACAACCUCAUUCUCUUACUUCUUUUAUUUUUUUAGUCAUAUUUGUCUUCAUUUUCUCCAUUCUUGUGUGCGAUUGUAUUGCUCGCAUCAUUUGCUCGAUGAAAUACUUUAGUUGAAAAAUCUUGGCAGUCUUCAACAUUACUCCACAAUAUCCUGCAUCCACCCUCAACAAGCCUCUACAAAUAAUAGUAGUUGUCGACAUAUGUUAGAAUAAACUUUCAACAUAUGUUGACAGGAAUUGGUAGAUGCCUACUAGUUGCUUGAUGAAAUGGUCAAAUGAAGUUUUUUUUGGCUGAUAAUACAACCUCAUUUGAAAAUCUUGACUACACCACUGUGUGUAAGAGGAAGAUUUACGUGUAUAUUAUUACACAAAAUUACAUAAGCAAAACGACUUUGGAGAUGUGAAGCCCAAUGGCUCGGAGCUCAUGCAUAAAACUACAUAAACACAAUGACUUUGGAGAUGUGAAGGUUCAAAGGGCUCGGACCUUCGUCAAAUUCAAUCUCUACGAUUAAACAAAACCUUGAGUCUCUUCAAUCAACCCAAUUGCUUUUGAGCAAAAACCCAAUUGCUCUUUAGCAAAACUCUCUUAGCUCUUCAACUACAAUUUCAAAACCUUUCUUCAAGCAAACACUGCCUACGAUCCUUGAUAUCUAAAACAUUAUUGUAUGAUUCGGUUGGUGUACAAUUCCAACUAACCUAAUUUCCUCUUUGAGGGGCAUGUUUUGUACUAAGUUCAAUUUGACACCAGUGAUCUAGGUGGAGUUCUUUAGCAUUAUUUCGCCCUUCAUGGCCUGAAUCUUGCAAGAGUUUUACUGCUUUCUUUACAUUUCUAGUCAAUUUACAUUUCAAAUUAUGCAGUUCAGCCCAUGGGCCUAGAUUUUAGUUUUGUGAACAUUUGUAAUUCAUUAUGAAAUGAUAACAUUUUGUUUCCAUUUUAAUUUCUAUUUCGCUUUUAUUUACCUUUUUGGCAAGUAUACACAAAGUAACACUGAAUAUUAAGCCCUCAUUAGCUUGAGGCACAAAAAAGAACUUAACCAAACUAGCGUCAUUCUCGGUGCACAAUCAUUUGAUUCAGAAGUCAAAUUAACGCACAACUUACAAACAUGUUCAAGCACAAACAUUGUCUAUUGACAACCUCCAAUAGUAGCACGCCUAUUAUCACUUUCUCUAGAGCCAUCUCGUGACACGGAGACAAAAAAAAAAAAAAAAAAAAACACUCGGAAAAAUACAUGUUGAACCCUGUGCCCAAGGUCUGUCCAAAUCUUAGCACCAACAGAUAUACAUGCAUGUUCAAGUGUGCUAUUUGAGAAUAAUUAAUAUAUGAUUUAUUCCCGAAGUUCUUUUAUUGAUAAUAAAAUCAUAUGGAAAGCAAACGAACAACCCAAAUUACAUUUUUACAGUCUUAACGGAUGGUAGCUCCUUAUUUUUUGUAGGCAAAUUGGGCGCUGGAGACUAUACUUUGAAAGAAGCAUCACAAUAAGUCGAUAUUUUAGGCUAAUUGAGCCACGGGUUCCACUAGUGUAGAAACUAUAAAAUCUUUUAGCACACCCUCA